rnacentral:lncRNA from 1 species
AUUUCUCCAUGAUUGAGGUUCCUUUUUUCAUCUGGUAACUCCAAACUCAACAGCGUAUCCACAUACGCCAUGAUUAAUUCUUCACCGUGCUCGGUCUUUUGUUCUUUGGCCCUGCGUCGAGCUUCAAUCAAAGGAAUGAAGAUAUUCUCUUGCUCUCUACGUAGAUCAUGGAGUUCCUUCCAGAGACUCCUAAAUAUUAUUUUUCCAACUCUCGGAAAGAUUUUGAGUAUAUUGAACCGUUGGAGACCGACAAGCAACGCGCGUUGUACAUUUUCAAUUUGUUUGAUUUGAGAUUCGUCAAGCUUGUCCCCAAAACACAUCAAGACAAGAAGACAGAACAUAGCAUACUGAAAAUGAUCAACUAACUUCACCGAAUCAUCCUGUGCGCCGCGAAGCUGUUGAAUGAGGAUACCUAGCACCCAUGAUCUUGCAUUGGAAUAGGACUUGAUGCGAGAAGCAUGGAGUAUUUCUGAAGUCAAGUUUCGAAGUAGAUGACGCCAUUUAGUUCCGUAAUUUUCGGUGUGGAUUUGGCAAUAGUUACUAUUGAUGAUUUCAUUGGCUGGUCGGUUGGAGGUAACAGCGCCUUGUUGCACUAAAGCCUGGUAGGCUAAGGAGUGACUAGCUACGAAUAUGGAGGGACCAGACCUAAUAUUGAGGGUGAUCAUCAUACGACCAUACUUAACCUUGAGGUCACGGAGGAUGGGUUCCAAGUUCGCGGGGGACUUUCUAGCCCAUAAUAAGCUGCCGAUCACAGGAAAAGUGUGCGGUCCGGGAGGGAGUUUCUUUGUGGAAUUGGUAAGAUAGUUGAACAGGAAUUUGAUGAAGAAAGAGAUGCAGAGAGUUAUGACAGUGACUACCCAGCUCUCCAUUACUCUCUUCCAAUUGCACUACGUGAGAUGAGUUUUCAUUUUCAUUUGUGUAACUAUAAAACAAAUUAGAUAUAUGUUCUUUUCCAAAUUUAAUAUACAACUUCAAGUUAGAGUAUAUGUUCUUUUCCAAAUUUAAUAUACAACUUCAAGACAAGUUCAAGUUAAAUGUGAUAUUUUCGGGGCCAAAUAUAGUUUUCCCAGUGAAUUAGUGUCCAACGAAAAUAAAAAGCAAUUUAGAAUACCUAAUCUAUUGGAACAGAAUUUAAUUUGGAUGAGGAUAGAUUUAAUUGUUACAUGCUGCUACAAUUGAUUUAGGAAAUUUAUCAGUUCUAAUUUGGCAACACCUAAUCUAUUGAAACAGAAUUUAAUUUGGAUGAGGAUAGAUUUAAUUGUUACAUGCUGCUACAAUUGAUUUUGGUGUUAGUGAUAAUUAUAUAAGAAAUUCAAAAUAAAACUUGCUUGACUUAGAGACACGAUAAUACGCUUCUUGAAGAUAGUUGGAGUCUCUCCCACGAGCAAACGGAAGAACUAGUAACAACUCUAUCUUCGGGAUUCAACUAAGCCAUCAUUCAAGAAUGUUGCUCUUCUAUUCUUGAAUUAGUGAUUUCACCAUUUGAUCAAUAUCUCUCAAAUGUUUUUCAAGGGAAAAAUAAUUUUUGAGUGCUUGUCUUUUCAAACACAUGAAACACUAUUUACAGAAUUAAAGUUUGAUGUAAAAGAUGAGUAUUAAUUAAGUAAUAGUUAAUAGGUUCAUGAAUAGUUUAAAACAAAAAAUUAUUUUUCUUUCAAGAACCUAUAAUGUAAAUGAAUGAAUUGUAAAAUUCUCAUUCAUUUUCUUUGUAACUCAAAAUCUUUCAAGUGAUGCAUUUGUUUCAAAAUUUAUUGAAACAUAAACUUAAACAAUAACAUAUAUCAACAAAAGUAAAGCUCAUGAAUACAUGACUUCAAGAAAAUUUACAUGUUAUAAAGAAGGUUAUAGAGGAAAAAACAAGCUAGAUGGGUUGGUUAAGAAAGCUAGAAAAGAAACUAGGACUUGACGAAAGUGUUUUCACGUCAUGACUCCACAUCAACACAUUAGGGUCUAAAAUGUCCGCAACCAUAAAUAUAGAUGGUGGCAUUCUUUGGGACAACAUAGCCGUUCAGUUCUACUUCCUCCGUCACCGUGUGUGAAAGCACAAAAUGACCAGGUGGAUGCCGCCUAAGACCUUCCAAUAUCACUGCCUUCAAGUAGGGCAAUUUCAUGCAAAUCCUCCUCCUUCACUACCUCCUAAGACCUGCAAUUUCUUGAUAUAGUUUUUCCUGAAUGGAAGGGCUUUUGACCAAGUUGGCCAUAACCACUGUAAGGCAGUGGAUGUCAUAUCCGUUCCGGCGUUUAGGAAUUCACUGCAGAGAGCAACGAUUUCUCCAUGACUGAGGUUCCUUUUUUCAUCUGGUAACUCCAAAUUCAACAGUUUAUCCACAUAAUUAGCCAUGAUUAAUUCCUCAAGCCCUGCUUCGAGCUUCAAUCAAAGGAAUGAAGAUAUUCUCUUGCUCUCGUCGUGGAUCAUUUAGUUUCUUCCAGUGAUUCCUAAAAAUUAUAUUUCCGACUCUAGGAAAGAUAUUGAGUAUAAUGAAUCGUCAGAACCUACACGCACCGUGAGCUGCACAUCACUACAUUUUCAAUUUUUUUGAUCUGAGGUUCGUCAAGCUUGUCCCCUAAACACAUCAAAACAAGAAGACAGAACAUAGCAUACUGAAAAUGAUCAACUAACCUCACGGAAUCAACUUGAGCGCGACGGAGUUGCUGAAGGAGGAUACCUAGCACCCAAGAUCUUGCAUUGGAAUAGGACUUGAUACGAGAAGGAUGGAGUAUUUAUGAAGUCAAGUUUCGACGAAGGAGACGGCAUAUAGGGCCGUCAGGGGCGGAGCUGAUGUUUUGCUGGUUAUUAUUGACUAUUUCACUAGGGGGCCUGUCGGAGAAAACAGACCCUUGAUGGACUAAAGCUUGGUAGGCUAAAGAGCGACUAGCUGCGAAUAUGGCAGAACGAGACCCAAUUCUUAAUAAUACUUCAGAAAUGAUUUUAAGGAAUUAACUUUCCGGGGCAUGUUAAAUUGAAGACCCAGCAACGUCACAUACUUCUUUCUGUACCAUCAUUUCAAAUAGCGCAGAUCGUGUUUCCACAGACAAAACAAACAAAAAAAAAAGCAUAUAUUAUAUGCGCUCAGUUUAAAAAAGAAUUACCGACUUUUUUUUUUAAUUCGUUUAAAAAAGAAUAACCUCUUUCCGUUUUUGGCAAUACUUUAAUUUCAAUUUUUCACAUGGCAUAUUUAGGACCACAAGAUUAAAGAACAUUUUGGUACAUUUGACACAACUUUAAUUUAAGAUCACAAGAUUUAAAAAUAUUUUUUAUUUUCUUAAACUUUAUGUCAAGUCAAAAUAGGUCAUUCUUUUUUAAACGGAGGGAGUAACAAUAUAUGACAAUACAAUACAAUAAAAUACAUUACAUUACAAUACAGUACAAUAACAACUAACAACCAUACAAACAAUCCGAGCAUGUGAUUUUGCCACUAACUUCUACUAGAGGGAAGUCCACAAGAAAGAAUAUGCAAAUAGAAAGAACCAAUUACCAAGAGUUAACUCGGCGACAGAUACGAGCACAUGGUGGAUUCUUCAUCAUAAUGGCGAAUUCUUGCUUCUCCGAAAGAUCAACAUCGUCUCCUUCCACAGGAUUCAAUUGAAAAUGCCAAAUCAGAUUAGCCACAAAAUAUUCUAAAUGAAGCAUAGCCAACGCAUAGCCAGGACAUAUUCUCCUCCCUGCAUCGAAUGGCAUCAUCUUGAUCUCUCUACUUACUGUUAUAUCGAAGGCUUCCUUAUCUGAUCCUUCCAUUAAGAACCUCUCAGGCUUAAACUCCAAGGGAUCCUCCCACACCUUUGGGUCUAAGGCCAUGUCUGCAACCAUGAAAUUGAUGGUCACAUUCUUUGGGAUGACGUAGCCAUUCAUCAGUUCACCUUCCUCCAUCACCUUGUGUGGAAGCACAAAGUUAUCAGGUGGGUGUCGCCUAAGACCUUCCAAUAUCACUGCCUUCAAGUAGGGCAUCUUUUGCAAAUCGUCCUCCUUCACCGCCUCUUCUGUCAACCUGCUCUUUUUUUCUCCCACUACACAGGCAAUUUCUUUAUAUAGCUUCUCCUGAAAAUUUUUCGGACUAAACCUGCGGAAAAAUGCAAGUUUAUAUAGCGAUGAAGUGCUUCUUCAGAAAGGAGGCAAUGGUUCAUCGUAAAGUCAUACUUUUUCCCAAAACAGUGUGUCUUUUACUCAAAAAAUUGUGUCCCUUCCAAGCAACUUUCAGCGUUUCUGCAUGCUUCUCGUUAAUGGAGAAACAAAAACUGCAUGCACGCGUUAAUGGAGAAACAAAAACUGCAUGCACGCGUUAAUUCCUUGGAUUUUCGGACUAUGUAAAUAAACAAGCCGAAGCCGAGUGAGCGACGACGACGCGAGGCACCUCUUUGUUCUUGCCUCACUAUCCAAGUGGAGAUGUGACUACUUCCUCUGUCACGGUGUGAGGCAGCACCAAGUGACCAGGUGGGUGCUGUCUAAGACUUUCCAAUAUCACCGCUUUCAAGUAGGGCAUUUUCUGCAUAUCCUCCUCCUUCACUACUUCGCAUCACCUGCAUUUCAGUUCUUGUCGUAUCUGUUCCGGCGAUUAGGAAUUCACUGCAGAGAGUAACGAUUUCUCCAUGACUGAGGUUUCUUUUUUCAUCUGGUAACUCUGAAUUCAACAGUGAAGAUAUUCUCUUGCCCUCAUCGUAGAUCAUUGAGUUCCUUCCAGUGACUCCUAAAAAUUAUAUUUCCAACUCUAGAAAGACAUUGAGUAUAAUAUAUCGUCGGAAACCGACACACACCGUGUGCUGUACGUUACUACAUUUUCAAUUUGUUUGAUUUGAGGGUCUUCAAAUUUUUCCCCAAAACACAUCAAGACAAGAAGACAGAACAUAGCAUACUGAAAAUGAUCAACUAACUUCACGGAAUCAUCCUGUGCGCCAUGGAGCUGUUGAAGGAGGAUACCCAGCACCCAUGAUCUUGUUGUUUUCGAUGUUUUCGGGUACAAGAAUCUGUAUUUAGGCACAACAACUUUAACACUAGUUCAAGUUUAAAACAAGAACACUAUGAAGUACAAAAACAUCCUCCACACAAGAUCAAAGUGAUCGUUCUAAGAAGUGUGUUUUAUUUUUUCAGAAAUUAAGAUGAAACAGAAAUAUAAAGCCAAGUCCCCCGACUUCACGGAGUGUCCUUAAGGAAUAAUUUCUCUCACUGUACCCGAGGUUUUGGAAUCUUCCUCCCAGGAUAAAAUGGCUUUCAAUCCAACUAUAGUGGUACCUCAAAUAAUUGGAUUUGUCGAACUCACUCAACGAUUUGAUGGAUCACAAAGAAUGUUUUGAAGACAAGAAGAGUUUUUAUUUCAGAAAUUUUUUCAUUCAUCUCUAAACCUGUGGAUGAAAGAAGAUUUAUAUAGCCAUCAGAUGGCUCUUCUGAAAGGUGGCAAUGGUUCACUUAAAAGGUUUAUCGUUUGGAAGAGUCACGUCUGUUCAUUCGAAACAUUGUGUCUUUUUCUGAACAGACACAACUAUCUAAACAGUCACACCUUUUCCAAAACAAUGUCUUUUGCUCAAAGGUUGUGUCCCUCCAUUUUCUAUUCACACCAAUUAAAUCCAACAAUCCCCCACAUGAAUGGGGAAUGNNNNNNNNNNNNNNNNNNNNNNNNNNNNNNNNNNNNNNNNNNNNNNNNNNNNNNNNNNNNNNNNNNNNNNNNNNNNNNNNNNNNNNNNNNNNNNNNNNNNNNNNNNNNNNNNNNNNNNNNNNNNNNNNNNNNNNNNNNNNNNNNNNNNNNNNNNNNNNNNNNNNNNNNNNNNNNNNNNNNNNNNNNNNNNNNNNNNNNNNNNNNNNNNNNNNNNNNNNNNNNNNNNNNNAAACACGUCCCGAUUUCAUGAGAGCUUAAAGAAUAGGCCUUUACUAACAUUCUCCUUGAAGCGGCUUCCACUUCGCCCUCACAUAGGUGAUUUCUGUACUUUAAAUCCUAUAGAUUAAACUAUUUGGUCAAAUCUACCAAAGUUAGAUAAUCAUUAAAAGACUUUUCACCUUAAGUCUUAUCCUUGUUUACUACACAUUGUCUACAUCAUGAGAAUGGGUUGGGUAAUUGACAAUGUUGAACAUGUCAAACACAACUUUAUUUGAUCUCCUUGAACCUAACUCUUGGGAUCUCCAGUCUACUUGGUAGAGUUACUGCCAUGCUGACUUGUCCUAGGCCUUAAACCCAUUCCCUUGGAUGUCCUUUCCACCCCUUCUCUAGAUAGGCCUUUUGUAAGUGGAUCCAAUACAUUAUCCUUUGACUUUACAUAGUCAACAGUGAUAAUUCCACUAGAGAGAAGUUCUCUAACGGUAUUAUAUUUCUAUCGUAUGUGACAAAAUUUACUGUUGUACAUCAUGCUCCUUGACCUACCUAUUUUCGCUUAGCUAUCACAGUGUAUACAUACUGGUGCUACUGGUUUGGGCCAAUAAGAAAUAUCUUCCAAGAAAUUCCAGAGCCAUUGUGCUUCUUCACCAGCUUUAUCCAAUGCGAUAAAUUUAGAUUUCAUUGUAGAGCGAGCAAUACAAGUCUGUUUGGAUGAUUUCCAAGAGACUACUCCUCCACCGAUAGCAAAUACAUAUCCACUUUUGGAUUUUACUUCGUUCGAUUCGGUGAUCCAAUUUGCAUCACUAUAUCCUUUAAGUACCGCAGGAUGUUUAUUAUAAUGCAAGGCAUAGUCUUGAGUGUAUUUAAGAUACCCCAAAACUCUUUUCAUUGCCAUCCAAUGAGUUUUGCUAGGAUUACUUGUGUACCGACUCAAUUUACUAAUAGUGCAUGCUAUAUCUGAUCGUGUACAGUUCAUUAUAUACAUUAAACAUCCCAAUACUCUUGCGUACUCCAAUUUUAAGUUACUUUCACCUUCAUUCUUUCGAAGUGCAAAGCUCACAUCCAAAGGAGCCUUGGCAAUACCGAAUUCCAUAUACUUGAAUUUGUCAAGUACCUUUUUCGAUAUAAUGAGACUGUGACAAUGCCAACCUUUGUGGAGUUCUAUGGAUUCUUAUACCUAAGAUCACAUCCGUAACUCCAAGGUCUUUCAUAUCAAGCUUGCUCUCGAGCAUUCAUUUUGUUGCAUUUAUGUCAGAAAUGUUUUUGCUAAUGACCAACAUAUCACCCAUAUAUAAACAAACAAUGACUUGGUGAUUUGGAGUGUCUUUAAUAUAAACAUAUUUAUCACAUUCAUUUAUUUUGAACCCGUUUGCCAACAUGGUUUGGUAAAACUUCGCAUACUAUUGUUUAGGUGUUUGCUUUAGUCCGUACAAUGACUUAAUAAUUUUACACACCUUAUUCUCUUUUCCUGGAACUACAAACCCUCAGGCUGUUCCAUGUAAAUUUCUUUCUCCAAUUCUCCAUUUAAGAAUGUGGUUUUUACAUCCAUUUGAUGGAUUUCAAGACCAUAUACCGCCGCCAAGGCAAUUAACAUUCGAAUCGAUGUUAUUCUUAUUACUGGUGAGUAUGUAUCAAAGUAAUCAAGGUCUUCUUUUUGUUUGAAGCCUUUUACUACAAGUCUUGCCUUGUAUUUGUCAAUAGUACCAUCCGCUUUCAUUUUUCUUUUGAAGAUCCAUUUAGAACCUAAAGGUUUAUUUUCUGAAGGAAGGUCAACCAAUUCUUACGUAUGGUUGCUUAAGAUUGAAUCAAUCUCACUAUUGACUGCCUCUUUCCAAAAGGAUGAGUCUGACGACGACAUCGCUUCUUUAAACAUUUGAGGCUCAUUUUCUAAGAGAAAUAUUACAAAAUCUGAUUCAAACGUAGUAGUUCUUUGACGUGCACUACGUCUUGGAUUCUCUCUUCAUUAUGUAUAUUCUCACUUGAUUCAUCUCGAGGUCAUUUAGAUCCUCCACUAGAUUGUUCAUGUCUAGUUUUAUACGGGUAGAUGUUUUUAAAGAAUUUAGCAUUAUCUGAUUCAAUUACCGUAUUUUUAUUUAUAUCUGGAUUUUCGGAUUUAUAAACUAAAAGCCGACAUGCUUUACUGCUUUUAGCAUAUCCUAUGAACACGCAGUCCACAGUCUUAUGUCCUAUCUUAACCCUCUUAGGCAUAGGAACUUAGACCUUUGCUAGACAUCCCGACACUUUGAAAUAUUUCAAGUUGGGUUUCCUUUUUUUCCAUUUCUCAUAAGGAAUUGAUGGUGUCUUACGAUGGGAAACUCUAUUGAGUAUACGAUUGGCUGUAAGGAUAGCCCCCCUCAACAAGUUUUACGGUAAAUCGAAACUUAUAAGCAAGAAAUUCAUUAUUUCCUUCAAAGUUCGAUUUUUCCUUUCCACAAUUCCAUUAGAUUGAGGUGAAUACGAGGCCGUAGUUUGAUGGAUAAUUCCAUUCUCUACAUAAAUUUCGGCGAAAGGAGAUUCAUAUUCUCUGCCCCUAUCACUUUUUAUCAUUUUUAUCUUUUUCUCUAACUGAUUUUCUACUUUAUUUUUGUAUUGCCUAAACACAUCUAUUACUUCAUCCUUACUAUUUAGCAAGUAGAUAUAACAAUAUCUAGUGCAAUCGUCAAUAAAAGUUAUGAAAUACUUUUUCCCACCACGUGAUGGUGUUGACUUUAUAUCACAAAUGUCAGUGUGUACUAAGUCUAAAGGAUUGAGAUUCCUUUCAACGGACUUAUAAGGAUGCUUUGCAUACUUUGAUUCCACACACGUUUGACACUUUGAUUUAUUGCACUCAAAGCUUGGCAAAACAUCUGAGUUAAUCAGUUUUUGUAAUGUUUUGUAAUUAACAUGGCCUAAACGUUCAUGCCAUAAAUUAUAAGACUCAAGCAAGUAAGAAGAGAACAUUUAUUUAUUUAAACAUUCAUUACAUUCAUCUUAUAAAGGCCCUCGGUGAGAUAGCCUUUUCCUACAUACAUUUCUCCUUUACUAAUUACAAUUUUUUCAAAAACGGUAACACAUUUGAAUCCGUUCUUAUCUAGAAGUGAAAUAGAAAUCAAGUUUCUACGUAAUUUCGGAACAUACAAGACAUUGUUCAGCGUCAAAACCUUGCCUGAGGUCAUUUUCAAGCACACUUUUCCUGUUCCUUCUACCUUAGCAGUAGCGGAGUUAGCCAUGUAGAUCAUUUCUUCUAGUUGAGCCAGAGCGAAUGACGAAAACAACUCUUUGUUGGCACAUAAAUGGCGGGUGGCACCAAAAUCCAUCCACCAUUCGCGAGGAUUCCCCACCAAGUUGCAUUCUGAGAACAUAGCACACAGAUCAUCACAUUCUUUGUUGGACUCAACCAUAUUAGCUUGGUCCUUUUUCUUGCCUUUAUAAGGACACGACAAUCCGUGGACUUAUGGCCAAUUUUGCCACAUUUGAAGAACUUUUUCUUGAAUUUCUUCUUAGGUUGAUUGCUUCCUUGUUCAACUUUCUUCUUUUUCUUAGAAUUGUUUUGGUCAUCUUCUACAAUAUGUGCUCCAUUAAUUGUAGAAUUCUCUUUUGACCUUCUCUCAGCAGCCUUAUUAUCCUCUUCAAUACGCAAUCGGACAAUAAGAUCUUCGACAGUCAUUUCCUUACGUUUGUGGUUCAAGUAGUUUUUGAAGUCUUUCCACAUAGGUGGUAGCUUCUCAAUGAUCGUUGCUACUUAAAAUGCAUCAUUCACAAUCAAACCUACAAAACAGUUUAUGUGAGUACUAAGAACAUUUUCAAUUUGUUCAACUAAGGUGUUUUUCAAAGAUAUACCUUCUACUAAGAGAUCAUGGAUGAUUACUUGCAAUUCCUGAACUUGAGAGACAACUGAUUUGCUAUCUAUCAUUUUAAAGUCCAGAGACCUUGCAACAAAGAAUUUCUUAAUUCCCACAUCCUCUGUCUUAUAUUUUCGUUCUAGUUCCCCCCAUAAUUCCUUCGAUGUCUUAGUUCCACUGUAAACAUUGUAGAGGUCGUCUUGGAGACCACUCAAGAUAUAAUUCCUACAAAGGAAGUCUAAGUGCUUCCAAGCCUCUACAAUCAUGAAAUACCCUUUGUCUGAGGUUCCCUCGUGCACCUCAGAAGCAUCCUCACUAGUGAACCUUUGAAGGCAUAGAGUGGUGAGGUAAAAGAACAUUUUUUGCCGCCAUCGCUUAAAGUAAAUGCUCGCAAAUUUUUCGGGCUUCUCCGCAGGUGCCAUUGGUUGCGAAGCAUUUGCUCGACUUGUUGAGGCAAUACUAGUUGCCCCCACAGACGUUGCCGCAUCUUGCAUUUGACUUUCAUUAGUCAUUUUUCCUAUUACCACAAGACAAUAAAUUUAGUAUUUUCAGAAUACUACUUAUAAAGUUAAACAACUUUAAACUCUUCUUGUUUCUUAACAAUGAAGUUUUUAUGACUUCAAAUUGUCAACCGAGUGAUCUUUAACUUGUGAUGGAGAUUUUAUGUCUUCUAAUCACUAGUUAAAUUCAAACAGAGUAGAAAACUUAAAGCUGUAAUCUCUAAAAACAAGCAAUACAGAUUCUGAAAAAAAAAACUUUAGUGAAAAGAAAAUUUCACCAAAAAAGCAAAAUUUUUUUUUCAACAUUAUUCCUUAAGAUUGUUGUUUUAUGAUGUUUUCGGGUACAAGAAUCUGUAUUUAGGUAUAACAACUUCAACACUAGUUCAAGUUUAAAACAAGAACACUAUGAAGUACAAAAACACUCUCAACACAAGAUCAAAGUGAUCUUUCUAAGAAGUGUGAUUUAUUUUUUCAGAGAUUAAGAUGAAAAAGAAAUAUAAAGCCAAGUCUCCCGACUUCAUGGAGUGUCCUUAAGGAAUAACUCCCCUCACUGUACCCGAGGUUUUGGAAUAUUCCUUCCACGAUAAAAUGACUUUCAAUCCAACUAUAAUGGUACCUCAAAUAAUUGAAUUCAUCGAACUCACUCAACGAUUCGAUUGAUCAAAUGUUUUGAAAACAAGAGUUUUUUUUCAGAAAUUUAUUCAUUCAUCUCUAAACCUGUGGAUGAAAGCAGGUUUAUAUAGCCAUCAGAUGCCUCUUCUGAAAGGUGGCAAUGGUUCACUUAAAAAGUGUAUCGUUUGGAAGAGUCAUGUCUGUUUAUUCGAAACAUUGUAUCUUUUUUUGAACAAACACAACUAUAACAGUCACACCUUUUCCAAAAUAAUGUCUUUUGCUCAAAGAUUGUGUUCCUUUAUUUUCUAUUCACACCAAUUAAACCCAAUACAUCUUCCAUUGGAACAGGACUUGAUGCGAAAAGGGUGGAGUAUUUCUGAAGUCAAGUUUUGACGAAGAAAACGGCCGUAAAGGGCAGAGCUAAUGUUUUCGCUGGUUGCUGUUGACAAUUUCACUAGUGGACUGGUCGGCGAAAACAGAGCCUUGCUGGACUAAAGCUUGGUAGGCGAAAGAAUGACUAGCUACAAAUAUGGUGGAACGAGACCCAAUACUGAGGGUAAUGAUAGGACCAUGCUUCACCUUGGAGGUCACGGAGCAUGGAUUCCAAGUUCAGGAAGGUCCUUCCGGCCCAUAAUAAGGUCCUUCCAUUACUAUCUUCCAACACUACUUCUAUCAACACAAAAGAUAUGAGUAACAAAGGAGAACUAUCUAUACAUUUUGCAGCUGAAAAAAUGCAGGGCCUCGUGUAAUUUCACCACCUUCUUUUUUUUCACAUUUUUCUAAGUCUAUUAGUUUAUGAGUAGAUUUGAAGGUCGUUGAAAUUCAAGUGCAAAAUUCAUUCUACAUCCUUACUAGCUGCUGAAAUUUGAAAAUGGAGAAAGAAUUUGUAAUUUAUUAUGGUUGAACCGUGAAAAAGCUUGAAGAAGAAGAAAUAAAUUUAUCAUAUUCUUGGUUAUUGUCCAAAUUGAUUAUAGGGUUUCGUGAUGAUAUUGUUAUGAAGUUGUAAUUGACAUUUGAGCUUGAUUGGUGUGGAUUUGGUUGAGUUUUUGCUGAAUUAAUGAUGAGACCCAAAAAUGUAGAAGCUGGAGAGCAUUGCAAAAAUUCUUGUAAGUCUUCAAAAUCAGCUUUGGGCUGCCACUUGGCCAUUUCAUAUUGAUUAGAGCAUUUCUUUUUAGUUUUUUGGCGCGCUUGAGGUAAGUGUUUUCACACGAUGGCUCCGCGUCAACACAUAAAAUGCAAGAAAAAAAGUUUGGAAAUACUUAUGUUUUCUCCUUAUUAAUUUCUAUACAAAGCUUCAUGGCAAAAUUCUAAUCUGAAUUGCCAGAGCUCAGUCAACUAUGAUAUAGAUCCUGGCGUCUUUUACAUUAUCACCAACGUACUUGCCCCAUUUCCAAUAUACCAAACACAAGAAAUGAAGUUGCUUUAUGUUGAACAAACCUUUUAGGCCAAGAAAGUUCAAUAAUAUUAUCUGAUGUUGUACUUCACAAAAGAUUUUAAGGAAUUAACUUCCUGGGGCAUAUUAAAUUGAAGACCCAGCAACGUCACAUACAUACAAUGCAAUACAGCAAUACAAUACAAUACAUUACAUUACAAUAACAAGUAACAACGAUACAAACAAUCCGAGCUGAUAUUGCAUCAAGACAUUUACCGUGAUUUACCCACUAAAUUCUACUAGGAGGGAAGUCCACAAGAAAGAAAAUGCAAAUAGAAAGAACCAACCAAUUUCAAACAGUGUUAAACUCGGGGACAGAUACGAGCUCGUAGCGGAUUCUUCAUCACAAUGGUGAAUUCUUGCUUCUCCGAGAGAUCAACAUCAUCUCCUUCCACAGGAUUCCAUUGAAAAUGCCAAAUCAGAUUAGCCACAAAAUAUUCUAAAUGAAGCAUAGCCAAUGCAUAGCCAGGACAUAUUCUCCUCCCUGCGCCGAAUGGCAUCAUCUUGAUCUCUCUACUUCCUGUUAUAUCGAAGGCUUCCUCAUCUGAUCCUUCCACUAAGAACCUCUGAGGUUUAAACUCCAAGGGAUCCUCCCACACAUUUGGGUCUAAGGCCAUGUCCGCAAGCAUGAAAUUGAUGGUCAAAUUCCUUGGGAUGACGUAGCCGUUCAGUUCAACUUCCUCCGUCACCGUGUGUGGAAUCACAAAGUGACCAGGUGGGUGUCGCCUAAGACCUUCUAAUAUCACUGCUUUCAAGUAGGGCAUUUUUUGCAAAUCUUCCUCCUUCACCUCCUCUUCUGUCGACUCGCUCUUUUUUUCUCCCACUACACUGGCAAUUUCUUGAUAUAGAUUCUCCUGAAUGGUAGGAUUUUUAACCAAGUUGGCCAUAAUCCACUGCAAGGUAGUGUAGGUCGUAUCAGUUCCAGCGGCUAGGAAUUCAACGCAGAGGGUAACGAUCUCUUCAUGAUUGAGUUUUCUUUUUUCAUCUGGCCACUCCAAAUUCAAUAGUGUAUCCACGUAACACGUCACAAAUUCAUCCUCGUGCUCGGAUUUUUGUUCUUUGGCCUUGAUUCGUGCUUCAAUCAAAGGUUGGUAGGUUUUCUGUUGCUCUUGUUGUUGCUCAUUGAAUUCCUUCCAGAGCUUUCUAAAAAUUAGCUUUCCAAGUCUAGGAAAGAUACCUAAUACAGCGAAACGUCGGCUUCCCAAGAGAAACUUCACUUGCAUAUUUUCAAUUUUUUUGAUUUGAGGUUCGUCAAGCUUGUUCCCGAAACACAUCAAGACAAGAAGACAGAACAUAGCAUACUGAAAAUGAUCAACUAACUUCACGGAUUCGUCUUGUUUGCCGCGGAGCUGGUUAAGGAGGAUAUCCAACACCCAGGCUCGGGCUUUGGAAUAGGACUUGAUGCGAGAAGGAUGGAGCAUUUCUGAAAACAAGUUUCGACGGAGCAGACGCCAUGUAGGGCCAUAAGGUGCACCGUUGAUGCUGCGGUUGUUAUUGUUGGACGGCACACUUUGCCGGUCAGAGAAAACGGAGCCUUGCUUGAUUAAAGCUUGGUAGGCUAAAGAAUGACUAGCUACAAAUAUGGAGCUAUGGGUCCCCAUAUUGAGGGUGAUCAUAGGACCAUACUUAGCCUUGAGAUCAACGAGUAUGCGUUCCAAGUCGAUGGCGUUUCUUCUGGCCCAUAAUAAAGUGCCGAUCACCGGCCAAGUGUAGGGUCCCGGUGGGAGUUUCUUCUUGGACUUGGAAUUAGAAGAGAUGAUAGUAUCAAAAAGGGAUUUGAGGAAGAAAGAGAUACAUAAAGUGACAACAAUAAUAAACCAAGUUUCCAUUAUUACUGUAUUAUUUUUCUAAUUGUAUCAUCAAGAAGAAGAGGUGUGUUUUUGUUGAUCUAUUUUUCAUUUCCAUGACCCGUAUAUAUAGAGCAUCCACCAAAAGGAGAACAGGAAUAAGCUAAGAUGUCGUGAUGCAAAGAAAUUCACCCGUGCUAAGUUACCUCUGCUAACUGCUAAGCGUGUAUCCACCUUGCACUUGCUUACUCAGUUCACACUUGUCGAUUAGAUAUUUAGAUUUGAUUAUUUUUUUUUCAUUUUUCCAUAUCAUAAUCAAAUCAAAUAUUAUCCAUUUCUUAAAAUUUAAAAUCAAAUCAAAUUAAAUAUAAAUUUUUUAAGUCGGUUUGGUUGGUAAUUGGUAUGAACACUACUUAAAAAAAUAUAAAAUAUAAUUUAAAGAUGGAUUAUAAUUUAAAUAGGGUUAUUUCAUAAAAAGUUAAAGGGUAAAAUUUAAAAGUAAAAAAUGCUAAUAAAAGCAAGAACAAGAAAAUAAAUAGAAAGAGAACAGAUUUUUUAUUUCUCUUGAUCGAUGAGAGAUCGUCUUAAGAAUACAAUGAACAAAACCCUCUAUUUAUAGAAAAAAAUACUUCUAGUUUCUAACUCUAUUUAUAGAAAAAAAUUCUCCUAGUUUCUGAUCAAAAACAGAAACUUUCUAACAAAAAGACAGAUACUUCAAAUCCUAACAGAUAUCAACUAGAUCGUGAUAGAUAUGAACAAAACCUGGGAAAAAUACUUCUGACUAAAAAACAGAUACUUCAAAUCCUGAUACAUGCCAACUAGAUCUUGAUAGAUCUUAUUUAUAUUAGACAUUCAUUAUAAUGUAAAUACAUUUAUAACACUCCCUUGAAUGUCUAAUUGAUAGUUAAAACUUGACUAGAAAAAACUCAGUGAAAAAAAAAUCUAGUGAAGAAAAAAGAGUAUACAUCUCUAACAAUAUCUGCCUCAUUAAAAACCUUACAAGAAAAACCCAGUGGAACAAAACCUUGAAAGGGAAAAAGAGUACAACUUGUUUUUGCUCCCCUGACGAGAACAUCCAUGAACUUUUGCAUCCCAAUCUUGUGCACCAUCUUCUUGAAAGUUGUAGUUGAAAGAGACUUGGUGAAUAAAUCAGUCACAUUGUCACUUGAACGAAUUUGUUGCACAUUACUAUCACCAUUCUUUUUGUAGCUCAUGUGUAUAGAAAAACUUUGAUGAAGUGUGCUUCGUUCUAUCUCCUUUUAUGAAUCCCCUUUAAAAUGUGUUAUGCAUGUUGCAUUAUCUAUGUAUAAAACUGUGGGUAUAUUGUCACAUUUCAAACCACAUAUUUCUCGAAUAAGAUGUAUCAUGGACCUCAACCAUACACAUUCUGUUAGGAUUUUUGCCCUGAUUUUCUUACCAAAUUUAAGUUUUAUUUUUCUUAGAAGGAAAAUAAAAGUAAUACCAUAAUUACUUUUCUUUUUUCAGAAAGAAAAAUAUAAAACUUUUUCAUAUUUGGCAAACCUCUUUUUUGGAGUAAAGAUUUUGAAUAUCUAUAAAUAGAAGACCCUCUUCUCAUACAAUAACACAACAACAUCCACAAUGUAGUCGUUCAACAGUCUUAUUUAGGUGGAGAUUUCUCCCAACAGGUUUUAUAUUUUAUUUUAAUAUAAGUUUUUUAUAUGUAGGUUGUUUGACCAAAUUACAUUAAUAAUAUAUGUUUAGUAUUGUUUUCUUUGUCGUCUGAUUUAUCGUCUUCAUGAUUUGCAAAUUAUAAGCUUCCACAUGGCGCCCUCUCGAUUUCGAACCUAACAAGUGGUAUCAGAACUUAUGAUUCAAUGGUACAAUAGUGUGGUGAGACGAGAUUAAACCGGUUCAAAGCGGUUUUAAAAUCAUGCUGCAACAAUUUGGUGAUAAUGAAGAUUUUUGUCUAGCUACAUGUGGAGAAGGAGCUUAAGUAUAUUUAUAACAUUCAUGUUGCUGCAUCUUUAAAAAUAAAUAUAAGAUAUUUUUUAAACCAUUUAUAAUCCAUAAUAUUUUAAAUUUUAUUUUAAUCAUGGCAAGCAACAGUUAUGAACAUUAUAUCAAGAACGAAGUUCAUGCACGUGAAGUGAAAAAGGCGAAUCAAGUGAAGAAAAUCAAGCCAAAAAGGGAAGAUUUGUCAGGAUUUUUGCCCUGAUUUUUUACCAAAUUUAACUUUUAUUUUUCUUAGAAGAAAAAUAAAAGUAAUACUAUAAUUAUUUUUACUUUUUCUAAAUGGAAAAUAUAAAACUUUUAUAUAUUUGGCAAACCUUUUUCUUGGAGGAAAGACUUUGAAUAUCUAUAAAUAAAAGACCCCCUUCUCAUAUAAUAACACAAUAACAUCUACAAUGUAGUCGUUCAAGAGUCUUGUUUAGGGGGAGAUUUCUCUUAAUAGGUUUUAUAUUUUAUUUUUAAUAUAAGUUUUUAUAUGUAGGUCAUUUGACCAAAUUACAUUAAUAAUAUAUGUUUUUAAUAGUAUUUUCUUUGUCGUCUAAUUUAUCGUCUUCAUGGUUUGCAAAUUAUAAGCUUCCGAAUGACGCCCUCUCAAUUUCGAACCCAACACAUUCUCGGCUAGCUUUAUGAAUAGCUAUUAUCUCAUCAUGGUUCAAUAAAAUGGCUAGAUAGACUAUUUUGUUGUAAUACCCCAUAUUUCCUUAGCUUAAUUUAACUCUCAGUACAUGAGCUAGCCUAUAUAAAAAUUUUGAAAUACUAAGUAUUUUUCAGUUUAGACCCUUCCACUGCGUAGAAAAUUCAACUAGCUUUCCAACGAUAUAAAAUUCGCCCAAAUCCGAUACCUGAGCGAAGAGUUAUAGCCAAUUUAGUAUAACAGUUUGCCAAAUUGCAUAUUAGCGCAUCGCGGAGGCCAGUAAAAUGGCAAUUGUCCAUUUCCAAUGUUGCUCCGCGAUAUUGGAGCAUGUCGUGUCAUGGACCCAAUUCAUAAUUGUCUUUUUUCAGUGUUCUAACGCAAUGUCACCACGUCGCGGUGAACUUCCAGGCCGCAUCCAAGGUAGCAACGUGAUACCAUAGCAUCGCACCACCAGCCACAUUUCCAGUUGGCAAUUUCCAAUGGCCCGACGCGAUCAUGGCAUGUCGCGCCAGAGCCCAAAAUUGAGUUUUUCGGUACGAAUUUUUAAAUCGUUCCUGGGGUAAAUGAGUAUUUUUCCAUUGCCCUAAGCAAUCUAAACACAAAAUUAAACCCCUAAAUAACCUAUUGCCUCAUUAUUUCCUCACUUUCUCUCAAGAAUAAAAUGUUCUCUCUCAAAGAGGCAAAAAAACCCUAGUUUAAGAAAUCAAGAACAAGCCUAAAAAUUCCUCUAAGAACCUUCAAGAAAGAAUGUUAUAAGUUAUAUUAGGUGUUCAUUCAUGGGUUCCUUUCACCCAUGAAGUCCAAGAACCCUUUUUCAAAAUACAAAGAUAGUGUAUUUAUGAAUUUCUAUGAUUGAGUUGAAUUGAAUUCAUGUUCAUGUUAUUGUUGAGUUUUUGUCCAUGAUUAAAUUACAAGCUUUCAUGAAAUUAAUCAUUAUAUGUGUUAAAUUACAUGAUCCUCUUGAUGAACCCUUCAAUUUACAAGUUGAUUGAUAUAGCCAUGAUAACUAUACGUGUUGAUUGUUGUAUAACCUAAACGUGCCUCUCAUGUGUUUGAUAAAUUGUUUAUGAGAAUGAAAAAAUGCCAUCAUAGCAUGCUAAAAUGUAUUCCCCAUUCAUGUACAAGUUAAUGCAUUACAAGUGUUUGAUGAAAUGUCUCUAUGAAUGAAUUAUGACCAAGUGAACAUUAUUAUGUUAUUCAAGAUUAUGCUUCACUUUACUUUUCAUGCUAUCGAGUCCUGGGGUAUUUAAUAAUCGACAAUUGAGCUAUUUACCUAGAGCCAGUGUCAGUUACAGAAUAGUAUCAGUCAUGUCACAAUCAGUAAUAUUCUCAGUUAAUUACAGAACUCAAUAAAACUCUGUCAGUUACAGAACUUAAGAAAACUCAGUAAACUCAGUAUCAGUCCAGUCUAAUUCAGUAUAAUCAGUUCAGUGUCUUUCAGUUGGGAGUAGGAUUUAGCACCGAGCGAGCCUAAGGAUGGGGGCUUACCCAUUAUUAGGACUGGGUCCCUAGAAGCAAUCCCUAAGUUCCAGAACUACGUAGCCACCGUAGGUUAUGAGAUAUCAUCCGUUAGAUAGGACUGACAUACUCAGGGAUCACCCGCUAGUUUAGGACUGAUCUCAGGGGUCACCCGUUAGUUAGGACUAACUCCACAUCAGCUGUUAAUACUCGCGGCACGGUGCUAACACCCUUUCAAUUGGGGUUACAGAUUGGACCGCAACUCAGUCAUCUUAUCUUAUUUGGGGCAUGUCAGUUACAUGAUUACCUCCCACAAUUUUGGUUUCAGUCUUCAAUUUAGAACUCAGUUCAGUUCUACAGAAUCAGGACUGUCAGACAUAGAUAAUCAGUAUCAGUAUUUAGUUAUCAGUAACUUUAGGUAUCAGUUACUCAGUUAUCAUAACUCAUUACUCAACUUUAGAAAAGUCCAGUUACAGUAUUUUCAUAUAUGCACAGUUUUGCACACUUAGUAUAUACAGCAUUAUCAAUUAUCCAUGUACUCUCAUAUUCAGUUAUUCUCUAUCAUUCAGUCAGUUACUGUUCAUGCAUAUGAACCCUUGUAUUCAGCCUUACCUCAUGUAGCAUAUCUAUAUAUUCCACGUACUCACGCAUACUCUUUCUUUGCGCUAUGAUGUCUUAUAUCAUAGGUUCGGACGCUCAGGUUCCCGACCGCACAUAGACAGAUUCAGAUUCAGCCAGCAUAUUAGAUUUAUUAGUGAGUCCUCAUCUGUCGAGGAUAUUCUUUUGUUUCAUUAUUUCAGUAGACUCAGUGUUUUAGUAGAUGGGGUUAGUUGAGGGAUUGUCCCAUCAACUCCACUUUCAGAUAGUUUCAGUUAGAGAAUUAUCAAACUAGUUUUCAGAUAAUAUUCAAUUUUAUAUAUUGUUAUUUCGGUUGAUACACUUUAUUAGUAUUUUACAAAUUUUUGAACCUUAUGGCAUUUCAGCCUAUUUUUCUCAUUUUACAGUAUUAUUAUUCAGUUCUCACAGUAGAUAUCAGUCAUGGGUUAGCUUGUGGUCCUUCAGGGUUGUAAGCACCAUAUAGUAUCUGAGGUACAGACUCGGGGCGUUACAAACUUGGUAUCAAAUCCUAAGGUUUAACAGAGUCCUAGAGAGUCUGAAAGUCGCGUCAAGUAGAGUCUUGUACAUGGAUGUAAAGUGCGCCACAUUUAUGGACAAGAGGCUACAAGAUGUUUUAGGAAAAGUUUCCCUUCUUUCAUGUCUCAGAUCAUGCUAUAGAAAGGUCCUCUAAGAAAGUUAUAAAGAUUCUCAUUUUUGCUCUAUUCAUGCCAGCCCUGCCUUAUUUUCAAGAUAACAGAAACAAUCAAGCUUAAAUCCCUACAGAUAGAGUUUUUUUUCAGACAUUCCCCACAGAUAAUUAUGGGAUUGUCGUAGGCUCAAAAGUAUCCCAUCAGUUUUGUUAUGUUCUAAAGUUUUAAAAUUUCAUUUAUGAUCAUGAAAACUCGUGCACUAACCCAAAGUAAGUUGUGCCUUUAAGUCCCUUCUCAGUAUUCUAGGAUAACAUAUGACCUAGAGUUAGAAGCAUGAAACCAGGAUUUUAGCAACAGUAGUGGAGUUGGGGUAAUGUUAUCUGAAUUUUGAGCAGAUUAUAUUUCAUGGGGAUAGUUGUAUAAAAGGUGAAUCAGUAGGCUUGAAACAGUGUAUGUAACAAAACAAUUUAAGUUUGUUGAUUUGAAAGUGUAUGUUGUUAGUGUAAUGGUAAUUCCCAUGGUGUAGGAAAAAUAUAAGUUUAGAUAUAGGAUAAUUGUAGGCUAUGAUGAAAGUAGUAUGGUUCAUUGAAGGUUUGGGGGUAUCCAUGUUAAGUGUUAGAAUCUGAGUUUGAAUCUUCGAGGAUUGAGCUAAUAGAAAGAAGAUUUAAGAAUUUUAAGUUAGUCAAUUGCAAGUUGUUACAUGAUGAUUGUUGGGGUUAUAGAGGGCUAAGAAUUGUAUCUCAGAAGAAAUUACUAGCAACAAGUUUUACAUUAUCAGGUGUAGACUUUCAGGGUGAGUUUAUUAUUUAUGCAUAUUAUUAUACCCUAGAAUCUAGAGUAAAAUGGUAACAGUGCAAUUUAGAGUUGUUGAGUAAGUGGUUUACAGACUUAGAAUGAUGACUUUAAGCUAAGGGGGGAGAUAAUAGAACAAGUAACCAAUCAGGCUCUCAGAUCCUAGUAGUGAUGCCAGUAUGUGUAGAAAAGUAGUAGGAGAGAAUGAGGCCCAACCCAUUCAUAUCUCAGUGCAAGGUUUCUCAAUCAUCAUGAUAUCUACUCAUGCCUUACAUAUCAGCCCUAUGAUCAUAGUUCAUAUUGUGCACUUUAUAGAAAAUUAUGUAGGCUUACAGUUCCUAGUAAAAGGAGUUCUAGUUCACCCACCAGUCCGAAUCAUAUUCCAUGAAGUUAUGAACUCCAAACUCAGGUCAUGCAGCUCAUGACUCAUGUAUUCAUGCUUUACAGUAUGUUCAGUUCCAGUACUCAUGCUACACUCCUAAUGAUCUGUUAAAUUCAGACUAUGUCAUGUAUAUCUUCAGUUUAGACCUCUUGGUAAAUCUGUGAUGUAAAUAUUCUAUUCCUCAGACUUCAUUAGGUAGGGUUAUCGGUGCCCAUAUUACAAAAUUUUAUCCAUAUUAUGGGUUCUUCUUCAGAUGUCUUAUUCAGACCAUACUAAGGUUCCUUACUCCCUAAAGUCAUUAGAACCUUAUAGAAAGAGNNNNNNNNNNNNNNNNNNNNNNNNNNNNNNNNNNNNNNNNNNGUUCGUAAAGUUAGCAAUUUAUUUUAGCAGUUAGGUGGACAAAUUUGGAUGGUUUUCUAUCUUUCCAUUUAGUUGCCCUUUCCCAAAAUAGAACAUCCUGGUAGUUGCGAGUUCAGCUCAGUUCAUGUAUCAUGACUUAGUUUCAGAUCUCAGAUAUCCAGUCAUGAUUCAGUUCGUAGGUGCCCUGUGCAUCGUCUCAGCUUUUCCUUAGUAUCUUAGCCAAGUCAGCAUUCUUCAAGGGACAUAAUGACCUAAGGGGGAGAUGUACUAUAGUCCCCGAGCUUUCAUCUCCUAAACCUUCCAGUUUCUCUUCACGUAACGAAUCCAGUGUAUAGUAGUGGGUACUCAUAAGUUGAUCCUCAAGUUCUAAUCUCAGUCAUAUGAUAUGUAUCCAAGAAAUCAGUUCAGUUCAUGAUAUUCAGUUCAUAUAUCAUGUUUCAGACUUAGUAAUGUUCUCAUGUUCCCGUUCAUACAUAUCUAGUAAAUGAUCUUAGGUUCAUCAAUAUUCUGAGCCUAAGGUAACAACGUUCCUUAGAUUUACUCGAUUUCAUGAUUUAGUUACAGUCAUAAACUUGGUUUUCUUUGCCGUUGAAUAAUCAAUCAUACAUUCAUGAAUCAGUUCAGUCAUGUAUUCCAUGUAUCAGAUAUACACGUUUAGUAUGAAAACUUAACUUAUCAAUAGCUUCAGUCAUGUAUUCCAUGCAUCAGCUAUGCAUGUUCAGUAUAGAAACUCAGUUUGUCAGUAGUUCAGUCAUGUAGUCAGAUUUCAAUUUUGCAUGUUCAGCUUGUAAACUCAGUAUCAGUGUUUCUCGGCUUAAUUAGUCUAAUUUAAGGACAAAUGUUUCCAAGGAGGAGAUAUUGUAAUGCCCCGUAUUUUUCUAACUUAAUUUAACUUUUAGUACAUGAGUUAGCCUAUAUAAAAUUUUUGAAAUACACAAUAUUUUUCAAUUUAGAGCCUUCCACUACAUAUAAAAUUCAACCAGCUUUCCAACGAUAUAAAAUUUGCCCAAAUCUGAUACCCGAGCGAAGAGUUAUAGCCAAUUUAGUAUAACAGUUUGCCAAAUUGCAUGUCAGCGCAUCUCGGAGGCUAGCAAAAUGGCAAUUAUCUGUUACCAGUGUUGUACCGUGAUACUGGCACGUCACGUCAUGGACCUAAAUCACAAUUGUCCUUUUUCAAUGUUCCAACGUGAUGUCACCGCAUCACGGUGUACUUCCAGGUCGCAUCCAAGGUGGCAACACGAUACCACUGCGUCGCGCCACUAGCCACAUUCCCAAUUGACAAUUUUCAGUGGCCCGACACGAUCAUGGCGCUUCGCACCAGGGCUAAAAAUUAGAUUUUUUAGUACGAAUUUUUAAAUCAUUCCCAGGGGUAAAUGAGUAUUUUUCCACGACCCUAAUCAGUCUAAACACGAAAUUAAACCCUUAAAUAACCUAUUGCCUCAUUAUUUUCUCACUUUCUCUCAAGAAUAAAAUGUUCUCUCUCACAGAGGCAAAAAAACCCUAGUUCAAGAAAUCAAGAACAAGCCUAAGAAUUCCUCCAAGAACCUUCAAGAAAGAAUCUUCUAAGGUAUAUUAGGUGUUCAUUCAUGGGUUCCUUUCACCCAUGAAGUCCAAGAACCCUUUUUAAAAUACAAAGAUAGUGUAUUUAUAAAUUUCCAUGAUUGAGUUGAAUUGAAUUCGUGUUCAUGUUAUUGUUGAGUUUUUAUCCAUGAUUAAAUUACAAGCUUUCAUGAAAUUAAUCAUUAUAUGUGUUGAAUUAUAUGAUUCUCUUGAUGAACCCUUCAAUUUACAAGUUGAUUGAUAUAGCCAUGAUAACUAUGUGUGUUGAUUGUUGUAUAACCUAAGCAUGCCUCCCCUGUGUUUUAUAAAUUGUCUAUGAGAAUGAAAUACUGUCAUUAUAGCAUGCUAACAUGUAUUCCCCAUUCAUGUACAAGUUAAUGCAUUACAAGUGUUUGAUGAAAAUGUCUCUAUGAAUGAAUUAUGACCAAGUGAACAUUGUUAUGUUAUUCAAGAUUAUGCUUUGCUUUACUUUUCAUGCUAUCGAGUCCUGGAGGUAUUUAAUACCCGAUAAUUUAGCUGUUUACCUAGAGCCAGUGUUAGUUACAGAAUAGUAUCAGUCAUUUCACAAUCAGUAAUACUCUCAGUCAGUUACAGAACUCAGUAAAACUCAGUCAGUUACAGAACUCAAUAAAACUCAGUCAGUUACAGAACUCAAGAAAACUCAGUAAACUCAGUAUUAGUCCAGUCCAAUUUAGUAUAAUCAGUUCAGUGUCUUUCAGUUGGGAGUAGGAUUCAGCACUGAGCAAGCCUAGGGAUAAGGGCUUACCCGUUAAUUAGGACCGAGUCCCUAAAAGUAAUUCCUAAGUUUUAGAAAUAUGUAACCAGCGUAGGUUAUGAGAUGUCACCCGUUAGAUAGGAUUGACAUACUCAGGGAUCACUCGCUAGUUUAAGACUGAUCUCAGGGUCACCCGUUAGUUAGAACUGACUCCACAACAGUUAUUAGUACCCGUGGCACGGUGCUAACACCCUUCCAAUUGGGAUUAUAGAUUGGACCCUAACUCAGUUAUCUUAUCUUAUUUGGGGCAUGUCGAUUAGAUGACUACCUCUCAUAGUUUCAAUUUUAGUCUUCAGUUUAGAACUUAGUUCAGCUCUACAGAAUCAGGACUGUCAAACACAGUCAAUCAGUAUCAGUAAUUCAGUUAUCAGUAACUUUAAGUAUCAAUUACUUAGUUAUCAGAACUCAGUACUCAGCUUUAAAAAAACUCAGUUACAGUAUUCCCGUAUAUGCACAGUAUUGCAUACUUAGUAUGUACAACAAUAUCAGUUAUCCGUGUGCUCCCAUGCUCAGUUAUUCUCUAUCAUUCAGUUAGUUACUGUUCAUGCAUAUGAACCCUUGCAUUAUGCCUUACCUCAUCUAGCAUACCAGUACAUUCCACAUACUAACACAUAUUUUUUUUUGCGAUAUGAUGUCUUAUAUCAUAUGUUCGGACGCUUAGAUUCCCGACUGUGCAUAGAUAGAUUCAAAUUUAGCCAGCAUAUCAAAUUUAGUAAUGAGUCCUCAUCUGUCGAGGAUAUUCUUCUAUUUCAUUACUUCAGUAGACUCAGUGUUUCAGUAGAUGGAGUUACUUGGAGGAUUGUCCCAUCAACUCCAGUUUCAGAUAGUUUCAGUUAGAGGCUUAUCAGACUAGUUUUCAAACAAUAUUCAGUUUUAUAGAUUGUUAUUUCAGUUGAUACACUUUAUCAGUAUUUUAUAGAUUUUUGAACCUUAUGGCAUUUCAGCCUAUUUUGCGCAUUUUACAGUAUUAUUAUUUAGUGCUCAUAGCAGAUAUCAGUCAUAGGUUAGCUUGUGGUCCUUCUAGGUUAUAAGCACCGUGUAGCGUUUGGAGUACAGACUCAGGGCGUUACAUUUGUACAUCUCCAAGAUAUGGCAGUAUCCCCACAUGUGAACACAUAGCCUAUUUGAGACCAAGUUUUAUGCGGAUUAGAUAAGUACCCAAUAUCAGCAUGACCAAUAAGAUUGGGACUGCAAUCUUUAGAAUAAAAUAAGCUCAUGUAUUUUAUCCCGUUUUGAUGUCUCCCAAUAGGAGGAGAAAUAUAUCUUGCUAACAAAUUGACUGAAAAGGCUAAAUCAGGCCUUGUAUCUGCAAGAUACACUAGUGCAUCACCUGCACUAGGAUAUGAUGCUUUAUAACCAAUCCAAUUCGGUAUAUUUCUUAUUUCAAUAAAUAAUCUAUUACUUUUGAAAACUCUCCAAGAGUUUCAAUAAUUUUCAAGCUAUAAGCUUAUACAAUAAAAGGAUUCUAGAUAAGUUUCCUAGAAACUUUUAUAUGCUUCAAACAUUUUGAAUCCUUAGAAAGUUUUCAUUUAAAUUUUGUCAAGUGAUAAUAUUCAACAUUUCAUGUGUGACAUCUUCAAGUGUCUAGACAGCAAAUCAAAUAAUUUUUACUCUUACCAAGAUGCCUCCUUUCAUGUCACUUAAUAAAUAUUCUACAUCGGCAUGCUUAAAUAAACAUAGAAUUUGGAUCCCCACAAUCUUUCACAAUAUUGCACCAAUAUUGUAUCAAAGAUAUUGAUGAUAUAUCAUUUCGUAUUGGUUCGCUGUGUGACAUAACAUUUUGAUAUCUCAUCACUUCAUUAUUUUUAGGUACCUAAACCUCUCAUAAGGUUUCAUGAAGUGUUAUGUCGUAGGCUCUUCAAGAGCACAUUGCCUUCUUAUUAUGAUUAUUUGCUCCUUAUCCUUUUUAAGAAUUAUUUUAUUUGGAACCGAUUGGUCUACCACGCUUCACGUAUGCAUAGACUUUGUCCUUCUAGAACACAAAAUAGGUGCACUUGCAGCUUAAAUAUGAGAUGCUUUUGUCAUUUGACUUGAAUUAUCUUUUGAAUGAGGAUUUAAUGAUAAUUCCUAACAUAUUUCAUGUUUCUUAUAAUCUCCCCAUUAUGUUAGGAAAACUAACAUACAUCCUUCAUUUUCUUUGAGGAAUCCAUCUUUGUGCAUCAUGGUAUAUUUAUUAACCGUAUACCAUACAUUAACAAUCAGAUGGAAUAGUCGAUUCCUGACCUUGAACCAAUUGAGAGGGAAGAAAUAAUCAUAAUAUAUUGGUCUAAUGCAUACAAGUGCUAUUGUAUGCAACAUAUCAUAUUUCAGACCAACACAUGAAGCUUUGUUCUCAUUAGCAAUGGUUUAGCUAUUUAUCGAUGGCAUUCAAUUCCAAACAUCAUCAUCAAGAUGAAUUGUCUUGAUUACACAAUCUGAAAAUUAUGCUCUUAACUCAAUUUUAUUGAGCAAGUAACUUUAUGAAUGUCAAACUGCAGGUUGACAAUAAAUGUACAUGUGAUCAUCUUAUUGAUACAUCUUUUCAAAGCAUAUCACAUGGUAGGUGACCGGACCCAUAUUCACCUUUUAUAUUUUUUAGAUUUUGAGAGAUAAAAUUCCAACAUUAGUUGGUCCAACCAACUUAUUAUGAGAACAAACAACAUUAAAAAUAAUGAAGAAUUUUUUAAUUCUUCAAUAUAUGUUGAAUACUUAGUAUGCACAUCUUUGGAAUGUCACAAUCAUUCAUGUCAGUUUAUGAACUUUUAUUCUAGCAAACUCCAAGUUUAUCAUGACAUGUACCUUUUAUUUUAGUAAAUUUCAGAUUUACUAUUACAUGAAUAAAAUUCAGAUUUACUACUUUAGAAGUAGAUUUCAAAAUAACUCUUUUAAGUUAUUCUGACUCUUUCGGAGGUGAGUUGUGAUACCAUCACAAUCAAGUGCACGUUUGUAUUAAUAAGUUUCUCAUUCUCCAGAAAUGGAAAUAAUCAUGCCUUAAGCCUAUCAAAUUCUGAUAGUUUUUAACCUCUUUUAAGAUAUUGCUAAUUUAGGAGCAAAUCGAGGCAUAUAUGGUUGUAGAGAAAAUUUUCUCUAACAUAUCUUAUAGUCAUAAUAAGCGUGUGAAAAUAUAUCACUUUUGAUGAUUAUCAUAUUAUCCGUUCAUGCUUAUAUUCGUAUAUUCAAUCUCUUGUCCUCUUUCAUACAUAUUACGCACUACUACCACAUUCACUUAAGAGAAUGGAGCAUAUUCAAUGGAACAUGUCUCAUGCCUUUUCACAAAUGCUCAUUGUUUUGCCUUAGCCAUCAUCAAUAUGGUGCAUUGAGAUUCAAACUCAACAUCUUAUCCAUAUAAAGGCAUCUUAGGCUAUAAAUCGAUGGGGUUUAAACCCAACAUCUUUCAGAUUCAAAGCAAUUGUUACUUUUAAGAGUUAUAAAAUACCAUAAAAUUUAACCACUAAUAGUGAUUAUAGACGUAAAUAAAUUUAAUAACAAAUAAUCUUAUAAAAUACACCACAAAAAUUCAAACAUGAAUAAUAACCUAGAUGUUCAUGAUCCACUCACAGAACUUUAAUAGCUUCAUCAAAUCUUAAUUACUUUGGCAAUUCUGUAAAACUGUCAUAAAGCAUAAGCUUCCUAAGACAAAAAUUGUGUAACACUUAAUCAAACCCUUUAUAUAAUCAAAGUGUUGCCCCAUUAUACGUAGAAUCAAAAUCUCAAGAUCCUAUCAAAAGUUGAAAUCUUUAAAGUUGAUGUUCACAAGGUCAAUAUGAGUUGCUUGGUUCUUCCUAUCCGUAUUAUCUAUAUUCUUAUCUUCAAAGAGUAUUUUGAUUCACGGUAGAGUUUCGUAUUGAUAAUGUGCUAUGAAAUAUAAAAUUAAGAACAAGAAAAUAAAUAAAGAGAGAAGAGGAUCUCUUGAGGCAUGAGAGAUCAUCUUGAGAAUACAAUGAAUAAAAUCCCUCUAUUUAUAAGAAAAAAUACUCCUAGUUUCUGACUAAAAAACAAAUACUUCAAAUCCCCCUCUAUUAUAGGGAAAAAUACUCCUAGUUUUUAAUUAAAAGACAAAUACUUCAAAUCCUGAUAGAUAUCAACUAGAUCUUAUUAGAUUUUAUCUAUAUUUUUUUAUAGACAUUCAUUAUAAUGUAAAUACAUUUAUAACAAAAAAUAAGUUUUUGACUGUUUUACGAGUAAUUUUCACGGAUAGUCAUUUAUGUUUUCAUAAUUGCCUACAAAUAUCACUUUUGUUUGUUUUAAUACAAGAAUAUCACCUAACUAUCCCUAUUUUCCUCAAAAAAAUACUUAACACUUUAAAAAUCUUCUUAUCUCCUACUUGGCAUGUCAUGUUGUUAAAAUCUUUUAUUUUCUUAAUUAUAAAAGUAUUUAAUUCUUCAAGUUCAUUUAUUCAAACCCAUGUCUUAUAAACUAUAAGAAAAUCUAAAUUACGGAAUAUUUUAUUUUUGGGGGGAGAAUUUGGAAAGGAAUUUACCGAUAACCUAAUUCUCUACAAGGUUUUCAACAAAACUAAUAUGAUGAAAAACCUACAAAUUUUUUCUAUCAAAUAAAAUUUGAAGGAGAAAAUCUUAGAAUUUUUUUUUUGUCAAGUAAAAUUCAAUAGAAAAAUCUUAAAGGUAAUUAUCACCUAAAAAUUUUAAUUCAUAUGUAGAUCACCGGCAAAAUUUUAAGCAAGAUCCUUUUGAUAAAAAGAUAGUAAGAAAAUAGAUUCUUCGUGCGUAUUUUCCCUAAGUGAAUUUCAUAAACAAAUCAAGUAAAUUCGCAAAGUUAACAUAGGCAAAAACUUUAGAGAAUAGAAAUUCAUUAUUUUUAAUUUCAUUUUUUCAUUUUAUUUUUUGUUUCUAUUAUACUAUACUUUAUCUUAUUAUUUAAUUAAACACCAAUUUAUAUCCUUUUCACAUCCUAAAUCCACAAAAACAAGCGAUAAUUGGUUGGGUAUUGUUUCAAAGAUUCAUUUGUAAUAUUAGAUCAUUUUGUUAAUAUUUUUUUUUAACAAUUAAUUUAUUUCAUGACAAAAUAAUUUAUCUUUCCUUCAAUAAAGUUUUAAAAAUAUUAGUAAGUGGUGAAAUAAAUAAAUUUAAAAAACUUUGAAAAGUACAAAAUAAAAUAAUUCAAUCCUUUAGUUUUAUGUGUACAUUUGGACACAUCAACUACUUAAUUGACGAGUAAUGUGCAUAGCUUUACCAGAGGAAUUAUUUUCCUUCAAGUUGUGUGAUUAUCUAAUAUUUUUAUCAUGUGAUGUAAUUUUUCUCAUAUCAAAUAAAGAAUAAAUAUAAUUUAUCUCUAUUUUUAAGAAAGACAAAAUAAAUAUAAAAUUUAAAGUAUAUAAUUAAAUUGUUCUUCAAUAAUAAAUAUAUUAUGUGUAUUUAUUUUUUAAAAGAAAUAAACUAAAUUUUAGUUAAAUAAGUUUGAUAAAUUAAAUAGAUCUAUUUCUUAUAUAUAUAAAAACAAAAAUUAAUGACAUGAAAUGCAAAUUAGGAGAGAAGAAAUGUUUUUAAAGUGUCAAGUGUUUUUUUGAGGAAAAUAGGAAUAGUUCAGUAAUAUUCUUGCAUUAGAAGAAACAAAAAUGAUAUUUAUAGACAAUUGUGAAAAUAUGGGUGACUGUCUAUGAAAAUUACUCCUGUUUUACAAAUAUAAAUUCAAAUUGUAUUUAAAAUUUUCAUGAUCAGAGGUAUUAGAUGGGUCCUUAAUUAAUCUUUAAAUCUAAAUUGAAUUAACUUAAUUAAAUAUUUUAAAUUUAUAAUUUAGAUAUGUAAAAAAUUAUACGAUAACUCUAAAUUAUAAUUUUUUUUAUAUUAAUAAGAUAAAAAAUACUUAUUAAAAUAUUAAUCAUAAUUCAUAUAAUUUGUCUUUCCAUAAUUAAAAUGUCACAAGUAAAAAUAAAUUAAAAAUGAGUUAUUAAAUUCAACUAAACUAAAGUCUAAAUUAUAUUUUAGAGAUUAUGAAUUGUCAAUAGUGUGAAGCUUAUAGUACGGACCUCUCACCUCAUGGGGUCCACACAAACCUUAAAUUGAGAACAUGAUCGGAUUGGAUUUCAAUUUCUUCUAAACUCAAAACUCAAAGUUGAUAACAUGCACAAGCUUAAGUUUUACACUUUAAAGAUAUAAAAAAAAAAAUAUUUUUAUUUUUAACAUUUUCUGAAAAAUAUAACAUUUUCUUGAUGUAACAUUUUCUUUUCUUAAAGAUAUAAAAAAUAAAAAUAUUUUUUAAUAAGUUCAUUUGAAUAUAAUGUUUGAAAAAAUUACAUUACGGAUAGAUAUAUGGAUCUAAAUUUGUCGUGAUACUAUGAUUUUCUAUUUUUUUUUCUUGUCUUUCAUGGUUCUAUAUAUCAACAAUUUGAAUUAUUAACUUAUAAUAUCAUUUUAAAAAAAAAAAGAAUAAAUGAAAAAAUAGAAUAGCAAAAUCAAAAUAAAAGGCAAAAUAAAGUAUGUCAAUCACAUCAAGUUAAUUGUUACGUAAUAUGAAAUUCUUCAGCAUUUCAUGUUCAUCAUGACAUGGCAUCGAUGAAUUCAAUUAUACAAUAUACUCUUCUUAUAUUACUCCAUCCGCUUAAAAAAGAAUGACAUAUUUUUUUAGGCCGUUUUAAAAAGUAUGAUUCCCUUCUUUUUUUAGUAAUUUUUAAAUUUUAAUGUUUCACGCGGCAUGUUUAAGACCAUACAAUUGAAGGACAUUUUGGUACAUUUGAUAUAUCUUUAAUUUAAGAUCAUAAGAUUCAAAAAUCUAUUUUAUUUUCUUACACUUUGUGUCAAUUUAAAUUAGGUGAUUCUUUUUGGAAAAGAGAGGAGUAUAUAUUAUAAUGAUGACUUAUAGCCAAUGAUGACAUGACAUAUUUUUUUUUUAAGAAUUCCUCUUUUUACUUUUUUAUCUUCCUAUCUUUUUUCAAUCAAUUCAAUCUUCAUUUUCCUGCCCCCUAUUUUCCUAUGUAAGUAAAUGCCAAAUUAAAUGACUCCAUUGUUAAUGCCUAGUGGACUCUAAUCUUUCACACUCUUAUUAAUGUGCUCCAAUCUUUCACUCUAGUGUUACCAAAUCUUCCACUCUAUCAUUAGUGUACAAUCUUUCAUGCAAGAUAAGAUUGUAAGAAUAGUCUACUGUGCUAAACGUGGACGCAAUCCACACUAAUUAAUUGUGAUAACCACUAUUCAAUCUUUUGCUUGGAUGGUUUAUAUUUGGUAACGUAAUUAUUUCGCGUUGUAUAAUAUUAACUUAUUUUUUGACAUAUAUAUAAUAGAUAAUGUAAUUUCUAUGGUUAGGUAAUGUCAGAGAGUGACGGAGUCAACAUCUUAACUAAGGGGUUCAAAAUUGAAAAAUCUGAACAAAAGAAUUAGUCGACGAAGGUUCAACGUCUGUUACAUAUACAUGAAAAAUAAUUUUAACCUUGUAUAAAUAGUAUAAUUUUUCGAUCCAAACUGCAGCAAUAUUAGCAAGCUCCACCUUUGAUGUCGGACAUCAAUAAUCUGAACAGUAACUUUAUCAUAUUAUAAAAAAUAAAAGAAACCAUACGAGCUCGAUUUUUUUUUUUUAAAAGAUAGAGGAUUAAAAUAAAUGGUUCUAUUAUCUAAUUUUAAAAAGGCAAAACGAAAAAAAAAUAGUGUGCAAUCACCCUAAAUUGACGGUUAAUAAAUUGAGAUUUUUCAUUGUUACUAUUUGAAUAGUCAAAAGAUACUUCCAUUGACCGUGCUUUUUAAAUAUUUUAAAUUAUUAAUUUUUGCGAUUUAUAUUACUUUUAAGUUAGUUUUUAAAUAUGUUAAUUUAUUUUUAAAAAUUAAAAUUUUCAUAUUUCAAAUCACACCGAAUAUUAAUUGGUUUGAUAGUUGAUUAUACUCCAAAAUAAGAUCAAUAAAUUGAAACGACAUAGUUAUAUUGCAUUAGCGAUCUUUAAUAUGGACUUGGAUUGCGUUGUUUCGUGAAAUGUUGCGGCAAUUGCGUAGAGCAUUUUGUGCAUUUGAGUCUUUUAGAGCAAUGCUUCACCUAAGAGUGGACGAAACGACUAUUUACUGUUCGUUUGGAUGUUUGUUAUAGUGUGUUUCGUAACGUCAUUGUUUUACGUUAUCCUGAUACAUCUAUAGAUACACCCAAAAUAUGUCUAAACUAUUUCAAGAUUUAUGCAUUUUAUUUUUAAUGUGUGUUGUCUGCACUUUUUGAAGAUUGUAGUCAUUUCUAUUGUUAUCUAAUUUGGUAUGAGUGCUAAUUCAGUGGUGGAACAAGAAUUUUUACUAAAAACAGUCAAAAUAUAAAGAGGUAAAUUCAGAAAGAAGAUAAGGAGUGUUAAAAUAUAUAAUAUGCAUAAAAAUGAAUAUUUGACGUAGAUAUGAAGGGUAACUUUUGGAAUUUGGAUGAAUCGACACAUCUUGACUACAUGUUGCUCCGUCAAUGUGCCGGAUAUGUUUGGACUUUAGCAGCGCAACAUUGAUCACUACCAUAUAAUAUAGUCUACCUUAUAGUCAUUUUAUAUAACUAAAAUGAUAAAUCUCACAUUGGUAAGUAACCUUCUGUCAUGUAUCCUUAUAUCACAACACCUCGGUAACACUUUUGAAUUUUAACCAUUCGAUUUUAGUUUUAAGUAACAUCUUUGUCUAUCGUUUCAUUCUCUUAAAAUAACGAGCCUGAAUAUCAAUUAUUUACAUUUUGGCACUGGAAUCUCAUUUAAUCUCACAUCAACUAGAGUGUAGGAACUAAGUGCUCUCUAAAGCUUCAUUCUUUGAACAACAUAUAAUAGAGUGGCAACUAAGUGAUUUCUAAAGCUUCAUUGUUUUAAACUUAGAUCUGACACAACAUCCAAAUAAAAGUACCAAAAGAUUCUCAAAACACAAAAGCAUAAGAAAGCAAGUACGUAAUGUCACAAAACAUUGAAAAACCUAACUUAUACAAAUUAAACCUAACUUAGAUAACCAAUUCAAACUUGUUCUUCGUGAGUUAUCGGGCUCCUGUUUCAGAACAUCUUUAAUUUAAUCCCAGAAGAUCCAUUCUAUCCACAAAAUUGCAUGAUAAUGUAACCACUAACAAAAGGAAACUAUAAGAACUCACCCUCCUUUUUUCCUAGUAGCAAGACAAUAGUAGAUUACAAGAUCAUUGUUAACUUUUAGGGAAGUUGGGACAGAAGAAGAAAAAGAUUCCCAUCAAGCAGUCAGCCAAAUGAUUCUAAUGUCCUUCCUGUUAUGCUUACUCCUCCAUUGCAUCUGUGGAAGAUUCUGUAGCUUGCUUAUCGGAUUAAUUUCCUGUCGUUCUUUCCUGUAACACGUGCAUUUGUAAUCAACACAACAACACGCAGUAUAUUCCCACAAAUUACAUUUGUAAUCAAUAAACAAAAUCAACAAAGAAUUCAUAAUCCAUCCAGGAUGAGAACGAAAAAUAGCAACUCUAUAAUCUAUAGUAAUGAGAAUUUCGUUCAUGGUCAUUCAGCUUUGUGUCCAGUACAUAAAAGUCACUCUUUCUUUCGUUACACAAAAGUUAUUCUACUUUCCUCCGAUCAUUGUUGGAGUUACUUUAACUAGAGUUUUUAGUAAUCUCACCUGAAAAUGCCGUGGCAUCUUAAUUAAUGCAUUUGCUUAAUUAAAUAAGGAAAAAUUACAUAAGUCAACACCUUAACUUUUCUAUAUUACUUUAAAUACCCUCCAACUAAAUAUAUUACAAAAAUCCCUUCUAAGACACAACACACGCGCUUUUGCUUAUACAUUCCAACCGACAGCUCAACAUAAUACCCAAAUACUAUUCUGUAGCCUAAAAUCAUGGAUUGCUGGCGAAGAUUAUGCCAAAAUUCAAUCUUGAAGCAACAACCGUUAUCUUCCAUUACAAUUACUCCAUUAACUUAAUUAUUCAAAAUUAAUUGGAGGUUAGUUUGUUUCUAGUUUAUAAUUUUGUUUAUUAGUUUUGAAAUUGAACAAAUCCCUUUUCAAUUUUAUGUUCUUUAAACAUUAUAACAUUAUUAAUGGAGUCAGGACCCUCUUUUAGUUUGGGGCUUACUCAAUUUCAGUCAACUUCUAAUGAAACUGAUAUAUCUGGGUUUGUUCCUGGUAACUUCAAUUUUAAAGACGUUGGUUUUCAUGAAAAUAGAUCUAAGUAUCGGAACGAUUUGACAAUCAUGAAGAAGUUAUGAGAUGCUGCUAGUGCUAAAGGGAAGAAGACUGUUGUUGCUAUUUCAAAGAAAAAAAGAAAGGAAGUUGUGAAAAGACCCUUUACCAAAGGUAUGGUAUUUAUGUGUUUGACUGGCGAAUCUCCCCAUAACAAAGUUAUUGUUAUUAACAAAUGUUAGUGUUAAUAAUUAGUAUGAUACAUAACAAGGAAGAUAAUGUUUGUGCAUGCGUUAUGAUACAUCACAAAUUUUCUUAUUAUGAUACACAAGUAAGAAUUUUAUCAAUAUGCCUGAUACAUAUAUUAUAGUUAUGUAUCAUAAUCUAAGAUGUAACAACUAUUAAAGCUAAUUGUUAAUAUGAUACAUUACUUAUGUAUAUAACUAUAAGUGAAUGCGUUAUGAUACAUCACUAUUUAACACUAAGUAAGAAAUUUACGAGGAUGUCUAAUACAACCUGAUACAUAAGUAAGAAUUUUAUCAGGAUGUUUGCUACAUAUGUUAUAGUUCUGUAUUAUAAUACAAUAUGUAACAAAUGUUAAAGGUAAUUGUUAAUCUGAUACAUUACUUAUGUACAUAAGGUCAUAAAAUGUGUUAUGAUACAUCAGUGUUUUUUAAUGCAGGGGAUGAAAUACGUGAUCAAAACUGUUCCACAUCAUCCUUUGAGGUUUGACAUUUCAUGCAACCGUAAUUUUGCGACUGAUGUUGAAUACUUUGUGGGUAAAAAGUACUAAAUAUGUUUAAGGAGACAUGCUUUGGUAUGUCUGUUGAUAUGCCUAAAUCAAAUUUUCAAGGUCAAAUAACCAAAAAUUUGUUGAUGUUUGAGUGUAAACAAGAUAACCCAAAUGAAUUUCAUGUUUAUGUCAAGAAAGCAGUUUUGAAAUUUACGAUAUUUGAAUUCGCUCUCAUUAGUGGUUUGAAUUGCACCUCAAACAUUGAGGACUUUCAGUAUCCGAUUUCAGAUGGCUCUGUUUUAAUGACAAAGUAUUUCUCAGUAGCAAAAAAUGGAAUAUUCAAAAAAAAAAUUGUUGAACGGUAUAAGAUGAGAAAUUUUGACAAUGAUCAGGAUGCAUUGCAGAUGACCAUAUUAUUUUUCAUUCAUACGUUUUUGUUAUCUGAAACUGAUGAUGCAACUGUUAGUUUUAUAGAAUUCAAUGUGGCAGAGGAUGGUCGAUAUGAACAAUAUCCAUGGGGAAAGAUUGCUUUCAACAAGUUGAUGAACUCGUUGAGACAGGACUUUUUCGUUGAAAAGUAGCUUUAUCAGUUAGGAGGAAUGCCACAUGUUCUCAACGUCUGGAUGUACGAAUGUUGUUCUGAAGUAGAUAAAGACAUUGCUUGUUGCAUUGGUAAUCGUAUCCCGAGGAUAUGUAACUGAUUUUUUGUUGGAACAAAACCUAAAUUCGAGAAGUUCAUGAAUGGAAUGUUUAGCAAGGUAAUUUAUAUUUAUUUUCAAUCUUUUUUUGUAUUUUAUAUUGCACACAUGAAUAUUUUUUUUUAUGUUUUCAAUAUAUAUUUUCUUGUCAAUAUAUGAUAAAGCAUGUAACUUGUUCAUACUGUAGUAUAUUUGACGAUCAGACAUCUUCCAUAUCAAUUCCUACAACAAAAUAAUUUUUUUUUACUAUUACAUUAUAUAUUACAGUACUCAUAUGAUACAUUCUGAUACAUAACUGUACAGUUUGUGGUAUAUCACUACAUGUUAUGUAGAAUAUUGAUACAUUAUUUUCCUUACAUUCAUUUAACUAAAUUUGUUAUUUUUUUCAAUCCCAAUUAUAGUAUGUGUAUACCAACAUAAGUCCUACAGUUGAUGAUCUGAAAUGUCUUCAACUGCCAAAUCAUGAUGGAAUGGAUUUGAAAGAUUCUGUCAAUUCAACUUUGCCAUCCACAUCUUGUAGACACCCGAUAAAAGUUGAUCAGAAAGCUAAAAUGAAAAUUGAUUCAUUACCUUUGGAUGAUUUUGAUAAUUUUACUACCCCACCACCGCUCGAAUUAUUAACUAAGUCAAAGGCCAGGUCAGAUAGAUCAUUGACACCGCCUUCAAAAACAAGAAAGACAGACGCUGAGUGAAAAGAAUCGGUGAUAGGUCAAGAAAAGAUUAAAGCUCACCCCUCUAUUAAAGAAGUCAAUAAAUCACCUUCUGGCAUAUCAAACUCAAUUGCUGACCCAAUCAAUGAAGAAGCUCCACAUGAACCAUCUCUAAUGGACUUCGGUGAAUAGACACCACCAGCAGAACAAACCCCACUAGUUGUCGAAAGUGUGCGUGAGUCCACACAGAAAAUUAAUGUGUCUAGAGGAACAUAUCGUGAGCAAGUUUUGAUGAAAGUUGAUAUGAAUGCAAUUGAAUCAUUAGUCAAGACAUAUGUAAGUGCAACAUGAAUUUUUAUUUUUAAAAUUGAAUAUCUUAAAAUAUCUAAUUUACUUUGUUAAACUUAUGCAGGUUGACAAAAGAUUUGAUGACAUUGAAGCAUUAAUGAAAAACAUCAUGAAGAAAUGAAAAAACAACAUGAAGAAAUAAUGUUAUCUGUGAAGGAGAAGCAUGAUGCUCCACAAAACUAACUUUUAAUAUGAUCACAUCAAAUUUUAUAAAAUUUUAUAUAUUUUUAUCUUUUUAAAAAUUAUAUGUUUUUUUGGUUGUUAUUGAAAUCGAUAGUUCAAAUAAAUAUUUGGAAAAGAAUGAGAUACAUGGUGAUGAUUUGAAAACUCCAAAAGAACAUCAAAAGGAUGCACCAGAAAAGGAAAAGUAGUAAGAAUAUUAAAAAAAAGUAUCGUAUAUUAUUUCUAUAAUGUAAUGAAUUUUUGUGGUUCAGAAUGAUGAUGGAAAUGCUGUAUCUACAGGAGAUCACAAGAGGGAUGAAAAAUCAUCAACUAAGUCUUCUAAGAAAUUCAAUUUUGAUGAUCCAGCUAUCCGAGAAAGACUAUUGAAGUUCAAAUUGUAUAGAAGGUACUGAUAAAAAACUAUUAUAUCGAGUGUAUGUUAUUAAUGUGAAAAAUUAUAUGUUACUUAGAUAUUGCAUUAUAUGUUGUACAACUGACACAUUCAAUGUAAAAAGAUUGAUAUAUUUGUCAAUUCUUUCUCAACAAUAUUGUUAUUUCAACCUAUAUAAGUCUUACAUGUUCUUUAAUAUCUAAUUAAUUUCAUGUUUCAGGAAGGUGAAACUGAGGUUAAGAAUGAUGCGUUUCAGCAUUCCAUCGAUAACUCCAUAAAUGACAUUUCCUCACCAGUUAGUGCAAUACAAUCUGAGGAGCUUUUACAGAAAAAAAAUCUCCCUGAUCUCAUUUUUCCAACAGACAAUAUUGAAGUUCGAAAUGAACUGCAAGUAAAUAUAAAAUACAAUUGUGGAUUAUUUCAUAUGGGAUCUCUUUCAUCCAAUCAAUAUUAGUAUAAUGCUAUAACAUUUGGUAGCUGUAUCUAACAAUUUACAUUUUCCAGGUGUCCAGCACUGAGAUAUCUUCUAAUGCAUUUCAAAAAUCGAUAGAUAAUGUAAUAGCUGGCAUGUACACACCAGUCGUUACAAUGACAAUAAAUUCAGACGAUCUUUCACAAAAAGUCAAUCUUCCUAAUCCGUCCUUAAAAACUGACAAUGUUGAAGUUCCAAAUGAACCGCAAGUAUGGAUAACACAUGAGGUUUGGAAUAUAUAUGUUAUUAAUUAGGAAUAUCUUUGUUUAAAAGAAGGUUAAGCAUGUUAUAUAAUUUACCUCAUACAUUAAAUACACUAAAUUAAUGUUUUAUGAAAUGUAUCAGACCAUUAUUACAUAUUAUGAUACAUAACUGUUUCACUAAAUUAUAUGGGUUAUUUCUUAUAAAUACGGCCACAUAGAUAUAAUGUUAACGAUGUAUUACACUAUAGAUGUCAUAUGGAUUCUUAUACACACUUAAUUUAUAUCUAAUAAUUUAUCUUUUUCAGGAGUCUACCAAUGAUACUUCAACUGAUGCGUUUCAGGAAUCAAUAGAUAAUAUUAUAGCUGAAAUUUCCACACCAGUCGUUGCCAUGAAAAUGAAGUUUAUUAGUCCCACUGAAAUCAACGACAAUGAAUGUCAAAUCCAUGAUAGUUGAUUUCCAUCAGUUAUUCCUGAAGCAAACUUGGAUAAACAGGAUGCCAUUAAAAUACGUGCACCAAGAAAUAGGAAGCGAAGUAAAAUAUUCAGCUCACCAUUUACAACUGAAUUUGGUUCAAGUUGUGAAGGCAAAGAAUAUGCAACAGUUGAUUUUCCUCGAAAGCAUCCGUUUGAUGAUUACUUUAUUUCUCAUGAUAUACCGAACGGACUAAUCGAAGAGUACUGUGAUUGAAUUGUCGAAGGAUUAUUAAAGUGUCAUGAAAAGAAGUAAGAUAUUUUUACUUUUUUCAUUAUUAUUUUAUAAUUUUAAAAUCACAAAGAGUAUUAUCAUUUCAUUAUACUCAUGUAGGAAAUUGAAGGACAACCACUACAGAGCUAAUAAAUCAGGAAUUGAUUUUAGUUUAUUGAAUUUUGUUGUUGCACAACCAGACUCAAAGAACUAGUUUUACACAAUGUCUUAGCCUAACACCUGCUGGAAUGAUGAGGUAUUACAAAAAAUAUUACUUACAUGUACAAUAAACAGCUUCUGAUACAUAUAUAUAUAUAUAUAUAUAUAUGGGGAUAUCAAUAAAUUAUUUAUUUUAUUAUUUUAAGCAGCAUGUAAAUGUUAUAUCUACUAUCUUCGAAAGAAAUCAAAGCAACAAAAGGAUCAAGAAUAUUGAUACACUACGGUUAAUUGCCUGUUCAAAACAUACAUCGAUGCGACAUACAAAUGUUACUUUGAGGAUGCAGUGGGUGAUUCUCUCUCAACUCAAGAUGAUUAUAAAAGAUCGUGUUUUGUUGCAAACAAUGAAGAAUCACUGAUAAACAUCAUCAAAGGGUUCAACAUACCUACUACUUUGCCUUGGCACUUGGUCAAUGAUGUAUACUUUUCUGUAAAUUGUGAUGAAAAAUUUCACUGGAUGCGGGCUGUGAUAUCUGUAAAGAAAAGAUGUAUCUGCAUGUAUGACUCAAUGUUGUCAUCGCAUUAUAGAGAGCCAUCACAUGAGAUCAAAAAGUUGUCUGUGAUGCUGCCAACAUACCUUAAUGAUAGUGGAUUACUAGAAAAUACUGAACAAACUGUAUGGUCAAGUCUCGAAACUUACACAGAUAAGAUAGUCAAGUGGCUGGUGCUUUGAAUAAAAAUUUAUUUGAUGUUGAAUACAUUGAAAAUAUUCCGCAAUAAGACAGUGAAAGUUUGUAAGUAUAUCCUCACAGUUUUAUAUAUCUAUAAAUAAUUCAUCUCAUUUUUUAUUGUUGAAAAUUUUCUAAAUUUACAUAAUUUAAGCUGACACAUUAUUAUACAUUUAUUGUCCAUGUACAUAUGUUUUGAUACAACAAAAAUUUUCACAUUAUUAAGCAUCUAACUAAAUGAUUUGUCAUGCUUAGGGACUGUGGAGUUUUUGUGGCAGCUUAUGCAGAAUUUCUUAGCUAUUAAAUGCAGAUUCCUUCACCAAAUCUUGAUGCAGAAUAUCUUUAAAAGAGAUAUGCAAUACUCUUAUGAAACUAUGGAGUUAAAAAGACUAAGAAGAUUUAUUCUAGUGACCAUGACGAUUCACCAAGAUCACGACCAUUUGAUGUCCCUCCGACUGAUGAGUCUAAUAUUGUAGCCAUAGAGUAGAUGCUAGGUUGUUCCAUAGCUCUGUUCUUAACAUUGUUUUUGUUGCUAUCUUAUUGGCCUCUAUUAAUGUAAUUUUAGACAUUAAUUUUAAUAGUGAUGUUUUUGUGGAGAAAUUUUCAUCAAUUUUUUGAACAAUUAAAAUUUGUUUAUGAUAUGUUAAAUUUUCAUCAACACAUGAAAAUCGAUGAAUUAUACAUGUGAAAAUUGUUGACAAGGUUUGCAAUAAGUUAGUUACUGAAAAGAUAUGUAUCAGACAUACUUUUUUCAAAAAUGCAUGCAAUUUAUCAUAUUACUUCAAAGUGUCUCAGAUCAAAUUUGAAACAUAUUUAAAGUAAAGUAAUAGGUAUAACAAAUAUAACUAAAAAAAUUUCACAUUCAGCUAUGAUACAUCACAUAUUCAUGCAUCAUAUAUUCUGAAGUUACAGUACAAAUAUCAAUAAGUCAGUUAUUAUAAAAUUUUCUAUUAUAAAUAGUCUUUACAAUUACUUCUUGAAAUGUAUCAUAUUACAAGCUACAUUGUAUCAUGAAUCCUAAACUUACAUUAAUUAUUUGUGUAAAUUUUUCAGUUUUUAGUGCAGUUACAUACAAGUGUUGUUUCCUAAAACUAAUUAUACUGAAAAUAACCCCAAUAAAAUGAAUAGCCUUUCAUGAUAGAGUUGCUUUCUAAUUUGAAGAACAAUCUAAAAAGUUGUUGUAAUGUAAUAGAUUACUUAAGAAACAAUAUUAAAUAAUAAAUGAAAUUAAAAUGAUAAGACAAAAAUAAUCCACUAAAACAAACAAUAAUUCAAAUUAAACAUUGUUCCAACAUUAUUCAAACAUAGCCAAAUGAAAACCAAACUAACAGUGAACAACUUAACAUAGAUCGUUCAAUGUAUCAGGUAACCAAAACAUCAAUUAUCCUUUGGAAAGAAGUUGCAAGUACGUCUAUUUUGACCUUCUUGACCACAUUUUUCACAACAGUUUGUACUGGAGGAUAGUUUUUCACUUGCUUUCUUACACCUACCCUUUUUCGGCCUCUCAGAUGAUCUUUUGUAUUUGGAUGAUAUGACUUCUUCUUCUUCGACACAUCUAGGCACAUGUCAAUCCUUUUUAUCGGGCAUAGGUACUACUGGAACAUCAUAUGUCUUCACUAAUAUCACAAGCUUAUAGUAAUCAGAGCACAACGAACGAAACUUCACAAUGCGUUUACUUCUCAACACUGCAAUCACGUGCAGACAUGAAAUUUCAUCAAUCUGAAAUCUACAGCAGUUGCAUUUGUUAGCAUCCAAGUCCACAACGUAUAUUUUUCGAGAUUCAUAAACUAAAUAAUGAUACUCUGAUGCAGGCUUGACCUAACAAACAAAAAAUCACACACAAAAAAUAUAACGUACAAUAAAUUUUUAUUCAAUAAAUAAAACUUAAAAUGAGUAAUUAUUUACAAAUACCGUCAUUCUAGAUGCUUUAACUCCAUUAAGUGUUAGGAUUUUGUCAAACUUUCUACCUAAAGUUGUUUUUGUAUAUGAAGUAAUUUCUCUAUUUUUACAAUUUCAUGCUCCAAAUAAUUUUCUGACUUCUUUCAAAAAAUCUAAAAUCGACAAUUUAUGCGGCUCCACUAAACAAUCAUUUAUACAUUCUGCAAUGUUAGAUGUCAUCAUCCGGCCUUUAUUUAUAGGAGCAUGAACCCUUGACCACUACUCAUCUCCUAUAUCAUAUAGAUAAUCAUUUAUCCGGUGAUCAAUUUUAUCAACCUUUGCCAUAAGGUAUUCAAAAUCUUCCUUUCUGUAUGCUUUGGACAUCGAAUAAAACAGGUCGUUAAGUCUAUCCUUUCUCCUUCUAAAAUUUAAACAAACGUUCUUCCAAAGAUGCCAAAUGCAUGCUAAGUGAGGAACAUUUAGAUAGACAAUGAUUGACACUUUUAAUUAUUGUUUCAUUACGAUCUGAUUCAACACACAUGUUCUCAUGCUCCCCCAAAAGCAUUCUUAAAUUUCUCAAAAAAUCAUGUUCAUGCGGAAUUAUUUUUUGAGUCAACAACACCAUAAGCAAUUGAUAAUAUGCAACCUAAAAAAAUUCAUGAAGCAUGAUUUUUAACAAAAUGGUGUUAUAAAAAUGUGUAUACAAUCUAUAAAGAAUACGUUCAAUUUUCAGAUGUACAGUUAUGUAUCAUAAACUAUACAAUGAUGUAUCAUAAACUAUACAUUUAUGUAUCAUACUAUAUUAUAUAUGUUCUACACAGUAUCAUAACAGCAAUUAAAGAUUAUGAUUAGUCAUACCUGUACCAUCAAGAAUGCUAGUAGAAAGAAAAGUCCCUUGAGAUGGUCCACUCAAAUGAAUACCGUCUACCACAACAACUGAUCUGCAAUGCUUGAAACCAUGGAUCAUUGACUGUAAAGCUAUAAAUAAAUAUUUGAAUUCAUUAUCUACAGCCUUAUGCAUCCUGAUGUGUGAUCCCGGAUACACAGAGUUUAGCAUGUAGAUGUAUCUCGGCAUUUGUCUAUAUCCGUCAGCAGUUCCACCCCUAAGCAUUUCUAUAGUACGCUCCUUGGCACGGCAAGAUUUCAUGUAAUUGAUGUCAACACACCAUUCACAACUUUCAUUUCUUCAAUAAUGUCUACUAGAGUGUGUUUUCUCUUAUAGUUUACUAACUUUGGCUUUUUAAAAUUACUAACAAAGUUAGCUGUAGCCUGCAACUGUUUUAACACCCUAUCACUCAUAGAGCACGUAUGUUCAUCAUUGAAUUUCAGAAUUUAAAAAGAUCUGAAUCCAACAAGCAAGAUGCUUUCAUGUAUUAACCGCAAUUUUUAUUACGACAUUUCUAAUAAUAACUGCAUAUAUAAAUAAAUAAUCACAAUUUUUUUUUAAAAUAACUAUUUCAAAAAAAAUUUCUGUAUUACAUACUCUAAAUAGUUGUGCUACUUUAAACAAUUCUUAUAACACCAUUUUGACAUAUCUACGACAAAAACUACUUCACGUUCAUAUAUGAUAUUGUUUAUGAAUAACACGAUCAAAACAUAUUUUAAAAUGUAUCAUACAAAGAAUAUAAACACCAAACUCACACACACAAAACCAACAACAACAUAAUUUAUAAUAUAUUUUUUUAUCAGAUCCUGAUGCUCAAAAAUUAAAACUGUGAUCUAACACAUACUUUUCCAUUACAGCUUUAAGAGUUUUCUUAUCCUUAUACAACUGUUUCACCUUAACUUCAGUGUUAUGGUAAUUGGUGAUGAAUUUUCUUAUUUUAAUUUCUGAUUACAAAGAGUACUGAUUAUUCGAUUCAACAACGGCAAGUGCAGUUGCAUCUGAUUCUGUUCCUUCGACGCACAUUAUCGCACCAGUUUCAGCAUCAAAUUCUCUAUCUUCUAUCGAUUUAUCGCUUACUGUAAUGCAUAACGGAUACAUUACAAAAUCUAUAAAAAAAAAUAAAUUAAAUCAACGUAAACCUUAACACCAUUGUCAUUUCUAAUAAUCAUUGGAGCUGUAUUUUCGUCCACAAUAUAAUGAAUAUCUAUAUUUUUCUUUGCUUUAUCUAUCUCAAGUUCCGUUGCAAUAACAGAAAACAAACUUUUGUAAUUUUCAUAACUAAUUUCGUUUUGUCGGAUACCAGAAUGUCUCAGCAAAAUUGAAAUAUUCAUGACGAAAAAUUGUAUGAAAGAUUUGACAAAAACUUAUUUUUUGGAAGAAAUGGGCUGAAACACAAAUGAAAACGGCAUUCAAAAUUCAAAAAUAAAAUAUUCUGUUACGUGAUUUAAGUAUUACAAAACGGCAACUCCUAUUUUUUAGGGAUUUGAUUAAUCAACCCUAUUCUUAAUUACCGCUUAUUAAAUAAUUAACCGCAUUUAAUAUGCUACUUAUGUAUCAUAACACAAUGUAUCAUACAAUCAAGUAAUGUAUCAUAUAUGGGAUUUUCAGUAAUUUUUAAAAAUGUUUGGAGUGAAGGUAAUUAUAUAUGAAAUACUUGAAUUUUACGUUGUUUAUACAUUAAAUAAAGCUAAUAUACUAAGGAUUAUAUGUCCGGCCCACAUUCACCGGUAAAACCUGACUCAAUAUUGAAUUUUAAAAAGAGAUAAUCUCAUUUAUAUACAAAAAAAUAAAAGGUUUACAAUAAAAAUCUAACCCACUCAUUCGCUUGAAUAAAAUCAUUACGAAAUAUUAUGGGUGUUCAUGGUUUUGAUAAAAAUUGUUCCAAAUAGAAAAAUCAAAUCAAACCGAUUAAAUAAACUAAUUUUAUUUGAUUUGGUUUGCUUUGGCUUAUAUUUUAAAAAAACGGAUAAUAUUUGAUUUGAUAUGAUUUUGAUUUUCAUUGAAAAUUAUUUAUAAUUUAAAUAUCUUGUAUUAGAUAUAUGUCAUGAUAUGCCACUGUUUUAUGUAAUAAUGUCAAGAUUUUUUUUCUUUUUAAUGAAUUGUUGUCUUUCUUUUUUCCUUCUGAACAAAUUGUUGUCUUUUUUCCUUUUGACUGAAUAGUUUCUUUUUUAAUAACAGAACAAUCGAACUAAAUUGAACCAAAAUCGAUAAAUCUAUAUUAUAUUUGGUUUGGUUUGAUUUUAAUAAUUUAAAAAUCAAUUAUAUUGGUUUGAUUUUGAUUUUAACCAAUUAACGGUUUAAACCGACCUGCAACAACAACAUACCCAGUGUAUCACCACAAAGUGGGAUCUUGGGAGGGAAAGUGUACGCAAUUCAUACCACUACCUCAAACAAAGUAGACAAGUUAUUUUCGAUAGACCCCCGACAGUUUAAACUGACCAGUGAACAUCCAUAAUUAGUAAAAAAAAAAUUUAUUUCAGUUACUGUUGCUAUCUAGUUGUAUUUUCUCCUUAUUUUUAUAGAUUUUAGUUUCAUAAAAUAUCAAUAAAAUUUUUGUAUAAAACAAUCUCAUGACCUAAUAUUAUUAAAAAAAGAGUGUAGGUAUUCUCUCAUUAUAUAAUCCAUUGAGGGAAGCGGAUUGGACACAUACAAAAUGGUCAAGAUAUGACUAAUAUUUUGUUCAUAUUUUCAUAAUCCCAAAUCAAGAACUAAUUAAGGUUGUCACAUUAUUUUUGAGAUGAGAUUAUCAUAAAAUUCGGUCAAAGUAAUUUAUGAUGAUAGGAGUAAAGUAAAGCAACUUUAGCGUAAUGAAAAAAACAAAAAAUAACAUUUGUGUAAUAAACUCAAAGCUAAUAGACCGUGGAUAUCUAUAGUAACUUGCCUUUUUUCUUUCGUUGCUUUAGUUUAAGUUUUGAGCUCUUCUUCAUAAAAUUUUUUACAGGAGUUUUAUUGGUGUCUUGAAUUUUCCCUGAAACCUCUAUAACAAUGUCAAUAAGUUUGACAUAGAACAUACCUCCUUUUCCGCUACUACACACAAGAAAAUAGAGAGGAGGAACAAACAGAGAGUAAAGCAGAUACAACACUACCAAGAACAUCAAAACUUUUUAGCAUAUCAUUCAACAUAUUCAUAAUAAAAGAGGGGACCUAGCCUUAUAUUUAUAGGCUUAAAAGUCUUAACCUAGUGAACUCCCCAUUACGGGCUCACAGGUCUGCUACAGGCCUAUACUAUUGUCUGACACUGUUGAACUAUAGUGGUACUUGCAUCAACCAAUGACACAAUACUAGUCCAAAAUUACUAACAUUGAAAUUUUGUAGACUUAAACCAAAUGGUGUGGUAGUGUAGCAAGAAAUAGUCAACAUGAACUCCAAAUCGAGGUUAUUUCAUUGUUAGUCCUUCAAAUAUUUUUUAUAUCAAUAUGUACGCUUAAAAUCAACAUGCAUAUCAUAGAAAAAUUGUCACCGCGAUUUUUUGUUACAACAUGUGUGAGCACUAAAACAACAUAUGCUCCACUAGAAAAUCUUGAUUUUCAAGGUUCAACAUGCGCAGUAUAUUACACAGUGCAACAACUAGAAAAAUCCGCAAGGUAGAAUGAUAUACCAUAUAUGUCUCCAAAAAGAUCCAACAAAACAACAAUAUGAUCUUAUCAAUAUGAGACAUAACGAACACAUAAGGCAAAAAGCCUUAAUAUAAUAAAAUAAUAUUAAAGUGUGCACAAUAACAAUCAACAAUAUAAGUGAUAGCAAAAUCUACCAUAGCAUAAAUAUCUUAAUAAAAUAGAUAAUAUCACCCUAAGCCCCAAACAAUAGGUUAAAUUGUCUAAUGACAAAUAAAAAAUAAUAUUAAAUACUCCCACUAACCUAGUAAAUCAAAUGACUUAACAACACCAUAUUUUGAACAAAUUGCAUAAAAACUAUGGGUCUUAGCCCCUUCGUUAGUGGAUCAGGAAACAUCAAAUCAGUAGGUAUAUGUUCUAUCACAAUAUCCUCCUCCUUAACCAUGUCUCUCAUAUACAGAUAUUUUGUUUCCAUAUGCUUAGAAUAUGAAGAAGAUUUAUUAUUUUUUGAGUAGAACACAGUGUCCUUGUUGUCACAAUAAAUCUUCAAGGUCCUAGAGAUGAAAUCAACUACCACAAGCCCAGAAAUAAAAUUCUUAAGCCAAAUAGCUUGCGUGGAUAUACCACAACAAGCUACAAAUUCUACUUGCAUAGUGAAAGAUGUUGUAAGAGUCUGUUUCACACUCUUUCAAGAUAUCGCACCCCCAGAAAAUAUGAAGAUGAAGCCAGAAGUAGACCUCAAAUCAUCAGGACACCCAGCAAAGUCUGAGUUUGUGCAACUAAUUACCUCAAGGUCGUCAACCCUUUUGUACGCUAACAUAAAAUCUCUUAUCUUCUUCAAGUACCUCAUUACUUUCUUAGAUUAGUUUGAUAACGUUCAAGAGCAUUGACAAUGAAAGAAAUGUCAAGACGAGUGCAAACUUGUGCAUACAUAAGGCUUCUAACAACACUUGAAUAAGGCAAAUCUUUCAUAAAAUCUUUCUGCAGAUCAUUUUUGUGAUAUAAGUCUACGAUUAACUUUCACUUUUCACCACAAAAACAUCUCUGGGCUUAUAAGUUUUUAUCUGAAAUAGUUUCAAAAUACAAUCAAUAUAGGCCUUUUGUGAAAGCCUCAAUAACGUACGAGAUCUAUUUCUUCAAAUCUCAAUGUCCAAAAUAAAUGAUGUCUCUCCUAGAUCUUUCAUAUCAAACACUUUGUUCAAUGAAUGCUUAGUUUCAUGAAAUAGUUCCAAAUUAUUAGUAGCAAGUAAAAUAUCAUCAACAUAAAAGUUAUCGACAAGUGAUAAUUAUUGUACUCCCACUGAUCUUAAGAUAGAUGUAAUGAUCAAUUUUUUUCUCUACAAAACCCAUAAAAGUGAUAAUUUCCUCAAACAUCAAGUACCGCUAUCGAGAAGCUUGCUUCAAGCGAUAGAUAGAUUUCUUCAACUUACACACAAGAUAUUCAUUGCCUUUGCCAACAAAAUCUUGAUUUUUUUUUGCAUGUGAACCUCUUCAUUAAGACCACCAUUCAAAAAAGAUUGUCUUUAGAUCCAUCAGAUAUAGCUCAAGAUCAAAAUGGGCUACCAAUGCGAUAAUGAUUCUAAAAGAAUCCUUAGAUGACAUUGGUGAAAAGGUUUCAUUGUUAUCAACUCCUUCUCACUGUGUGAAUCCUUUGGCAACCAACCUCCCCUUAAAUCGUUCAACAUUUCUAUUUGAAUCUUUAUUGGUAUUAAAAACCCAUUUGCAACCAACAACCUUCUGGCCUUUAUGAAGCUCUGAAAGCUCCCACACAUUAUUAUUACUCAUGGAUUUUAUCUCUUCAGAUAAGACAUCAAGCCACAUCUUUGAUUCAGCAUAUGAUGAAACUUCAGAAAAGGUCACAGGAUCCAUAAUGUCACCUUCGGCUAGGUAUAUUAAAUAGUCAUCUGAUAGCGGUGAUUGUUUUAGUCUACUUGAUUUCCUCAAAUUCUAAACCUCUUCAUCAACAACAGCAGGUGCCUGAACCAAACCGCUUCUUCAAUAAUAGGCACCUGAAUUUCUACAGAUACAGGGUCAUAAACUUGCACAUGUAUAUGAUCAUGAGGUUCAUCACGUAUAGGCACAAACACAAAUGAUUCUGAGGUAAUAGUAAGAGGAAUUCUGACAACUUCAACACUUUUAGUUGGCUCACGAGCAACAUUUUGAGAAAAAUCCUUAUCUACAACAUUAAAUUCAAGAAAUUUUGCUUUUUGAGAUUCAACUAUAAUUGUUCCCUUGUAGGACAGUAGAAACUAUAUCCUUUAGAAUGAGAUGGAUAACCAAUGAGAAAACAACGUAAGGUUUUAGGUUUAGCUUUCUUUUUUGAAGGGUUAUGUAUCUUUACCUCAGCAGGACAUCUCCAAACUCAAAAGUGAUUUAAACUGGGUUUCCUAUUGGUUCACAACUCAAAGGUGGUUUUAGGAAUUGACUUAGAAGGGGCACGAUUAAAAAUGUACAUGAAUGUUUUAACAACUUCACUACAGAAGAACUCAGGUAAGUUGGAUCUACUCAUAAUACUUCUCAUCAUGUCUUUUAAAGUAUGAUUUUUCCUUUUGGCUUCGCCAUUUUAGUUAGGACUAUCGGACACAGUGUACUGGGAAACUAUGCCACAAUCCUAUAGAUAUUUGGCAAAUGGUCCCAUCUGUUACCCAGUCUCAAUGUAUCUAUCAUAAUACUCACUCCUCCGAUCAGACCUCACUAUCUUAAUGACCUUUUCCAGCCGUUUUUCUACUUCAGUUUUAAACACUUUGAAUAUUUCAAGAGAUCUGAUUUUUCUUUAGUAAGAAAAAUAUAAUCAUACCGAGAAAAGUCAUCAAUGAAAAUGAUAAAAUAACUUGAACUACAUAUUGUAGUAGAAUAUGGAUCACUUAUGUCUGUGUAAAUGAUUUCCAAUAAAUUAGAACUAUGAGUAGCACCCUUUUUUGUUUUAAUCAACUUUGCUCUAAUGAAAUCAAUACAUGUUCCUAUGUCUCCAAAAUCAAGAGAAGUAAGAUACUAGACUUAAUCAGUCUUUCGACUCUAUCUUUAGAGGUAUGACCCAAAGUCUUAUGCCAUAACAUGCCCGUAUUUUCAUUUAAAAUUGAUCGUUUAGACCCAAUAAUUUCAGAAUUAAAAGAGUUGUAUUCAAAAUCAGAAGUUAAGGAAAUUUUAGACAAACCAUCAGAAGGAUUCCAUGACCAACAACUCGAGAGUUCAAAAGCAAAUUAAUUUUUUCAUUAAGAGAAUUAAAAUCAUAAUCAAACUUGUAUAAAAUUGGAAUAGAAAUCAAAUUUUAUCUAAAAGACGGUACGUAAAGAGUGUUUUCACGAACAAGCUUAUAACUAGUUUCUAAGUCUAGAACUACAGUUCCUAUGAAUUAUACUUCAACUUGGACAUCUAUGGCGUCUCUAAUUCUUGACUCUAUUUUUUUUUUACUUCCUUUUGUUUUUGAACCCCUGCAAAGAAGUGAGGACACGAGUAGUAGCUCCACUAUCUAACCACCAAGAAUUAAUGGAAAAAUCUACAAAGUGUGACUCAAAACAAAUAAGAGCUGGAUGAUUAUCUUAUUGACUCCUUUUUAUCUAAGAAUAAACUUUGGUGCAAUAUCUCUACUUGUGAUCAGGUUUCUUAUAAAAAAAGCAAUUAUUAUUUUUCUUAAAAACCAUGUUAUUGGUUACAGGAUAAUCAGUCUGAUCUUUAUCUUGCUUGUUGUUGUCCCCAUCCUUUUUAAAAGUAUGAUUACUAGAUCUUUCAAACUUCUUAGGUCCCUUGCUAGAGCUUGCUUUGAAAUCAUGAGAAGCUAGCAUGGCAACCUCACCCUUAUCCUUUCUAAAUUUUUUCCUCUUAAACAAUACAUUUGAAAAAGAGAUCAUUGAUUGAUCAACAUUCAUCCUGAGUAUUAUAGGCAUUUUUUAUUCGGCUAAAUGCAACAGGUGGGGAUUUAAAAACAAAGUGAACAAUGUAAGUAUCAAAAAAAGUUAUUUCAAGAGUUUCUAGUUUAGACUAUAUGUGAACAUUCUUAAGUAUGUAAUCUCUAACCUCCCUAGUAAAGUCAUAUCGCAUCCCUGCGAGUUUAUUCAUUAGAUCUUCAGUCUCGACCUUAUUGGAUACAGAUAUCUUUCUUCCACUAGAGCAAGAAAUUUUUUGGCAUUGAUAGUUUCAGGCAGAUCACUUUUGAGGUGCUCAGCAAUCAGCCUCCUAAAGGCAAGGAUGCAUAACCUAUUAAAUCUCUCCCAUUUAGCAUUAAAUUUUUUUCAAUAGCUGUACUGAAAUUAGUGAGAGCCAGAGACUCAUUCUCAUGCAUGGCUUGAUCUACUUCAGUCAUGCCCAAAGGAAAUUUAAGAUUUUCUUUCCACCGCUUAAAGUUAGAACCUGAUUGUUUUAUCCCUUUUCGGAUUUCUUUUUGCGAGAAAAAUAGUUUUGAUCUUAAGACUAUUUCAAGAGAUUUAAAGAAAUGUCAAAAUAAUUUUAAGAAAAUUUACAGAGUCACCACUUGAUUUUUAUAGGAGAAAUCAAGAAAACUUUAAAGAGUUCUAAAGGUUCAAAAACAAAAAUAAACCUUUGAAACUAGAGAUAAUGGGUAAGGGUUCAAUUAAAGCCCUAAGAAGGUUUUUAAGGCACUUAGCAGCAUCCGUUUAAAAUGGUGUACCAAAAAGAACUAACUUGACUAAUUAAAGUGGCUAAUUUUGAAAAAAAGGUUAAUUUUUUGUAAACAAUUUAAUAGAAAAUAAUAAGAUUAGUUAUUUAACAUUUAAACAUGACAUCUAUUUAUUGAAAGGAGAAAAUUAAUAUUUGAUUAAACUAAGUUGUAGUUUUUCGAACUUAGAACGGGAAAUGAAUUUUAAUUUCGUAAAAGAAGAAAAUUAUGGAAAUCAUUUUCUUAUUAUUAAUCAUUAUAAAAAAGGGUUGAUUAUAUUAGAGACAAUACCUAUGAUAAAUGUUAAAGAGUGUUGAAUUAAAAACCUUUAUUGAUUACGAUAAGUUGAAAUUUAUAAGAAAAUUUAGUUUCUUGAGUUUUAAAGGAGUUAUUUUUUUUAUUCAAAUAGACUAUUUAGUUAUAUCAAGUGAAAAAUCACGAAUCGACUAAAAUACGUGACAAAAUAAAAUGGUAACGACUUAGGGGAUUUAGCUAGAUUAAUUAAUUUAAUAUGUUAGUUAGCACAAGUAAACAAUACAAGUUACAAAAAAUGAUGGAAGAAUUAAAAUUGGGCCCUCAAUUGACCCAUUAAUGAAGCUUCCCAGUUUUGGGCUUGAAUUAUGGACUUCAGUCCAUUUUCGGAAGUGUAUAUCAACCAAUGGCAUCCAAGAACUCUCUCUUCAUCACAUAUUAUCAUCCCAAAAUACUCUCCUCAUAAAAUAAAAAGUUUCAACAACUCUUCAAUGACUAUCAUGGCCAAAAUCUCUCCACCACCAUUUCACCAAUGCUUCCAACGUCAUCAACAUUUCCACCAUUCCCACUAUUUGACACUACUUCACAUUCCUUCAUUUUCUCCCCAUAUAAAAUCUUCAAUUUUUUUCUUUUUUUUCAUUGUCUACUUUUUUCAAAAUUUUGUUGAAAUUUUAAGAAUUAAGAAUCUAACAUCAAAAAAGUUAAGAAUCUUUAAGACAAUAUUGUAUUAUUCAUAUCAUGUUAUUUUUCACCACACUUCAAUCCAAUCCAAUCUUUUAGUUCAAAUUAUGAAUUUUAUCUCAAUUCUCUCUAAAAAUUUCUCUACUGUUUUCCACCGGAAUGGCUUCGCAGUAGCCGGUGAAACUUUUUUGGCGACCGGAUGGUACUCAAGAGGAGCGCAUUGAUGUUGCGCACCUAACCCAAAAAGAAUCUGUAGCUAAAUAGACCUACAACACUGAGAAAUUAAGUAAUAAAAUAGCGAUCUCUAAGUCAAUUUCGGAUGAACAAUAGUGUAGUGUUCAAGAGUUCAUUUCCCUUGUGAAUUCGGGUGUUAUUCAAAUAUUUCCAAGUGGUGGAAAUGUUAACAAAGAUGAAUUUCCAUCUAGCAAUGUAGAAUUAAACAUUUCCAUUGACCAAAAGCAGAACCCCAAAAUUGGCGAUUUAGCCACAAUUGCGACAAAACCAGAAAAAACAACCCCCAUUAGCCGCCAUCACCACCGCCACCCCCAUUAGCUGCCACCGCAAUUAUCACCUCCAUUACCUACAUCGCCACUGUCACCCCUCCCUCACCUCCUUUUAUCAAAUUUAGGGUGGAAUUAUGAAAUAAAAUUCAAUUAUAUGUGAGAGAUUGUUGGGAAUUUAAUUAUCUUUGUCUAAUUUCAUUUAAUGAUAUAGAUUAGAUGAUGAUUCAAGAAUAUUGAUAUUUUGUUUGAUGAGAAUGAUGAAAUUUUAAUUUGGGUUUGUAAAAUUGAAAAUGGUGGAAGAUGAGGGGAAAUAAUAAUUAAAAAUUAUAAUAAUAAAAAAAAUUGACUGGUCAAACGCGUGAGUUUCACCCUUAAGACUAUGUGGUUGUGGCUCUUUAGGGGUAUAAUAAUUUUAUUUUAAAAUAGUUCAGAGAUCAUAAGAUCCUACAAAGUAUAAAUAUGUAAUUGGAAUUUGAGAUAAAGAUUGAGGGAUUUUUGACCAUUUUCUGUUACGAAAUUAAAGGCUUCUUUUCCGGAUUUCAAGAUUCACAAUUUGUUCGUGUGGAUAUAUAAAGAGAGGAGAACAAUGUUUAUAACAUUUGAAAACCCAAAAGAAUAAAAAGGACAUAUGUAUUUUAUUUUAAAUUGAGUAGAUUUGAAGGUUGUUGGAAUUCAAGUGCUAAAUUCAUUUUAGAUCAUUACUAGCCACUGAAAUUAGAAAAUUGAGAAAGACUUUGAAAUUCAUUAUUGUUGAGCCUUGAAAAAGGCUGAAGGAGGAAAAAUUGGAUUUAUCGAAAUUCGUGGUUGUUGGCCAAAAUGAUUAUAGGGGUUCGAUGAUGAUACUGGUGUGAAGAAAGUUCUUCAAUUUUUCUUGUGAAGAGCAACAGUGUCGCUUACUUCUUUUUAUAUUGUUUGUUCAAGUUUUCUGCAACAGCAAAAGUACUUCUAGGUUGAAAAUGCUAACUUACAUAAUCAAUAAUACAAUUACUUUUAAAGUCGCAAUUUGAUGACUUCUUUAUAUUUGGUUGAAUCAUUUUCUUUAUUUUGUUCAGUUAUGGUCUUUCUCACUUUCUAUGUAGAUAAAUAAAAUACAAUUUGGACCAAUUCAUUUUUACCUAUAGGUCCAAUAUUAUAAGGUAUAUAUAUAAAUCUUUUUAGGUCUUAUUUCAUAUCACAAAGAGACUUUUAGCAGUCAAAAAAGAAAGAAAGUGUGCAGAUUUUUGCACUAAAAUUUCAGCCACACCUGUCAACUUCAAAUUGUGAUUCUCACUUCGUUUCUUAUUCUAUUGAGAUGAUUUUUGGACAGCUCGUUUCUCUCAUCUCUGAUUUUUGGACAGCUGGUUUCUCUCAUCUCAAUUUUUUAUCAGAAACUGAUGAAAGUUGAUUUGGUGACCUGUAAUUCAUGUUUUUCAUCCCUGAACAACAGCUACAUUUUUUGAUAAUUUUGCUCCUUUUAUUCUCUAGUUUUGGUGCUACCUUGUUGUGUUGUUCCUCAUUGUUUGACACUUGUUUUUUUGCCAAUUUAGGAGAACAAUAUUGUAACUCUUGGUGAUGGAGGUUUUGGUCCCAUGAUUUUUUUCUCUUCACAUCGAAGAAUUUUUCAUGUAAAUUUUGUGUCUUAUGUGGUUGAUUUUAUUCUUGUCUUGUUGUGUUCGUUUGAUUGAUUUAUUUGCUUCCAUAUUAUUACUGUUCUUGGAUUUGCUUGUCUCCUCUUGGUUCAAAUUGAAAGGAAAAGUUUAGAUUAAACUUGGGUAUUCUUCCGCUGCUACCUUAUCGUGCACUUUGAUAGAAGUUUGAUGAUGAUACUGGAAUAUUUGAAAUGAUAGCCACUUUAAAAUUUUAAUUUGAAAUAUACCCAUUAAAUAUUUUUAAUUUAUUUUUUAGGGUUAGAGUUGGAAAAAACAAAAAGUGGGGUAAAAUUGUGGGGUCAUGGGCCUAGCUCUUUAACAAUUUUAAAAGUUGAGAAUAAAAUACAACUUUAUAAAAAUACAAUAUGGUCCCUUUUUAUAUUUAUUAAAUAUUCAAACUUUUUUUAAAUCCAUUUAAUAAAUUCAAUAACUUCUCUCUCCUCAAAUAUUCUUCUUCCGAUUUUCUUUAUAUCUUUAGUAAAUUGAAACAAUUUGCUCGAUUGUUCCUCCCCAAGUCAAAAUUUUCCAUCUUUUCUUGCUCAGAUAAGUUUAAUCUUCUUCCCCGAUCAGUUUUUGAUCCAUUUUAGUAUAUUUUUUUUAUUUCAUUUUGUGUAGUCAUUCUUCGAUUUUGACGAAAAUUGUACUGUUCUUCAUUGAAUUAGUCAAAAUCUGAGAGUUUUUAGUUAAUAUUCUUGAUUCCGCAUGUUUAAUUGUGUUUUGCUUUGGAUAAUGGCUAGAAUUUUUUUUAAUUUUUGUAUUUAUAUUGCGUAUUGAUUUUGAAUUUUUUUUACUGAAUUAAACCCAUUUUAAUGGUGUUCUUGUUGCUGCGAAUUGCACUACUAAUAUCUGGAGAACUUGGAACUUGAUUUGCAUGUUUGAUCUGAGGCGUUUUCCCAUUUUUAUUAAUAGACUAUCGACCACUACAUAUUUAUUUUUGCUGCAUUUUUUCAUUUAUUUUAAUAGAUCAGUGAUCGAUAAAUCGUCCACUACAGAUUUAUUUUUGCUUGUAGAUCAUAAAUGGUCAAAGUUCAUAAAGCAGUUAAAAGGGCUGCUUGUAGCAGUAGAAAGCAAAAAGUCGAUGAAGUUUUUAAAAUUUUGAAGAGGAAAAAAUUUGUAAUCGAAGAACCUGAAUCAGAAAGUGAAUAAAAAAUACUUGUCGAGAUUGAGGAAAGUACUGCACAUGAGAGUGAUAAUGUUGAGGAAAACGAAGGAGAAAGCAAAGAAAAAAGUGAAAGUGAUGGUGGUGAAGAUGAGAAUAGGAGAGAUUGUGGAGACGGGGAGGAAGAUGGUCUCCUAUCCUUGCCAAUUUGUGCAAGAGAUAUCUCCAUUGAAUACAACGACCUAACAACUUAGAUGGAUGAUUUAGGUUAUUUUCCAGCAUUGAUUUUCGUAAGAGCAAGAAUGGUGGUUUAUCGAGAGUUUAGAAGGAUUCUAGUUGAACAAAAGCUCUAUACUGAUUUUAAGAAGACGUGUUUUGGACACUUGAGACACAUGACGAAAUAUUUUAAAUUUAAUGGAUAGAUGGUCCAAUAUGUAUUACUGUGACGUAUCAAAAUAAUAAAAAACUGCAUAAAAUUUAAUUUUGUGUGAACGAUAAGCCAGCUUGUUUCAUCUUAAAGGAAUUUACUCUAAUUACGGGAAUGAAUUGUUCAGCAUGUCCUCGUGAAUCAAAAACAAACAAAGUCCUCCAAAAUAGUGAAAUUAUUCAUUUUAAAGUGAUGAAGAAUAAGAGCAUUACUGCAGCAAGGAUGAUCAACCUGAUCAACGGUAAUAAGUUGACUAAUCAACAAAAGUUGAAGCACUUUAGUUUGGUUCAUGCACUCAAUACUGCUGGCAAAGGACCCGUCAAGGAAGGUGAAUUUAGCCCACAUAAAGAUGGCGGCUGAUUUAGAUUUCUCUGAGAGUUAUCCACGAGGGCAAGAGUCGUUAGGGCUAACAUUGAGCUAUUUAAAAAAGAAGGUUGAUUUGAGCAAGCAGAAAGAACCGUGGUUGUGAAGAGGAAUAAUGCAUCGUACAUUUUAUUCGAUUUUUUGGACAUUUCUGGUACUUAUAAUCUACUAUCUUAUCGAUUUAUUAUAGACUCUUACCUAUUUGUGUAGUAAUACAUAGACCCUGUAGAUUUAUUUAUGCUUCUAUUUAUUGCAGGUCUGGAUAUAUGAGGUCUUUCCUCAUCGUAGAAGGUAUGUUGAAAAGUCAUUGGAGUUUCCUAUGCCUAUUUCACGUCUACUUAGAUGGCACACGCCAAAUAACGGCAACAUAAUGAAAGAUGACCCAUUUAAGUAUAAAGAAAACAACAGAAGGGUAAAAUUGUACUUAUUAUAAUAUGAUAAUAAUAUUAUUAAAUUAGUGAAUGUCGUGUAAUUUAUAUUUUUUAUAGACUGUGCACCCAUACCUUAUCCUUACUAUCCAUGAGAUGGAGCAGACCUACAUGAAAACAUUUAAGUCAUACGCAAACGAAGGUAAAGACACAUCCAUCGAUGCCUUGAAAUUGCAGUUAAAAGGUGUGACUGUCCUCGCUUCAUAAAUGGAGGUCGAGGAUGAAGACGAAGAUUUGGAUGGUCACAAAUAUGUCCCAAGUACAGCAUGUGCUUGUGAUCAUGCUGGUUUAAGUGGACUCAAAACUGCACCAGACAUUUCUAAUGAUGAAGACCUGUGUGAGCAUAUUGCUUUGCUCGAGAAAACUGUUCUGGAUAUUACUUUUUUUGUUAGAGAUGAGAGGUCGAGGAGAAUCGAAAAAAAAAAGCAGCAAGAUCAAGGUAAACUAAUUUAUUUUUUAUUUUUCUAAUUUAAUUUUCUUACAUAAUUUUGGUACUCCUUUCAAAACAAUGCAGCGUCGAUAGUUGCCCUUGUAGCCGACAUCAAGUAAACCUUGAAAAACUCGCAGUCAUAGUGAAUGGCCUUGCAGUAGCAGAUGAAAAAAUGAAAGAAAAGAAAAAAUAGGAGAAGACAGUAGAUGAACAAGAUAAGAAAGAAGAAGAAGAAGAAAACAAAGAUAAGGAAAUGAAAACUGAAGAAGAAGCAGAAAAUGAGGAGAAAACAGAAGAAGAUGGUGAAAAGAAAUCAGAAGAAGAGGAGAAGAAAAAGAGAAGACAGUUGAUGAAGAAGAAAUGACUGAAUAAGAGAAUUAAAAUAUAGAAGAAGAGAAGAAAUCUAAAUAAGAAGGAGAAGAAGAUAAAGAAAAUGAGAAGAAAGAAAUAGAAGAAGAGGAAGAAAAAGAUGAAGAAAAAUGAAAUGGAUGUGAUGGGCAUUGUUAAGGAACUCAAUGAUGAUAAUAUGUAGUUUGGUGUCUUGAAACACAUAAUUUUCUUAAUGAUUUAUUAUUUUUAAUGAUUUGAUUUUUUUGAAUAAUUGAAUUACAUAUAUUUGGCAAAUCAAUGAUGACAUUUACUGAUAAAAUUAUGUUCAGUUAUUCCAUUGCCUUAUUAGAUUAUACAGUUGAUUUCAUUGUGUUAUCAAUUUAGCUAUUGUCCUAAUUUAUAGAGGCCAAUGACAAAUAUUAUAGAAGUCAUUCUUUAUAAUUUAUAGACUGCACCCAUGAUUGAUUUAAAAAAUCAUACAUUUACAAUGAUGAGAAACAAGUUUACUGUUAUAUGUUGCAUUGGUUACCACUUCAGUUACUGUCAUAGUUUAUAGAGGUUAAUGAUAAACGUUUUAAAAGUCAUUCUCUAUUUAUUAUAGACUGCACCCACGAUUGGUUUAAGAAAUCAUACAUCUUUUUAUUCAGUUUUCGACAACCCUAUUACACCUUUGCUGGAACCGAACACCAACAACAAAUCAUACAAUAAUUUUUUAGGUCAUUCUUUUGCUCUUCGAACAAAAUCAACCUUUGCUUUAGUUGAUUCCUCUUUAUUUCAAUUUCUUUUAGUGAUCCUUUCAAAUAAUCUCUUUGCUCUUCGACUUCUUUUAACAAUGUCAUGAGUGGAUCUCUAUUUUCUUCAGAUUUUUGAAACUUUUGUAGUAUAUAAAAAUUUGAAAGCGCCUUGAAAAUUUAAUGUCGAUGGGCUGCUAGUCGGUGAGUUUUCCACAAGCCACUUAAAAAAAGAGCAUCCACUAUUAUCCUUGACCAAAAAAAUAAGUUAUUGCAUAAAUUUGCUUGCUUAAAAAAAAUAAAUCACAUAUUCAUAUACACACUCACCUUUUCAACCGCAGAGUUAACAAAUUUUCGACCGGGAUUCGAAUCGGUGCGUGACGUCCUCAAGACAACUGGAUUGCCACAUGGACAUAUGUAGGACACUUUUGCAUUUUAUAUUUGGUAUGCUUGAGAUACUGUAGUUGUUUAAAAAUGAACAAAAAAUAAAGCCGAAAAAAUGAGAGUGUUAAAACAAAAAUAGUCUUUCUUUUAUACAAAAAAAGAAGUGAGAUAUUACUGUUGGAUGUGAUUUGACAUAUACUAUAUUACCGUUGUAAAAAAUUCAUAUUUAAAUUUUAUUACUCCUCUUUUAUAGACCUUAAAUAUAAUUGAUGCCUUCUCAUACAUUGGGUAGAUGAUGGACCAUAUAGAUCGAUACUCGGUCAUUACUAAGGUAUAUACAGAUUAGUGCAAUGAUAAAAAAUAUUAGUACAUAUAUCAAUAAUUAAAUAAACGAUAUUGAAUUGAGGACCAUCGAUUGUGUCCAUUGUAAAUCACACAAUGCAAGCCUUGUCAAUAAUAGACUGUAUUGGUUUAUUAUGCUUAGUAACAUAUUGUGGAUAAAAGAAAAUAAUUAAUUAAUAAGAAAAUAAAUAAUUGAAUUUUAUGCAAUUAAAUGAGUUUAAACAAGUCAUGUGAUCGUAUAAGAGUUCAUGUAAAUUGGAGAAGGUGAUCAAAGAUGUGUGAGGAUGGGUAGUGGUUCUACAACCAACAUCCUCACGGUAAUGUUUACCCAAAGCACAAGUAUGUUGUAAGAAAUUCAUUUGUUCAACCACAACUCAUCACCUCACAUCUUUGAUCAUCGUUUUUAAUUUAUGUGGACUCUUAUACGAUCAUAUGAUUUGUUUAAGCUCAUUUAAUAGCAUAAAAUUCAAUAAUUUAUUCUUUAUUAAUUAAUUAUUCUCUUUUUAAAAUAUGUGCUAGUUAUGAUCUAUAAAUAUGUAUCCUAGUCUAGUUAGUUCAUUGUCGAAGUAGUUCAUAGCUUAUGCUAGACCAUAUCAGGUAGAGUAAAUAACUAAGCAUAGUCUAGCAUAAACGGUGAACUACUUCAGUAAUAAGCAAACUAGACUAUGAUACAUUUUUAUAGACCAUAACUAGCACAUAUUUUGAAAAGGAAAUAAUUAAUUAAUAAAAAAAUUAUUAAUAUUUAUGCUAUUAAAUGAGCUUAAACAAGUCAUGUGAUAGUAUAAGAGUUCACGUAAAUUGAAAAUGGUGAUCAAAUAUAAGAGGUGAUGAGUUGUGGUUGAACAAAUCAAUUCCUCACAGCAUACUUAUGCUUUGGGUAAACAUUAUCCAGAGGAUGUUGGUUGUACAACCACUACCCAUUUUCACACAUCUUUGAUCACCUUCUCCAAUUUAUGCGGACUCUUAUACUAUGACAUGACUUGUUUAAGCUCAUUUAAUUGCAUAAAAUUUAAUUAUUUAUUUUCUUAUUAAUUAAUUAUUUUUUUCAUAAUAUGCUACUAAGGGCAGUAAACCAAUAUGUUAUAUUAUUGACAAGGAUUGCAGUCUAUGAUUUACGAUAGACAAAAUCGAUGGCCCUCAAUUCAAUUUUAUUUAAUUAAUUAUUUCCUUUUUUUCACAAUAUGCUACUAAGGACAAUAAACUAAUAUAGUAUAUUAUUGAUAAGGCUUGCAGUCUAUGAUUUACAAUGGACACAAUCGAUGGUCCUCAAUUCAAUUUUAUUUAUUUAAUUAUAUAUAUUUUUGAAGAUGUACUAAUGUUUGUUUAUCAUUUCACCACCACACAUAAUGGAAUUUAUUGACUAUGUACACAUUCAUGAUAGAUAUUGAGCUCGGUAAAUCAUAAACUCCAUCGACUUUAUAAUUAAUUUUGUAUAAAAUAACAUAAUUGCUGAUAGAACAUAUUCAUUAUCCAUUAGCAUAUAUGAAUUUGUAUACAUAUACAUAUACAUAUAUAUGUAUAUAUAUAUAUGAUAGACCAUAAAUUUUGACGUCUGACAACUGUUUCAUUCAUUUUAUAACAGGGGAAAUUGAAAAAUUUCAAACAACAACAAAAUUGUAAAACUCAAGUAGAGACAAUAUGUAGGAAACAGAAAAUACUUCAGUUCAUUAGUUCAUUGCAACAUCGUUUAACAUAAUAUGAACACCAAAAUACAAGCAAAAAGAGCAAAAGAAAGAAGCUUUCAUCUAAAGAAACUCCUAACCAUGAGAGUUUCUUUGCAAUAAACUAGCACUACAACUACGUCGGAGUUCCCGUGGAUGUGCUCCAUGUUCACCCUCUCGAUGAUCACCCGUAAAAAUGGGUGAUACGCCGGAGUUCCCGUGGAUGGGCUCCAUGUUCACCCUCUCGAUGAUCACCCGUAAAAAUGGGUGAUACGCCGGAGUUCCCGUGGAUGUGCUCCCAGUCCUGAACCAGACCAUAGAAUAGACAGUCCAAGUCAUUGCAAAGGAGAAAGAAGUCAUGGUAACGUUGGGAAUGCAUUCUCCUUAGUGGUCUAAGUGUGAUUCCCGGCAUCUGUUGGUAUUUAUCAAAUUUUUGGGUUUAAGAAAAGGAAUAUUCAGUGGAGUAGAUGAAUAUUUAUAUAGACCAAAAUAAAAGACCUUUGGUCUUCCCAUCCAAUAGUUGGUCGAUGCAUGGAUGAAUGAAAGUCGAGUAGGUAGCGUAUACCCAAUCGACGUAGCGUGUGAGUGAACGUACAACAACUUUUUUGAUGUGUCAUAAAUGUCCGAUUGUCUAUAUGUUCGAUUGAAUAAUUAGGGUUUUUCAAUAGACUUAAAAUAGGAUUGAUAAUAAACUUUGUUAUAUAUAAAGAAUACAUGCAAUAGAUUGGACACACAAUAUAUGCUAUAACUUAAGCGAUUGAUAAUAAACAAAGAAAAAAAUCGAUAAAAAUUGAAAUUAAUGACACCACUUGAUGUUCCGGAUUUUGACGGAAUAUUUUUAUCCUUUUAAAGGGAUAAUUGUACGUUUUUAAGCAACUGAUGUUGUAUUUAAUACAUGAUUUUAGUAUUUUCAGGUCAAGAAAUCAGCUGAAGAAGAAACUUGGAAAAGUAGCAGAAAAAGGACACCCGACGAUCAAACUGAGGGACCAUCAGCCAAGGGACGGACGAUUGGGAUGACUUUCAGAGUUACACAGAGAGGACCAAGUAAUUAACCCAUGUGAUGGUCCAAGUGAAGGACCGUAGGACCUCUGACGGACCGUCAACUUGGCCGUCAGGCUGGAAUAGUGAAUGCCAUUUUAGAGGGUUAAGCGACGGACCGUACAAUGGCCUGUCAGGCCAACAACGGCCUAUCAAAUGAACCGCCACCUCUCAACGAGAAAGUGGCACAGUGGGACCUUUAACGAUGGUCUAUGUGACGGACCGACAGGCCACCGAUGGGCCAUCAAUGCGACCGUCAACCUUGAUGCAACUAUACUGGAUUCAAAUUUCAAAUCCUCAGUACCUAGGAACAUAUAAAUACCCAGUUUAGGUUUUACUUAGGGAUAUUUUAUCAUAUUUCUACUAAGAAAACCUAUUAUACAUAGUAUUCUCUAAGAAUUGAGCUACAGUUACAGAUCUAAUAAUUUUUAUUCAUAUUCUCACUAAAGAUUCAAGAACAAUUUUUGUAAUUUUUGUAAGUAAUUCUCUGAAUUUAUUUAUGAGGUACACAAUAAUUUCUUUUUCUUCUUAUGAGAUGUGUGGCUAAGAUCCCAUAACUAGGGUUAUGGGAGCCUUAAUGUGAAUAGCUGAUUGGGGUUGUAAAAUACUUAAUUCCCACAUGUAAUUGAGAUUGGAUAAACCCUUCUUCAAAUUAAUGACCUUUACUGGUUGCAAACUUGAAGGGUGAGCCCAAGAACAUCCCUUGUCUGAGAAGAAAGGUGUAUGUUGGGAAAAGAAGGAGUUUAUAUGAAAUCUAAGGGCCUUAACCUUUGGUUAAAGGUUAAUGCCUUAACAAGGAUUAACCCACAUGAGAGACUAAUUGAAUAAAUCAGUAUAUUCUUUAAGUUUGAGAGAAUUGAAGGGUGAACCAUCCAUUUAGGUUGAGAAACUAAUGGGUAAACUUUAGAAUUUAAUAACUCUUACAAUUGAAUUUAUAAAUUGGAAAUUUAAAGUAACUCACAACCCCGACUGCUUAAACAUCUUGGUGAACAUAUAUCUAAUCUGUUUGUUCUCAUUGAAUUAAUACUUGCAAGAAAACUCUCUAGUUGAAAUAUAUUUUGACACAAUCAUUUGGAUACUACUGGUAAGUUAUAAAUGCCCCUUUAAUAAGGAACCUUCGAUCAACAAUCCAUUAACAACCAUAACACUUAGGCUGUACGAGUAUUCGCCGAGGGAUUUGACCCCAACCUAGUUGGGUUCUAUAUUUGACAACGAUCGCUUACACUUUCUGAUGAGAGUUGUAAUUUAGGUGCAUCAAUUUUUGGCAUCGUUGUCGGGGAAUACGGUUGUCAAUUAAGUUUGUGAUUGUUAACUGACCUUUAGUCAAGUUUCUAAAAUUUUACCUUUAUUUGUUGUUUUUGUUCAUUACAUAUUUAUUGUUGUUUAUGCCACACACUAGAAGUUCAGAAGAAUCUCUACUACCCUUCAAUCCUGAACCACAUCUAAUUGGAAAAAUGGAAGAACAACAAGAAGCUGACAGACUAGCCGUCUUGGCUAGAGCGCAAGUUAAUCGACAGGAUGAUGGUCAACCAGCCCAUGCCCUUAAUCUUGACAAGAAAGAUUUGGGGCAUAAUGAUCUGAUCAACCCAGAAAAUAGGAGGUGUGCGGAGAACGUAGAUUUGCCUGUGAAUAGGAAUCGUAAAGGCAGAGCAAAUCGCCAACCUACUAUGCAGUUUGCACCUAAUGAGGAAGACGAUACAGACUUUGAUGAGGCUGGGACUACCGGAGCAAUCAUCCCACUACCAUUGGCUCCUGGGGUGAAACUCAACAUAACCAGCACCAUGAUACAACUGCUUAACCUCAUGGGUUUGUUUGGCGGACUUCCUAGAGAUGACCCAAAUAUGCACUUGGUGAACUUCAUCAACAUUUGCAAAGUAUUUGAAAAUCCUAGAAUGCAUUUCGUAUUUGGUUAUUUCUGUUGUAUCUGUCUGGGGAGGCAAGGAUGUGGUUGAAUGAGUUAGCUCCUGAUUCUAUAACAAACUGGAGGCAGUUAAUUGAAUUUAUAAAUUGGAAAUUUAAAGUAACUCACAACCCCGACUGCUUAAACAUCUUGGUGAACAUAUAUCUAAUCUGUUUGUUCUCAUUGAAUUAAUACUUGCAAGAAAACUCUCUAGUUGAAAUAUAUUUUGACACAAUCAUUUGGAUACUACUGGUAAGUUAUAAAUGCCCCUUUAAUAAGGAACCUUCGAUCAACAAUCCAUUAACAACCAUAACACUUAGGCUGUACGAGUAUUCGCCGAGGGAUUUGACCCCAACCUAGUUGGGUUCUAUAUUUGACAACGAUCGCUUACACUUUCUGAUGAGAGUUGUAAUUUAGGUGCAUCAAUUUUUGGCAUCGUUGUCGGGGAAUACGGUUGUCAAUUAAGUUUGUGAUUGUUAACUGACCUUUAGUCAAGUUUCUAAAAUUUUACCUUUAUUUGUUGUUUUUGUUCAUUACAUAUUUAUUGUUGUUUAUGCCACACACUAGAAGUUCAGAAGAAUCUCUACUACCCUUCAAUCCUGAACCACAUCUAAUUGGAAAAAUGGAAGAACAACAAGAAGCUGACAGACUAGCCGUCUUGGCUAGAGCGCAAGUUAAUCGACAGGAUGAUGGUCAACCAGCCCAUGCCCUUAAUCUUGACAAGAAAGAUUUGGGGCAUAAUGAUCUGAUCAACCCAGAAAAUAGGAGGUGUGCGGAGAACGUAGAUUUGCCUGUGAAUAGGAAUCGUAAAGGCAGAGCAAAUCGCCAACCUACUAUGCAGUUUGCACCUAAUGAGGAAGACGAUACAGACUUUGAUGAGGCUGGGACUACCGGAGCAAUCAUCCCACUACCAUUGGCUCCUGGGGUGAAACUCAACAUAACCAGCACCAUGAUACAACUGCUUAACCUCAUGGGUUUGUUUGGCGGACUUCCUAGAGAUGACCCAAAUAUGCACUUGGUGAACUUCAUCAACAUUUGCAAAGUAUUUGAAAAUCCUAGAAUGCAUUUCGUAUUUGGUUAUUUCUGUUGUAUCUGUCUGGGGAGGCAAGGAUGUGGUUGAAUGAGUUAGCUCCUGAUUCUAUAACAAACUGGAGGCAGUUGAAAGGAGCUUUCGUAGAAAGGUUCUUUCCUCUCUCCAGAAUAUUACAGUUGAGGGACGAGAUUUGUAAUUUCAGACAACUACCAAAUGAGGCACUACAUGAGACUUGGAUGCGAUUUAAGAAGAAGCUAACGUAGUGCCCCAACCACAAAAUAACCGAUGAAUACUUGAUGGAGAUAUUUUAUGGAGCUCUAAACUCCAUCACUAAACCAACCAUAGACAACACUACAGGAGAGGCAUUCAUAGAACUCACAUUCACUUAGGGAGCAGAUAUGUUAGAGUGGUUGACUGAGACAAGUAGAGCUUGGCAUACUAGGGAUUUUGUGGUAUCAAGCCCUACUAUGCCUAGUGGGAUGUCUGCGGAGCAAUGCUGGAAAGAGGGGGAAUGUGACCAAGAUAUAGCACAUAUGAAAACCCAAAUGGAUUUUCUUACUAAACAUCUAUUAUUUGGGAAGACUGAGAAGGGAAAAAUUGUUGGGUCACAAAGAAGAGCUGAUUUUGAUUAUGAAGAGGAGGCUAACUAUCUAAAUAAUCAGGGGGAUUCCGAAGCAAUAGCCAACUGAACCAAGGUUGGAACUAUUAUGAAAAAUUUGGUUACAAAGAUAGGGAUCAUGGGAGCUGGAAGAAUAAGAAUGACAUGAGUGGACUGUAUGUACCUCAUGAAAGUCAUCAUAAUAUUGCUACCAGUUCAGGAAAAAUGUCCAUGGAGGAUAUGAUUGAGAAGCUAUUGAAAGGGGUUGAGGCGACCAAUGCUGGGGUAACAACGAUGAAGAGUGACUUAUCUUCCAUGAGUCGCUAGUAAAUUUGCAUUCAACUUCUAUCAAACAGUUGGAGCAGCAGAUAAGCCAACUCUCGACAGCAUUUAAUCAAAGAAAGAGUGAUACAUUAUUGAGCGAUACAAUGCAAAAUCCUCAAAAUAAUGGCUCUUGUAUGGCAGUUACCACUCAGAGUGGUAAAGUAUUACCUAACCCUUCUGUGGGCAAAACUGUGAUUAAGGAUGUCAUUGAAGAAGAUGCAAUAGAUGAUAAAACCCAUCCAAUGAAUUCUAAGAAGCUGGAUGGUAAUGCAAGUACAUCUAACCAUCGACGGGUUGAUGAGUUAGAAAAAUAAAAAGAAAAAAAGAAGGAGGCAGUGGUCACUACUCUCCCAAAACCACCGUCACCCUUCCCCCAUCGAUUGAAGAAGAAAGUUGAUGACACAAAGUUCAAUAAAUUUAUGGUAAUACUGAAGCAACUGAUGGUGAAUGUGUCUUUAAUGAAGGCAUUAGAGUAGAUGCACGAAUACGCCAAGUUAAUGAAGGAUCUUGUGACGAAGAAGAGGACAGUUAGCUAUGAACCAGAGGAUAAUCUUCACCAUUUUGGUGCUAUUUCGAUAAGAUCUUUGGUGCAAAAGAAAGCAGACCCAAGAACGUUUCCCAUCCCUUGUACUAUUGGGUCACUUGAUUUUGGUAAGGCUUUAUGUGAUCUUGGAGCAAGCAUUAACUUGAUGACACUUGAUGUUUAUAAGAAGUUGGGUUUAUGGGAUCCUACACCCACAAAUAUGUGGUUGGUGAUGGCUGACAGAUCGAUAAAGCAGCCAGUGGGGAUCUUAUAUGAUGUACUAGUGGAAGUGGCCAGCUUUAUAUUUCUUGUGUAUUUUGUUAUUCUAGACCGUGAGGUGGAUUUUGAGGUACCCAUAAUCUUGGGUAGACUUUUCCUCGUAACUGAAAGUGUGCUUAUUGAUUUGCAAUCGAAUGAGCUAUUAUUCAGGCUUAAUGAUGAGGUAGUUUUCUUUGAUGUGUGCCAAUCUAUGAAACAAUCCAAAUAGAUGAGUGUAUUCUCCAUUGUUGAUGUUUAUUAUGAAGACAAGCAAUAGGUUCCAAUCAAGGAGAGAUAAGAUAUGGAAACUCUAGUUGUAGUUUUGUUGAAUUUUAAUGGUGAAGGUAUUGAGGAAUACGAGGAGACAGUGUAUGCUUUGAUGGGAAUAAUAUCCUAUUCCUAUAUUCCCAAGAAUUUGGACCUAGAUCUGAAAAAUCGCGCAACAUCACCGACUAAGCCAUCGAUCGAAGAGCCACCGGUGUUGGAGUUGAAGGAGUUGCCAGGGUAUUUACGGUGUGUGUUUCUAGACAGUGGGAAUAUUUUAUCUAUGAUUAUUGCAGUGAAUUUGGGUGAGCACCAGGUUGAGGCACUAAUCUCCGUGCUUAGGAGAUAUAAAAGAGCUAUAGGUUGGACUAUUGCAGAUAUUAUUGGUAUUUCUCCAGGUAUAUGUACUCAUAAGAUUUGUCUUGAGGAAGAUUGCAUACCAACCAUUGAUCACCAACGUCGCCUUACCCCACCAAUGUAAGAACUGGUUAAGAAGAAGAUUAUCAAAUGGCUUGACGCAGGAGUUGUAUACCCCAUCUCUGAUAGUAAAUGGGUAAGUCCCGUCCAAUAUGUGCCCAAGAAAGGGGGCAUGACUGUGGUAGCAAAUGAGAAAAAUGAGUUGAUUUCACUCAGGACUGUCACAGGGUGGAGAGUUUGUAUGGACUAUCGUAAGCUCAACUAAUAGACUCUGAAGGACCACUUCCUGAUGCUUUUUAUGGAUCAAAUGCUUGAUUGGUUGGAGGGAAGAGGUUAGUAUUAUUUCUUGGAUGGGUACUCAGGCUACAAUCAAAUUUCUAUUACUCUAGAGGAUCAAGAGAAGACGAUGUUCACUUGCCCAUAUGGUACUUUCUCUUUCAAGCGAAUGCCAUUUGGAUUAUGUAAUGCGCCUGCAUUUUUCUAACGGUGCAUGAUAUCUAUAUUCUCCGACAUGAUGGAGAACGCCUUGGAGGUAUUUAUGGAUGACUUUUCUAUGGUAGGUGAUUCUUUUGAGCUAUGGCUGGAAAAUCUGUGUAGAGCAUUGCAAAAAUGUGAGGAAUAUAACGUAGUGUUGAAUUGGGAGAAAUUCCACUUCAUGGUGAAAGAAGGCAUUAUUCUUGGUCACAAAAUUUGAACAAGGGAAUUGAAGUCAAUCGUGCAAAGGUUGAGGUUAUAGAGAGACUACCUCCUCCCAUCUUAGUAAAUAGAGUUUGUAGUUUUCUUGGUCAUGCAAGCUUCUAUCGUCGAUUCAUAAAGGACUUUUCCAAAAUAGCAAAACCACUCUGCAAGAUUUUGGAGAAGGAGGCCAAGUUCAGAUUUGAUGAUGAUUGCAAGAAGGCAUUUGAAUGCCUUAAGGAGAAAUUAGUUGUUUCACUAAUUAUUGUUGCACCAGAUUUGUCAAAACCGUUCGAAAUUAUAUGUAAUGAAAGCGCAGUAGCGCUUGGGGAUGUGCUUGGCCAAAAGAAAUAAAAGCUAUUUCAUCCCAUUUAGUAUGCAAGCAAGCCAUUGAAUGGGGCCCAGAAGAAUUACAUUGUGACUGAGCAGGAACUUCUUGUGGUAGUCUAUGCAUUUGAGAAGUUUCAUGCUUACUUAUAGGGACUAAGGUGGUGGUGCACACGAAACACGCUGCUUUGAGGUAUUUGAUGGAAAAAAAUGCUAAACCAAGGCUAAUUAGAUGGGUGUUGCUUUUUCAAGAGUUUGACUUUGAAGUCAAAGAUCGAAAAAGAUGCAAAAUUCAAGUUGCGGAUCACUUGUCCAGACUUGAGGGUGAUCAAGCGGUCAAGGAUGAGUUUGAAAUUGAUGAUGCAUUCCCGAAUGAGAAGGUCCUGGCUACUGCACUUGAAAGAGUGCCUUGGUAUGCUGAAUUCGCAAAUUAUGUGGUAAGUGAAGUCAUACCGGAGAAUCUUUUUUUUCACCAAAGGAACAAGUUCCUUCAUGAUGUUCCACACUACUUCUGGAAUGAGACUUAUUUAUUUCGAUGGUGUUUAUAUAAUAUUAUCAUACGAUAUAUUCCAUAGGUGGACAUGUUGAAUAUCCUUGAAGUUUGUCAUGCUUCUUCGGUCGGGGGUCACCAUGCAGAUGACCGUGCUGCGAGAAAAGUGCUACAAAGAAGUUAUUAUUGGCCGACCUUAUUCAAAGAUGCCUAUGAAUUUGUGAGGAGAUAUGACCAACUCUAGAGACAAGGGUCAAUCUCAAAGCACCAUGAGAUGCCUAUGACAAAAAUAAUGGAAGUCGAGUUGUUCGAUGUAUGGGCCAUUGAUUUCAUAGAGCCCUUUGUGAGCUCUUAUGGGCUGAAAUACAUAUUGGUCACCAUUGAUUAUGUGUCAAAAUGGGUUGAAGUUGUUUCUUUGGAUGAUAAUGAAGUAAAGAGAGUGGUUCCAUUCCUUAAAAAGAAUAUCUUCUCUCGCUUUGGGGUACCACGUACCAUCAAAAGUGACGGUGAAUCACAUUUUUACAACUGAGUGUUCCGGGAUACCUUGGAAAAAUAUAGUGUUAAACAACACAAGGUGGCAACUCCAUAUCACCCACAGACUAGUGGGAAAGUAGAGAUUUCAAAUCGUGAGAUAAAGGCCAUCUUUGCCAAAACGGUGAAUGCAAGUAGACAAGAUUGGUCUAGGAAUUUGGAUGAUGCCUUGUGGGCGUAUAGAAUAGCUUUCAAGACACCCAUUAGUAUGUCAUCAUACCAAUUGGUAUAUGGAAAGUCUUGUCACUUACCGAUUGAAUUAGAACACAAGGCACUGUGGCCACUCAUGUGACUAAACUUGAAUUGGAAUGAGGCAGCAAAAUUGCAACUGGGGCAACUGAAUGAGAUGGAAAAAUUCCGUCUAGGGGCUUAUGAAAGAUCAAAUUUAUACAAGGAAAAGAUGAAGAAGUAUCAUGAUUAGAGUAUCAAAAAGUGAGACUUCUAGAAGGGUGAUUGGGUACUCCUAUUUAAUUCUAGACUAAAGCUCUUUCCAGGUACACUUAAAUCAAAGUGGUCUGGCCCAUUCAAAGUUAACCAAGUCUACUCAUUUGGAGUAGUUGAACAUGAAAAUGAGGACGAAAGUGUCUUCAAGGUUAAUGGGAAGCGGGUGAAGCUGUAUCUCGGCCCAACGGACUCGGUAAAGUGCAUAUCUAUCACCUAUCUUGAUGAAGUCUGAAUACUCGAGAUAACUAUGUCAUGCCGCGACAAUAAAUCAGGAGCUAGUGGGAGGCAACCCACAAAGUGUUAUUGUAAGCAUAGUUAGAGUUUAUUUGUUAUUUUGUGCAAUUUGAUGUGUUGUGUAAGUAUGCAGGAAGAGAAGUGCAGCAAACCAGAAGCUGGAAAGGUUGAGACAUACCUGGCGGACAGAUUGGCGAACCGUCAAACCUUUGAUGGAUCGCCACUGGAACCGUCAGAAGGAAAGCAAAUAUCUGAAGUACUAGAGUGAGGCUGACGGAGCAUUCGGCGAAUCAUCGCAUCCUUGAUGGACCAUCGGGUCUACCGUCUCACCAAAGCAGAAGGACCAUAGUACUGCUAAGCUGCGGUGGAUAACCUAAUGGGUUGUCGGGUCGACCGUCGUAUUAACCCUUAAUAUGAAGGGUCGGGUCGGGAAAAAUCCGAUUCUUAAUAAAUUGCCCUUAUCCGACCCAAAAGGUUUUAAUUUGAUAAAAGAAAAAGCAGUUAUAAACAUUGCCACCCCUUCAAAUUGUAAAACUGAUUAAAUUCCUUCCUAUUCACUGAAUCAAGGAUCAGUUAUUUCCUAAGACUCUUCUUCUCUCCCAUUCUACCCUAUUUAAACAACCCUCUUUUUCUCUUGUUCUCACCACAAAGUAAGUUGAGCCUUAGUAAGUUGGUAGCCAUAGUUAAGUAUGAAGUUUGCAAGUCAGAGUAGUGAAGUUACUGCAGAAUCAAGGUAUGAUCUCAACCUUACUUUUGCCUUCCAAGUUAUUAAACAUGAAGCAUGUAUGAUACUAAUUUAAGGAAAGAAAUUUCAUCUUGUUUGCUUUGUUGUGAGGUUAAUUUUGAGUAGAACUUUAGUUUAUACUGCCCUGGGUGAAGUCUAAGUAACCUAUAAAUCAAAUUUGGCAAAAAUGGUGCGUAAAUAUUGGAGAAAAUCCUUAAGUAUACGCUUAAUAAAAUCAUGAACGCCAGGCGUUCGAUAAAAUGCCUAUGUGAAAAUUGAUGCUGAAAAAUAAAGCGAACGGUCAACUUGACGGACCGUCCGGUCGACUGUCGCAAAGUUAUAUACUCUGAUAGUCACUCGUUCAACCAUGAUGGUACACCUGACAGACGGUUGGACUUCUGACGGACUGUCUAUUUAACCAUUGCAAGGCUAAUUGAUAGAGGACCCAUUGGUUUAAAGCUUGACGAUGAGGGAAACGGACCAUCAAAGAUUAAACAGACCCUCCGUGAAGCAAUUUCUUCACUGUUUUGACUGAUUUUGAAUCGCAAACUGAUUAUUUAUCCCUUUUUCAGGUAAUAUGGCUUAAAAACUUCCCCUAACAAGAGACGAUGGUAGAGCUCAAUGGGGCAGAGGCAAGCCAGCAAGGAGUGAGGAGGCGCCUACCUUCAACACUUGGUAGUGAGAUAGGGUACUCCCAAUACUCUCCCAGUCUGAGAAGGAGGGUAAAAGUAACAGCAGCAUACUAGUUCCACUCCCAAUAAGGAAAGGGUAGAUACCUUUAACCCUGACCAAGUCGAGGCUUUGGAACAAGAGGAUAUAAAUGUCAUAAGGCAUAAGGACCCGUAAGUUUGGGAAUUAAUUCAAUAACAAGUGGAAGGAGCAUGUAAGAAUUUCCUGUAUGGGUUGAAACCUACAUCUAGCAGACCAAUAAGAAGGCCCAUCCACGAAGAGUUUCAGAUUAUUAUUACUGAGCUGCACGAGUACCUUAAGUUGGAGCAGAGAUUCAACAAAUAUCAGUUGUCUUGGAUGAGUGUCCCACCUGGUACAUACCAACCAAACCUUUUUUGUGAAUUAUUUGCAAACUAUUUGGUGUUAUUGUAAAAAAAAUGCCCCAAGGGUACGAAGAUUUCUGAAUUAGAAAAUCGGGAUGUGGUUCCGGUGCAUGGAGUUAACAUAGACAUUUCAAAACGCACCUUGAAUCAGUUCCUGUUUGGUCCUGAGUAUGAGAUACCUAGUGCGAUCCCAGAUCUGGAGCACCGCAUGUUCAUUACAACUCAAUAAACACCCUGGCUGGCCCGAGUAUUGACAGAUAAUAAAAAUCCAGCGUGGCUGCAUAACCCUCAUGAGCGGAUAGCAAAGUCGUCCCUAAGCUUUAGAGCAAAAUUUUGGUGGGCCAUUGUCAGGUUAAGACUGAUGCCAACAGGUGGUGAGGCCAAUUUAGAGAUUCAGAGAGUUGUGAUGGUUGUUGCUUUGAUUGAGGGGCUAAAGAUAGAUUUUGGCCAUACUAUUGCAGACGAGAUGUUUGCCCGGGCAUAUAAGACAUCCAAUGCUCUACCAUUUCCAUGCCUUAUUACAAAGUUGUGCAGGCGGGCAAAUGUCCCCUUGAUUAGUGAAGUUCAUAAUGAGGUCCGUGCGAGUUACCGAUAGGAUAUUGAGAAGAUGAAAGAUGAUUCAAAGUACGAAAUGUGAUUCAACAAGCCUCCCGCUUAUCAGACUUAGUCAGCUCUAGCUCCCGGGGCUUCGGAUGUCCCCUCAGGUAUACCAUUGUCUAUCCCUACCUAUGAACUACUGGAUUUUAUACCACAUACAACUUCUACAUGGUCAGCCUCCAUGCCACCAAUGGGAGAGACUGCCAAUUCUGCAUCUGUCCCUCCAUAAUAUUUGAAGUACAAGUUGACACAAAAAUUUUGCUAAGUUUGUAAAAUAAUAGAAAAAGUUCCAGAAGCAGCUUGACACAUGGGCUAUGCAAUUCAAUCCUUUUGUUAACCGCAUUGUAGUUGAAACAAUCCAUUCUUUUCAAAACAUUCAAACAAGGAGGGACCAUAUGGAGGAAUGUGUCAACAAAAGGCUGAAUGUGCUGUCUAUUCCAUAUUUUGCUAAGUUGAUGGCAGAAUUCAGGCAAGCGCAGACAGACAUAGCAGAUCUAAAAAAGGCAACAACCACAGCAGCCCAUUUUUGACCUUUCUUUGAUUAUCAGUGAUGAGGAUGAGGGCAUCAUAGACUUGAUGGGGAUGUCGCUCACAGACAAGGGUAAGUAGGUUGAUGAUAGUGAUGACCAUAAACCUGCUAAAAGAAGGAGGCGAGAAGCAAUGAAAUAGGAAGAAAGAGAAGCCAGGGAUAUGAAGAAAGCUGUAAAGAGGUCAAGAAGAGAUGAAGCAAAGAGACAGAAGAAGGUUGCAGAUAAAGCUGCAAGUAUUUCUACUAGUUCUGCCCCAUCUAGGGGCCCCACUCCAGACCCGAAUCAUGUUGACAUACCUCCGAUUCUGGAGGGUGAAAUUGUGAUCCCCCUUACCACCAUAGGGGUCAACGUUGUUGUAGGUGAGGCCAAAGAAGCCUCACCAUAUUUGACUGAUGCCUCGUCUAAAUAAGAGGCUUUACAAGUAUUUUCCUCCCUUGUAUUUUACUUUUAUGCAUUGACGACAAUGCAUUUAUUUUUAAUGGGGGUGGGUAUACUUGUACCACGAGGUUUUUUGUUCCUGCGUUCUUUUUCUCCCAUGUGCUAUCUAGUAGAACCAACAUAUCUAGGUUGCAUUUUAUUUUUGUAAGUAGUUGUGAUGUAAAUAUCUAUUGUUAAUGUUAUUUAUGAAGUGUCUUUCAUUUAGUACCUUUUUAUAUAUAUGUAUGAUGAAUGAAUGUGGCAUAAGACUAUGAGCAUGUUUGUAUAACUAUUUCUUCUUGUCAUUUAGUAUGUGUUGCACAACUGUUGGUGAUUUUGUAAUUGGCAUUGAGAUGUAAAGUGUUCAUGACCAUGUGAUGUAAAUCCCAAGAGUUGGUAGAAUAAGUUUAACUCAUAUGCCUAUGUGUGCGAGCAUUUGUUUUAGUUCUUGCAUAGUGAUACACCUAGAACUUGCCCAGUUUAUUAAUGUUAUUUUGUGCUUGAUUCAAUAAGAUAGGAUAGUGGUCCUCCUUGUACUUUUAGUCUACUUAGCCGAAAUAAAUGACCCACCAAAAAGAUUUUUCCAUUUUUAAACCCUUUUUGAGCUUAUGUUGGUUUUUCUUCAUUCUCAAUAACUCUAAUUAACUCUCUUUAGGUUGUUAGCACCUAGCCUUGGCCCUGGUUCAAUAUUGCACAUUGUGUACCUUAACUUAGGCAAAACACCUAAGUUGAGGGUGGUUACUGUCAGGAUGUUAGCAACUUAACGAAAAAGUGAUGUAGAGAUAAAAUAAAGUAUUUGGCCCUGAUCUAUUUAAGAUAUUGUGCACCUUAACUGACUGCAUCAGCAUAAGUUGAGGGUGGUUGAUGCUUAUAAAAAUGUGGGUUUAAGGUGAAGUGUGAAUGAAUAAUAGAGAUUGUAAAAGAGCUGGAAAAACAUUAGUCUUUGUGAGUAUAAUUCAAGGGCAAAGAGAGUAAAGUCUGAACUUUUAGUCAGUUUUCCCAAAAAUUUGUCCUCACCUAGCCCUGUAACCUCAUUAUAAUCCUAAAAAAGACCUGUUUGAUCUUUGCGAAUCAACCAUAUGGGGGCAUUAGAUGAUAAGGGCAAACCUAUGGGUAUGUAUGCUAUGAUUGUAACUUCUUUGAUGAAUGCAAGAGUCAUGAUUUUCGUUCAAAAUAUACACGAACAAUGAGUGGUGGACUUUGUUGAUUGUGAGGGCAACUUGAGUUACGCUUAGUUUUGCUGAUAUCUAUAGGAUAUUGUAUCCAUGUUUGUGUUUUUGCUGAAUUAUAAAUAAUGUCGAUUGUAGAUCCUGAUGUGUUGAGCCUAUAUGAGUGAGAUGACAGUUGAGUAGUUGUGUGAAAUUUAGUUCAAAAUUUGAUUGCCCAUCAUUGUAUUUUUCAUUUAUCCGAUUUGGAGCUGAGUUACUUGGGGACAAGCAAUUGUCUUAAGUUGAGGGUGUUGAUGUUCGACCUUUGACGAAAUAUUUUAUAUCCUUUUAAAGGGAUAAUUGUACGUUUUCAAGCAACUGAUGUUGUAUUUAAUACUGACUUUUAGUGUUUUCAGGUCAAGGAUUUUCUGAAGAAGAAACUUGGCAAAGUAGCAGAAAAAGGCCACCGAUGGUCAAACUGACGGACCGCCAGGAUGACCAUCAGAGUUACACAGAGAGGACCAAGUCUACGAUGGUCCAAGUGAUGGACCGUUGGACCUCUAAUGGACCGUCAACUUGGCCGUCAGGCUGGAAUAGUGAAUUCCAUUUUAGAGGCCAAGCGACGGACCGUCAGGACAACAAUGGCCCAUUAACUGAACCGUCACUUCUCAACCAGAAAGUGGCAAAGUGGGACCUUCAGCAACGAUCCACGUGAUGUACCAUCAGGCCAUCGACGGGCCGUCAAUGAGAUCGUCAACCUUGACACGGCUAUAUUGGAUUCAAAGUUCAAAUCCUUAGUACCUGGGAACAUAUAAAUACCCAGUUUAGGUUUUAUUUAGGGAUCUUUUAUCAUAUUUCCAUUAAGAAAACCUAUUGUGCAUAGUAUUCUCUGAGAAUUGAGCUAUAGUUACAAAUCUAAUCAUUUUUAUUCAUAUUCUCAUUGAAGAUUCAAGAACAAUUCUUGUAUUUUCAUAAGUAAUUCUCUGAAUUCAUUUAUGACAUACACAAUGAUAUCCUCUUCUUCUUAUUCUUCUCUUGAGAUGUGUGGCUAAUCUCCCAUAACUAAAGUUAUAGGAGCCUUGAUGUGAAUAGUUGAUUAGGGUUGUGAAACACUUAAUUUCCACCUGUAAUUAAGAUUGUAUAAACCCUUCUUCGGAUUAAUGACCUUUCCUGGCUGCAAACUUGAUGGGUGAGCCCAAGAACAUCACUUGUCUGAGAGGAAAGGUGUAUGUUGGGAAAAAGAGUUUACAUGAAAUCUAAGAGUCUUAACCUUUGGGUUAAGGGUUAAUUCCUUAACAAGGACUAACCCACAUGAGAGACUAAUUAAAUAAAUCAGUAUAUUCUUGUAGUUCGAGAGAAUUAAAGGGUGAACCAUCCAUUUAGGUUGAGAAACUAAUGGGUAUAGAAUUCAAUAUCUCUUACAAUUAAAUUUAUCAAUUGGAUUAAAGUAACUCACAACUCCAACUGGUUAAACAUCUUGGUGAACAUAAUUAUAGUCUGUCUGUUCUCAUUAAAUUAAUACUUACAAGAAAACUCUCUAGUUGAAAUAUAUUUUGAUGCAAUCAUUUAGAUACUACUGAUAAGUUAUAAACCCCCCUUUAAUUAGGAACCUUUGAUCAACAGUCCAUUAACAACCAUAACACUUAGUUUGCACGAGUAUUCCCUGUGGGAUUUGACCCCAACCUAGUUGGGUCCUAUAUUUGACAGCGACCGCUUACACUUUUUGACAAGAGUUGUAAUUUGGGCGUAUCACCACUACAGGUACAUACACUGCCAUGACUUAUAAAAAAAGUGGUACAAGCCUAUUUAUGAUUUGUUGUUAUUACAAGUGGUUCUCUUGUACCUGGGUAUCUUGCAUAGUGAACACUUAUUCCUCCUCUUGGUCUUGAAAGCCUCGCCCAUGCCCUUUACGUGUUUCCUUUUCUUUAUUCCGGGCUUGGUGUCAACAAGGGGUGGAAUAAUGUACACGUCUAGUAAUUCCUAUGGCAUACACCAUUCGUACUCUAAAGGGACAACAUUAAUUGAUUUUGAAUACAUAAGGAGGUACUUUUUGACUUUAUACACGGGCGAAGAGUACUCGUUGAUGCUCAAACCAUAAUUAUCUCUAUACUUCGAUCACAAAGAAGCCAUCACGUGGGCACAUAAAAUUUGAUCAAGUCAUACUUCCUCCAAGAACAUGACUUUUUCAGUAGGUUGACUUUAGCUGUCGAACCCCUAUCGAAUACGGUGAAUCGGUUGUCUUCCCCAUUUACGUUCUCCAUAUACAAGGAGUCUCCCUCGCUCAUAUUAUUCCUUGCGAUCUUAUCGGUGGCAGGCACAAAUAGGUUAUCCUUAUAGUUGAGGACAUAUGCAUGCCUCUCCCUGAAUUUCUCAAUAAACCUCUUAGCAAUUGAAUUGAAUAUAGAUGCCACGGGGUACUCCCUUUUGGCUAAAAACAUAGUUGUCAUGACCCGAGCUGAGACCCUGACCGCGAUAGGUAUAUCGAAUCACGAAGGCUGGAGAGACUCCUUAGCAUACUAUCAUAUGUGUAAUUCAUACAUAAAUCAAAGUGCAAAAGAUAUAAUAAUAUUUAAUGAAAACUUAUUGUAAUACCCCAUACUUUUUUCUAGCUCAGUUUAGCUCCUAGAAUGUCAAAGGUUGGAUUUAAAAAUGAAUAACUCUUGAUACAUGUAUAAUUUUCCAGUUCUAGACCCACCAGUGUGUAGGUAAUUGGCUCAGCUUUCCAGUGAUACCAAUUUCGCCUUAAUCCGAUACUCGAUUGAGAAGUUAUGGUGUUUUUAGUAAAAUAGUAUGGCAUUUUGACAAGCACCGCAUCGCGGUGAAAGCCAGAUUCGCAUUUGUCAAUUUCCAGUAGAGCACCAUGAUUAGCCCACAUCGCGAUGAAUUUUCAGUUCCUAUUUGUCCCAUUCUAGUAACUCACCGUGAUCUACUUGUAUCGCGUCAAAUUUCCCAAAAGGACAGUCACCGCAUCGCGGUGAAGUGCAAAAUGACACUCGUCCUUUUUCCAGUAGCCCGACCCAAUUUUACCGUAUUGCGCCAUCAUCCAAAAUGGCAAUGAUCCUUUAUCCAGUGAGCCACCGCGAUAGCCCCGCAUCGCAGUGGGAGCCAAAGUUGGAAUUUCCAGUUUUCGAGUAAAAUUUUAAAAGGGCAAUCUAGUCUUUUCUCAAGCCCCCAAUUCGUGAAUAACACUGAAUUAAACCUAUUCUAAGCAUUAUAUGCUUAUUUUUCAUCAACUUUCUCUCAAAUAAACCCUAGAACAUUAAACCUUCAUCUCCAAGAAAUUCAAAUUCCACCAUUGAUUUCCCAAGAUAACUCAAGAUUAAGAAUUUUCAAUACAAGAUAAUCAAGAAUUCAUUUUCAAGAGCACAAAUAGAAAUCCAAAAUGAAGUGUUCUCAUUAAUUGCAUCAAUUAAAGUAUGUGGGGUUUAUGAACAAGGAUACUCCUUUCAUCCUUGUGCCUAAAAUUUAUUUUUAAUUACAAAAUCACAUGAAUUUACAUGAGUUUUAAGUUAGGGUUCAUACCCAAUAUUUUUAUUUGCAAGAUUAUGAGAUUUCAAGUGACUUUGGCAUUGAAUUCAUGUCCACUAGUGUAUUUUCAUGAGUAUUGCGGUAAAUUCUUGAUUUUUGAUUGAAUUAUCAAUAUUUACAUUAUCAAGCAUGAAAUUAUGUUUUGACAUGAAUUUGAUGCAUGGGUUGAUGAGCCCUAGUAUAUAUGUUGAUUUUUCAAGAAGAUUAUGCUUUAAGCAUUCUAUGACUAACUAUUUUUCAAAAUUUUAAUAAAGAUUUGAUCUUUUGAUCUCAGCUUAGACAUGGAAUUCACUUUACAGAUUCAGUUAUAGUUUAAAUUAACAUAGAUGCAGUUGGUUUUUGUUAAAAACCAUUAACUAGUUUUUUAAAGUGGAUUUCCAACAGAAUGAGCAUACAAAUUAAAAAGAGUAGUAUUUAGCACCGAGUUGGGUAUGUUCACAUGCCCCAGAACUACGAGCCAACAUAGGUUCAGAUUAUAAGAUUAUUUCCAUUUCUAUAUGGAUGACAGAUACAGAUGUGAUCACUUAGAUUAGGUUAUACUCCUUGGCAAGAGUAUGACACCUCCCCGCAACGUGAGGUUUUCUCCUUAGGGAAACUAGACAUUGGAUACUAUGAUAGCUCACAUAGUGUAUGUCGAUUAGAAGAACCUCCCUAAUAGUAAAGACUUUCAGAAUAGUUUUAGAGUAUUUCCCUACUAGUAAAACCUUACAGAACAGAAUAAUUUUAAUGGGACAGUUUUUAGAAACUAAGUGUAAAGGCUCACAAUUUUACUCAGAUAUUUCUUUACAUAUGGCUUUAGCUAUGAGAUUUCAAAUUUCAAUUUUACAGAUACAGAAGUGAGUCCUUUUUACACUUAAGAAGCAUGAUUUACAAACAGAAUACUACCACAGUUUUAGAACUAAAUGUUAUGACUCACUAGAUUUAUACAACAUGUGUUGCUAUUCAUGAUUUGAUUUAUAGUUUUCAGCUAUUCCAGCUUAUGUGAGUCAUCUAAAUUUAGCAUGCAUUGUUUUACCAAUUAUGAUGACGUUGAGACUCUAUUUUACUUAUGCAUUCACCCUCAUAUACUCAGUACAAUCCAAAGUAUUCAUCCACAUAUAUGUUUAUGUUCUACAUUAUCUCAUAAUGUAGGUUCAGGUGCUCAGUUCCAGCAGCGUGAGUGACUCCAAGCAUCUCCAUCUACAUCCCAACAGUUGGUGACUCCUCAUAGUUUGGGGAUUUAGUUAUUUAGAUUUCCAGCUUAGUAGUAUAGAUGUUUUUUUCAAAAAAUUUUAGACAGUUCGAGUCAGCUAGGGGAUUGUCCCAGUGACUCUCUAGUAUUAGUAGUAGAGGCUUGUCAGACUGCUAGCUUUGAUUCAGAUUUUCCUUAUUGAUUUAUCAGACUCUUGAGUCUAGUGAUUUCAUAUAUUAUAUUCAGAUAAAUUCAGUUUAUCUCAGAUAGAUUUCUGUAUUUUAUCUUUGAUCAUAUAUCUAUAUUUUCUCUAUUAUGAGCUUCAGAUUUAGUAGAAGGCAGACAAGGUUAGUGUAACGAUCCGAGACUACCCCAUAGUCGUUACACGAUGCUUACAGUCCCGAGGGACCAUAAUCUAACCCAUGAGCUGGUACCUGCGGUGAGCACUAGAUAAUAUAAUCAUGAAUGCAGAAGGAUAGUUGAUAUGCCAUAAGUUUUUAAUAAUGAAAUAACUACUGAAUUAUGAAUCUGAUAGAAAUACUGAAAUCUGAAUCGUAUAAAUAGCUAACUAUAGUGUCUAAAAAUCCUAUAAGACUGACUGACUGAGAGUUGAUGGGACAUGCCCAAAUUAACUCCAACUAACUAAUUAAACUGAAAUCAAGAAGUAAAUACUCUGUCCUUGGAUGAUGAGGACUCACCGCUGCUAUAGUACUGUUGAUAAUCUGAGAAUCUGGGUACGAUUCAGGAACUGAGCGUCAGCACCUAUGAUAUGACACACCAUAGCGUAAAAGAAAAGUAUGUGAUCAGUACUUUGAAUGCACUGGUAUUAUAAAUAAGGUAGGCUAAUAUGCAAAGUUUCAUGAAUAGGAGUAAUGAUCUAUCUGAGUAUACAUGUAAAGCAUGGAAUAUUGAAUAGAGAACAUGAAAUUUGUAGGUAAUGAAUAUGCAUAAAAGUCUGUAAAAUACUGAAAAUACAUGAGAAUCUGUAGACACUAAAGAUACAUGACCAGGCAUAUAACAUGGACUGAGUAAAAUCUAUAUUCUGAAAUACUGAAAAAUAUACUGAUAUCUGUAUGCCUUGAUCAAACAACACUAAGACUGAAUAACUGAACUGGGACUGUAACUGAAAUUAUAUCUGAGACUGUGGGAGGUAUUAUCUAACCGACAUUCUCCAAUUUGAGCUAAUCAGGGUCCAACCUAUAACCCUAGUUAUAAGGGUGUUAAUACCAUGCCAUGGGUACUAACGCUGGCUAUGUGGAUCCACUAAACUGAUAUCAUGUCCAAAGGAUUAAGGUUGCUAAGCCUGAACUGAUGGGUGAACCUUGCGAGAUAGUCAAGUCUAAUCUGACGGGUGACUACUCAUAUCCUACGCUGGCUACGUAGUUCUAGAGUAUAGGGACUGCUACAACGACUCUGCCUAUAUGACGGGGAAACUGCCAUCCUUACACUCUCUUGGUGCUAAAUCCUACUCCCAACUGAAAGACACUGAGAUAGUAGACUAUUCUGAGUUGAAUAACUGAUAUUUGACAAUUCUGAUAAGGCUCAUAAUAUAAUCUGAAGACUAUUUAGUAAUGUACUGAGACUAGACUGAUAAAACAGCUAUAGUUUUUGGGUAUUCAAUACCCCCAGGACUCAAAACAACAAUACUGAAAAGACCCUAAAGCUUGAAGGCAAAAACACGAAGGCUAAUAAUAAAUAAAUCACUUUUGUAGGCAUUUUAUCAAACACUUGUAGUUCAUGGUUCAAAACAAUCAUAGGAAUGUUCAAAAACAUAUAGAAAUAGCAUGAAUCCGACAUAAUAGAGCUAAAUCAUGGUUUUGUUCAAUAAAUAAUAAUAUUAAAAUAUGAGGAAUUAAAUAAUAACAAUAAUUUCAUGGUAACAUGGUAUAAAAUCAAUAGUACAUGGAGAUUCAUGGAUGAAAUCAUAAUUUAAAAUCAAAUAAACUUGAAAAAGAGAUAGAUUUAUAAUUAAAACGGAUACUUGGACUACAUGGAUGAAAAGGGAUCCAUGGAUAAACAUCUAACAUACCUGGGUUACUAAAAUUAGAAGUAUUGAUGGAGAGUUCUUGAGAAAUUGCCUUGAUUUUUGAGGGCUAGGGUUUGUUGUUCUUUAAAAGCGGAAUAUUAAUUUGAGAGAAAGUGAAUAAUGAUGAGUAUUUAGGUCAAUUAGGGGCUAAAUUUCAUGUUUAGGAUGAGUUUAGGGCUUAGUAAAAAGACACAAAUACCCUUAAACACAUUUAAAAAUGGAAGCUGAAAACUGAAAAAGCUAAAUUAUGGCCUUGGAGUGACGCACCACUAUCGCGCCAAGCCACUGGAAUUUGGACAAUUGGGACCUGGACAAACACCGUGAUGCAGUGCCAUCGUGGUAAAGCUUUGGAUGCCAUUUUGGCCAGCUCUACGACGCUCCAUGAUCAUGUACCUUCACUGGAAAUUGACAAACGGGAAAUUGGCCUGCUCCGCGAUGCGCCAUGAUCGUGGAGUAACACUGGAAAUUGACAAUUGUCAUUUGGGCUGCCUACGCGAUGCACUAAGGGUUAAAAUGAUGGUGCUUUACGACUGAAACUUUAAAUCGCCAUAACUUCUUACCAGGUUAUUGAAUUUUGGCAAAUUUUAUAUCGUUGGAAAGCUAAUUUAAUUUUUCACGCAAUGGUAGGCUCUAAACUAAAAAAUAAUGAUUGUUUCAAAAAUUUUAUAUGUGAAUACUUAAGUAUAGGGACUUAAAGUACACUAGAAAAAUGCGGGGUGUUACAGUUAGCUUAAGGCUACUCGUAGUCUUGAGCAUUGUGUGACAUCUCAGGGCCUGCUUUUGGGGCGUUACACUUAUAAACCAAAGUGUGUCAAUGAAGUUGUGACCAUACAAUACUUAAAAUACCGUCUACGUAGCCUCUACUGAGAACUAACUAUCUCAAUCGGGACAAUGCCCCUGGCUGGACCAUAAACUGAAUUAGAUAAACAUAUGAAUAACAUCCCUUCUGAAAGAUAAUGGCUCACCAACUCUGUCAAAUCCAUAGAUUCUACUAAUGUGAUGGACCAUAGGACUAUACCUCGGAUCCUGUAAUAUGGGGGAGGGGUGUCAAUAUUUGGAGAGCAUUGGUAUGUAGAACUAACCCAAAAAUAACAUAUAUUUCGUAUAACAUAAUGAGAGCAUUGUGAAAACAAUUUAGCAUCAUAUAUAUAUAUAUAUAUAUAUAUAUAUAUAUAUAUAACACAUGGGCAUAAUUAAUGAGCUUCAAAAUAAUUUUGUAAAUCAUGGACUCAACUCUUUGCUUUAGUUUUGAGCUAAAUUGCACACCCUACAUUUCUAAAAUUCCACAGACUAUGUGAAAUUCACCCUUGACUCGACGAUCAAGCCCCUAAUCCAAGUUUUCCACAAGGAUUGGAGUAUCAGUAAGGGGGACACGCAAGAUCAUAAAGCAGGGUGUCAUAAUCCCCAAUCAAGUCAACAUGUCAUGGUAGUGCAUAAGAUCACAAACCAGGGCUCCUAACUAUAGUCUCAAAUUGGGACGACAUGAAUUAAAAGUACAUAAGAUCACAAAGCAGUGUACUAUAUCCCGCAUCGGUAAAACAUGAUUUUCAGUGGUGAGUCUUUUAACUCAUACUUUCUUCGGUUAACCAUCUAACUCUCUUUAAGCCCAAUUUUAGUCUCUGAAAGUCAUGAUUCAUGCUCAACAUACUCAUUUCUUUCAUAUUAAGGGCAUUUCAUAAUAGGUAUCGUCAUACCUAGACUUGCAAGCUUUAUCUUAUCAAAUCAUGUCUGUAGCCCUUUUUAUUCAAAGCAUGUUAUUGACCAUCCAAAAGAUUUAAACAUCAUGAGAGAGUUUUUAUAUCAAAUAUCAUACUAACUUGUACAAAACAUUUUUUUGUCAGUACUUUAACAUGUGGUGGUCAAUUCUUACAUAAAUAACAUGCAACUUCUUCAUUAGGUCACAAAAGGCUCUAGCAUGAGAAGUACCUCUUUGAAAACGUGCAAAACAACCAUGCAUAAUAGUUAAGGGGGAAUUUAAAACUUGAGAAGUAUAAUCAUUCAUAAAGAGCCCCAAACAUUAGUUAUACGUAAAUCUCAUGAUCAAAUACAGGACUUAUAAUUCAUGAUCUACCCAUUUCACAAUGUAUAACCUGUUAAGACAAUAAGUUUCAUGGGAGGGGGUUUCAUGAAUCAUGGUAUUAAAUCACUUUUCGAAACUCAUAACAUAUGUACGGAUUACCACAAUUCAAAUUAAUGGAAAAAAACCCUAUUAAUUUCAUAAUUUCAUCAAACAUGGGUUCAUGAUGCAUCCUCUUCAAAUGGUUUCCAAAACCCAUUACAUAUACAUACAUACAUACAUAUAUAUAUAUAUAUCCUUAAAGGUUGUUAAAAACAUAAAAUUUGUGCCCGUGAGAGUUAGGAUAGUCCCACAUACCUUGAAAUCAAAGAGAACGUUGAAAAAAUUGACCCUUGAAGCUUAAAAUCCUCAACCCUAGGUAGUUUCUCUUCUCUUGCUUAAGGAUAGAUGAUCUGGGGAUUUUGAGAAGUGAUAUAACGUGUUUAAUAGCCUUAAUUUCAUCCAUAAAGGAUUAGAAAUGGUUUGGGAGGGUGAAAAAAAACCCUUUGCCAUUAAAAUAACUCAAAACGGAACACUAUUUGAUGUUCAAGAAAGACUUGGCAGCGCAAUGCCAAAGAAAACCACAAGGUUUGCAGCGCAAGGCCAAAGCGAAGGUGGAACUUUGCCUCGCGACCCAAACGCAUACCCUGUACAGUGUCUUACUAAAACACCCAUAACUUUUAACUCCUAACUUGAAUUGACAAAAAGUCAGUUGCAUUGGAAAAAAGACUAGAAGAGUUUUAAUUUGAUAUAUUAUGGGCCACAUAAGCCCUUAUAUUCUAGGAGUAAUGGUCACUGGAAGUUGACCCAAGAAAAAUUAUAUACCAAAAUUCAAUGGAUAGGAAAGUGCUCAACUUAACUCUUAGCUAGGCGAUAUUUAAGACUUCAAUUCAUCUCCGAAGAUGUUACCACACUAAAGAAUUAUUAUUCAUACUUAUUUCUAGGUAGAAACCAUUGGGUUCGGGUCUUUAUACAUAGGAACGAUGAUUCAAACCACUACAAAAAGAUAAAGAUACGACAACAUUUAUUUGGCGACAUUUGAAAUAAAUAUCAGAAAAUGAAGAAUUUCUUGACAUUUAUGAACAAUUGUCGUAAAAUAAUGACAUUUGAUAUCAAAUGUCAUAAAAACGACGACAUUUGAUAAAAAAUGUCAAUAAAAUAAGGACAUUUAUUGCAAAAUGUCAUUGAUUUUAGCGACAUUUAGCAAAAGAGUCAAGAAAAUAGUGACAUUUGAUGCAAACGUUGAAUAUAUUAUGAUGUUUAAUGUAAGUGUCAUUGAUUUCAGUGAUAUUUAGUGAAAAUGAUGCUAAAAUAGUGGCAUUCAAUAUAAACGUCGGAUAUAUUAGAUGUUUAUUAAAAAUGUCAUUUUUAACAACCAUUGACAAAAUUAUCGUUAAAACAUAUAAUUAAUUGCUAAUUACUGAUAUCUACACCUAAUUGUGAAAAUAUUUUUAAGUUAUUCAUCACUAUUUAUCGAAAAAGAUUUUAAUUUCUCUUAGGACUAAACGAUUUAAACCAAAUUUACCGUAUGAUGACAAGUGCCUUAUUUUUUUUUCGUUCAAUAUGCCUCAAACUCUUUAUAGGAUAAGAAAAGCCUACAAUCAUUACAAUACCCGUUAUGCAAAAGAAAAUUUUCUCUUGCUCCUUCAAAGAAGUUGAAAGAUACCAAAAGAUUUAGCUGUGAAUAGUCUAUAUAAUUCAGUCAUUCUACAAUCGCCUCUUCUCAUAUUUUAAUUAUAUAUGAAUGGUAUGUUUUCUUCUCCGUUAUAAGACGUUAUUUUUUUUUGUUUCUUAGAUCCACUAUUUCACUAUAGAUUCAAAGGUUUUUGGGUAUUCCAGUUGAAGCGAGAAGGGUCAAAGCAAGAAGAUCCAAUUGUAGGUUAUGAUUUCAGCUCAAAAUUCAAUUAUUAUAAGUAUCUUAACUAGGCUUUUGAUGGUGCUAUUUAACAGUGAUGAAAGAGAACAACAAUGUUGGAGAAAAUUGCAAAUUGAUAAUUCCAUCCCAGAAUCAAUUCGAACAACAACAACCUCAUCCCCUACAACACAAACCUAUAAUGUUAUGUGUAUUUUCAGAAUUAGCAUUAUUGAAUGAUAAAUAUGAUGUAUUCUCAUAUAUGAAAGUGUCUAAGAAUUGUAAUUACCUUAUUUAUAGUGUGUCCUUGGAUCUAUCUAAAUUUUUGUUUAUCUCAAAUUCUCCAUUUUGAAUGUAUAUAUUGUGCAUUUUAUCUAUAUUAUUGUAUUUAAAAAAAUAUUUUAUAAAAUCAACCACAAGUGAUUGCUUUACAUUAAAAAAUAAAAUUAAAAUAUUAUACAAAAAUCGACCACUUGUGGUAACUUUUCAUUUAAAAAACUAAACAAAUAUUUACAAAAAAUGACCACAAGUGGUCGGUUUUUGAUUAAUAAAUAAGUAAAUAAAAUAUUUUUAAAAAGCGACCACUUUUUAAAAAAAUUAAAUCAAAAAUAUUUUUAAAAAAGCAACCGCUUGUGCUCACUUUUUGAUUAAAAAAAAAGUACAAAGAAAAUUAUUUAUAAAAACCGACCACUUGUGUCGCUUUAUGAUUAAAAAAAUAAAAAAUAAAAUAUUUUGAAAAAGCAACCACUAGUGGUAACAAUAUGCAUACGUUGUGUAUGGGGUAAUUAUAUACUAAUGUAGAUGUUAUGUAUAUACUACAUAUUUAGAACUUGAUAGUCGAUAGUAAGUGUUAUAUAUAUAUAUAUAUAUAUAUAUAUAUAUGUGUGUGUGUGUGUGUGUGUGUUUGCCCGCGUGUGUGCAUCUUGUGUAUUCUGUUGAAUUUUCGUGCGAAAUAUGAGCAAUUAGGGAAUUCACUACUAAAAAAAAUAGUUUUUCCGACCAUAAAAAAUUGACCACAACUUGUGGUGCAAUAAAAGACACCACAUCUUGUGGUCGUAAUAAAAGCGACCACAUGUGGUUGUUUUUUAAAUUUAUUUUACAAAAUAAAUAUAAAAAAGUAAAAGUGUUUAUAUUUUAAAAUUACAAAAUAAUCAUUUCAAGAAUCUUUAUAUUAAUUAUUAUUUCUUUUAAAAAAUAACUUUUUUUAAAAAAGCAACCACUUGUAGUCGCUUUUUGACAUUAAAAAAUGCACCAAAAAAUAAUUUUAAAAAAGUGAACACUAGUGGUCGCUUUUUAUUUUUAAAAUAUAAUUAAAAACUAUUUUUAAAAAGAGAUCACUUGUGGUCUCUUUUAUUUUAAAAAUUAAAUUAAAAAUCUUUUAAAAAGCAACCACAAGUGGUCGCUUUUGGAAUAAAAAAAAAUUAUUUAAGAAACCGACCACUAGUGGUCGCUUUUUUAUUAAAAAAAUGAAAAAAUAAAUUGAGACCACUUGUGGUUGAUUUUCUUUAAAAAUUAAACAAAAAUAUUUAUAUAAAAGAGACCAUUCGUGGCCACUUUUCUAUUUAAAAGAUAGAGAAAGAAAACAUUUUAAAAAAGAGACCACUUAUGGUCGCUUUUUAUUAAAAAAUAAUCGCAAAACAACCACUUGAGAUCACUUUUGAUUAAAAAAUAUAUUUUAAUUAUUAUAUGUAAAAUCAAAUAUAUUAUUUUUUAAAAUUACACUGAUCACACGUAGUUGAUAAGAAAUAUAAUAAUAAUAAAAAUAAAUUAAAAUUCAUACUAAGAAAUAUAUCAGAUAAAAUAAAUAAAUUACGUUAAACAUAAUGUUUAUCAAUUACUGAUGUUUCGAUAUAUAAAAUAAAUAUUUUCCAUUGUAUAUACGUUAAAUUACGUUAAACAUAAUCUUUGUAUAAUGAAUAUGCCUAUAUCAUAUAAUUGUGGUAAUAAUAUUAUGCUAUUGGAGCAAUAAUAGUGUAAUGUACAUAUAUAACCGAUAAUUCAUCAGAAUAUAAUGAAUGUGUUGUAUUAUGAGGUAAUAUACUUUUGGAUGUGAUGUAUAUAGUACGUAUUCAAGAGUUGAUAUAUAUAUAUGAUGUUAUGAUCAAUGAAUGAUGUAGUCAAAAACUGGCAGAAUCUAUCCAAACAUAUUGAAUACGUACCUUGAUUUGAAACGAUCGGAGUAAUAAUAUACUGUAUGUUGAAGUUAUAUUAAUAUAAGUUAAUCAAAUUAAUGAUAAAUCGUCAAAGGAUGUAUAUGAAAUACGUCGCACUAUAUUACGGGGUAAUAUACUAGUGUACGUAUGUGAUGUACAUAGUACGUAUUUAAAACCUGAUAGUCGAUAGUGUGUAUGAGUGUGUAUAUACAUAUAUAUAUAUAUAUAUAUAUGUUAUCCUUGUUCGUCUCCAUUUUUGUGAAAUUAUUCCUCAAGCAAGGCAGUCGAUAAGUCAUCGAAGGGUUUGUGUGAAUAAUGAAAUGGUUAACAUUACUCAUUUUAAACUCUCCCAAGGUGAUAUAAGAUCCUUCUAUAUCGAAAUCUCAAUUGAGAAAAUAAUAGGAAAAUUCCUGGAUCACCCGUGGAGAAGAACCAAAACAGAAUGGUUCCGCCUACUCAAAACUAAGAUGGGAUGCCGUCUACUACUAAAAUUCUGAUUUUUGCAACAGUGGCAUUAUUUUAUGCAAGAAGAAGACUUAGAAAGAACAAAGAAGUUUGGAUCCGAAAAAGUAUGCUUAGGCAGUUCUUUCGUUGAGCACAACAGAAUGAAGAGGAAUUUGUAUCAUUUCAAAUCCCUAUUCUUAUCGAAGAGAAGGAACGAGAAAAACAGAAAUAGUCCUACUCGAACAAGAAGUUCUAUAGUUUACAACUCUUCUUUAUAUAGUAAUUCGACCUAGUGCUCCGCAUCCCCCCAUCAGUUUACUAAAAAGAUCAAAAUAAAAGGAUCGAACUACCUACUCAUUAGUCGGAGGUGAAUCAUAGAACACCAAAAGUUGUGGUAUCUUAUGGACCUAACAUAGGCCACAUACCUUACGACAUAAGAUUGAAAGAUCCAAACCUUCUUCUUCGGAGCGAAAAGGGACGUGGCCAAAAUAUAUAAAGAUCGGCGUAGUCGCUCAUAGGGACAUAUCUAUACGGAUAGAAGAUAGUCUAGGCCGAUUCAUAUAUAUAUAUAUAUAUAUAUAUAUGUGUGUGUGUGUAUGUGUGUGUGUGUGUACACAAACCCACAUAUAUAUAUUAUGUAGUGAAGGUAUAAUAACAUAAGAUAAACUAACCGAUAAUUUAUCUGAGUAUAUGUGAAAUACUUUGUAUUAUUAUGGGAUAGUAAAAUCAUUUAUGUGAUGUAUAUAGUACGUAUUUGGAAGUUGAUAGCCAAUCAAAUAUAUGUAUAUAUAUGUAUAUCUCAUGUAGUGACGUAUGCAGUGAUCAAAAGUUAGAUAGUUUAAUCUAUAUAUCAAAAUAUUUUGAAUAAUACAUUGAUAUUAUACUAUUGAGAAACUAGACUACUUGUGUCAAUGUAGACAAGGUUAUAUUGUUGAAGUGUAAUAACGUAAUCUAAUUAACCGAUAAUUAUUUAUCUAACUAACACGUUGUAUUAUGAGGUAUAUAAUAUCGUAUUUAAAAGCUAAUUAACCAAAAAUUUAUCCUAAUAUAUGAAAUGCAUUUAUAUUAUUUUACGAUUGAGGAAAUAUACUACUCAUGUUAAUGUAAUGAUACAAUAACUAAUUAUCGGAUUUAUAUAUGCAUUGCAUUAAAUUAUUUGGAUGUUACUAUACAUAUUAUACAAUUUAUUAAAAUUUUAAUUUUUAAAUAAAAAUCGAUCACAAGUGGUGGUUUCGAAUGAUAAUUUUUUAAAAAAAUAAAUCGACUGCUUAUUAUGAUUGAUUUUCUAAAAAAUUUGUAAUACCCGAUAAUGACCCGACCCAACCUAAUCUUAAUUGCCCCUUUUUCCUUUGUAAUUAUCCUAGUCUCUCAAUUGAGAAUUCACUUCACUCGCGACUCACCUCACUGAUAACUCACCUCACCGACCACCACACUCACCUCGCCGAUCUGAUAGCAUCGGCGAGGACACAGACAUUAGCUCACUGAUCCGGCAACACCGACGAUGAAAUCGACAUCAGCUCAUCGAUUUGACAACACUGUCAGCGACUUAAGCUGCAGAAUUCUGACUACAAUUCUAUCGUUCCAUCGAUGGAACUUUUCUUCACCAACCUCAGCUCACUGAAAGCUGUUAGGUCAGCGAAUUCACCGAAAAACUACACUGACCUUCAAAUAUUGUACAUAAAUUGACCCUUUCUUUGUUUUUCCUGAUGCAUAAUAAAUUCACCGUAAUUUCGAAUUGAAAUUUACCCCUUAAUUUUUAUGCUAUAAUUGCAUUCAUUUCUAACCCCUUUUUACCCUAAUUUACAUAACUGUAGGUGUCCAUGUGAUACUAAUUGGGCAUAAUUAAGAAAAUUAUAGUCCUAAAGAAGGAAAUAUACUUAACUCAAAUAUACUUAGUUGUGAUUGAUGAAAUGUGACAUUAUUUACAGAGUUUUUUUGAAAUGUUUCCUUUUAAGAGUCUAUUGCCAUCCAUGGCUUGCAUUACUUUAACACCCCGAGUCUGCACCCCGGAUGUCACACGGUGCUUAAGACCCCGAAGAACCAUAAUCUAAUCCAUGACUGGUACCUACUAUUAGCACUGAAUAAUAAUACUGAAAUAAUGUGGAAGUUGGCUGAAAAUGCCAUAAGGUUCAUAAUAUGAAUAAUGACAAAUAUAGAAACUGAUAAUAACAUCUUCCAAACUGAAUACUGUCUGAUUUAGUCUAGUCUAAAAAGCCUCUAACUGAACUAUCUGAAUAAGGAGAUAAUGGGACAAGCCCCCAACUAACUCCAACUGCUAAAAAUACUGAAUCUAUUAUAGUACUUAGAUAAAAGAAUAUCCUCAAUAGAUGAGGACUCACUACUGAAUCUGCUGCUACUGACUGAAUCUGGCUAAGUCCAGUCAGGACCUGAGCGUCCGAACCUUUAAUAUGAGACAUCAUAGCGAGAGAAAUAGGUAUGCGAUCAAUACGUGGGAAUGUAAUGGUAUGCUAGAUGAGGUAAAGCUUAAUACAUGGGUUCAUAUGCAUGAACAGUAACUGACUGAGUGAUAUGAAUAUAACUGAAUGAGAGUACAUAGGUAACUGAAGCUGUUGUAAAAACUGAGUAUGCAAUAUUGUGCAUAUACAUAUAUACUAUAUCUGAGAUUUAUACUAAAACUGAGUACUGAGUUCUGAUAACUGAGUAACUAAUAUCUGAGAUUACUGAUAACUGGUGACUGUUACUAAUGGUCCUAAUUCUGUAGAACUGAACUGAGUUCUAUACUGAAGACUAAAACUGAAACUAUGGGAGGUAAUUAUCUAACCGACAUGCCCCUCUCAAAACUAAUUGGGGUCCAACCUGUAACCCAGUUGGAAGAGUGUCAGUACUGUGCCACGGGUAUAGACACUGGCUAUGUGGAUCCACUGAAAUGUCGUCCCAAAGGACUAAGGGUCACCCUCUACUGGAAGGUUCCCUAAUAAGAAUGGUAUUACCCUCAACUGGCAGGUAAACACCUUAUCAACCUUCAACUGGCAGGUUGAUAUCUCAACCUACGUUGGCUAAGUAGUUCUAGAAUGCAAGGACUGCUAUCUACUAACAAGUAAGCCCCCAUCCUUGGGUUCGCUCGGUGUUGAAUCCUACUCCCAACUGAAUGUCACUGAUUAUUAGAAUGGACUGAACUGGACUGAGUUUCACUGAGUUCUGUAACUAACAGAGUGAUACUGUUUAUGACAUUACUAAAACUAUUCUGUAAAUACUGUAAUUCUAGGUAAAUAGCUAUAUUUUAUAUAUUAAAUACCCCCAGAACUCGAUAGCAUCUACAAUAAAACAUCGCACAAUCUAAAAAGGCACAAUGGAUAAUGACUUAGUCAUAAUUUAUUCAUUGAGACAUUUUGUCAAACACUUGUAAGGCAUGAACUUGUACAUGAAUGGGAACACAUGCUAACAUGUCAUGAUUGCACUAUUCAAUUCACAUAUGCAUUUUAACAAACACUUGGGGAGCAUGAUUAUUUCAUAUAAUAAUAAACAUAUAAAUAUCAUGGCUACAACAAUCAACUUGUAGAUUCAAGGAUUGAACAUGAGAAUCACAUAAUUCAUCACACAUGCUACCUAUAUUUCAUGAAACUUGUAAUUAAUCAUGGAUUAAAACCCAAACAACAUCAUGAACAUGAGUACAAUCAAAUUCAAUCAUGGAAUUCAUAAAAAUCUAAAUAUUGUAUUUUGAAAAAGGAUUCUUGGGAUCCAUGGGUGGUAAGGACCCAUGAAUGAACACCUAACAUACCUGAGAAAUUAACUUCUUGAAGAUUCUUGGUAAUUUUCUUGAGAAUUGAUCUUGAAUUUUAGAUGCUAGGGCUUUAUAUUUGAGAGAGAAUGCUUUUGAUUUGGGGAAAUUGAAUAAUAAUGACUUAAUCAACUUUUGAGGGAUUAAUUCACGUGCUUUAGAUUAAAUAAGGUGAAGAAAAAAGACUUAAAAGUCCCUGGGAAAAUUUAAAACUCAAAAUUGGAAACUGAAAUCCCAAUUUUUCAUGCCGGUGCAACGCAGUGCAAUCAUGUUAGGUCACUGGAUAAGGGACAAUUCCAAUUUUGUCCAACGGCAUGACGCGGUGCUAUCGCAUUGUGCCACUGGAAAAAGACCAUCCCGAACUGUAACUUCACCGCGACGCGGCACCCUCGCGGUGACUCACUGAACGUGAAUUUAGCCAUUGGCAGGACACGGUGCUCUCACGGUGACACACUGAAAAAUGCCAAUUAGGAACUAAGGCUUCACCGCGAUGUGCUGGAAUCACGGAGUUUCACUGAAAACUGACAAUUUUCAUUUGGCCUGUCAGUGCGAUGCGUUGAUGCUUAGUUUGGCACACUAUUUUACUAAAAGUGCCAUAACUUCUCACCCAGCUAUCAGAUUUGGGAGAAUUUUAUAUCGUUGAAAAGCUGACUAAAUUUUCUACAAGUCGGUGAGUCUUAAAAUGGGAAAUUCCACCUAUAUUAAAGGUUAUAAAUCAGAAUUUUUGUGUACUGAAAGCUAAACUGAGCUAAAAAAAAUACGAGGUAUUACAAUUACUGACAUAGUGUUGCUUUUUGCAAGAAUCCGAAUUCAAAAAUGAAUUGCUUUGUUAUUUUUCGGUGACCACUUGUCUCUUUCUUUUUAAUUUAGGCCAAGCAAAGGUAAGUUGAUUUCUCUCUAUUUUUUUAUAAUGAAGUCUUUAAAUGUAGUGUUAAGGUGGGAUUGUUCUCUGUAGAAGGCUUUGAAAGCCAUAGAAAUUUUGUGAUAAUUAUAUGGUGUGGGAGGGACAUGAUUAUAGAUCUUUAAAUGUUACUUAAAAUGUGAACUUUUGUUUUGAAUUUAGUAAAGUGUGGUCACUUGAGAAGUGACUUGAAAAUGUUUAGGUGUAGGUACUUGAAAGGUGAACUUGGGUUUUGAAUUUAGUUAAGUUUGGUAACUUGUGAAGUGAAUUAGUGAGUUAAAAUGUUUAGUUUUAGUUACUUGAAAUGUGAACUUUUAUUUUGACUUUAGUAAAGUGUGGUCACUUUACUAAAUAUAUAUUGAAUUUUAUACAUAUAUAUAUAUAUAUAUAUAUAUAUACAUGUAGUCGGUUUAAAAAAGCUACCACUGUUUUUUUAUCACACCUUGUGAUUGCUUUUGUGGUCGCAAAAACAUAAAAAGUGACCACAUGUGGUCGGUUUUUGUGGUCGGUUUUCCUGUUUUUACUAGUAAUGGAAAUGCUACUUGUGUAGGUAAAGCGUUUGGUAAAAUGUCAAUUAAAAAAAUUAUGCCUACUGCUUUGGGAGGUUUCUCAUUACUAUGUGUAUCAACCGUAAUUUCAACAACAUAAUCUACUACAAAUAAUUUGUGUGUAUAUAGUAAUGAUAGACUAGGAAACAGUAAAUUUUGAGGUGAUUUUGUGCAUUUUCAGCACAUGUUUACAAUAGCAGCUAAAAGUGUUCGGUUGUCAUGAUUAUAUGGUGCGAGAGUGACAUGUGACACAUCUACUUAUUUGCUUUAUUAAAUCCGUUGAAUUGUUUAACUUAUAGUAUAAAUGAAAGUUUAAUAAUUUUAUUUUGAAUUGUGAUGUAUCUAAUGUGAAAUAUGAAUUAGUUACUUGAAAGUGGUUAGGUAUAGUGUUUUGAAAUGUGAAUUAAUUACUUUAAACUGUGAACUUGUAUUUUGAUGUCGUUUAGUAACUUGAAAUAUCAAAAUAUAGACUUAAAAAUGGUUUAGUGUAGUCACUUGAAAUGUGUAUUAGUUACUUGAAAAUGGUUAAGUGUAUUGACUUGAAAUAUGAAUUAGUUACUUGAAAAUGGUUAAGUGAAGUUACUUGAAAUGUGAAUUAAUUACUUGAAAAUGGUCAAGUAUAGUCACUUGAAAUGUGUACUAGUGACCUGAAAAUGAUCAAGUGUAGUCACUUGAAAUAUGGAAAUAGUGACUUGAAAAUGAUCAAGUGUAGUCACUUGAAAUGUGUAUUAAUGACUUGAAAAUGGUUAAGUGUAUUGACUUGAAAUAUGAAUUAGUUAUUUGAAAAUGGUUAAUUGUAGUUACUUGAAAUGCGAAUUAGUUACUCGAGAAAGGUUAAGUGUAGUCACUUGAAAUGUGUACUAGUGACUUGAAAAUGAUUUAGUGUAGUCACUUGAAAUUUUUUAUUAGUAACUCGAAAAUGGUUAAGUGUAUUGACUUAAAAUAUGAAUUAGUUACAUGAAAAUGGUUAAGUGUAGUUACUUGAAAUGUGAAUUAGUUACUUGAAAAUGGUCAAGUGUAGUCACUUGAAAUGUGUACUGGUGACUUGAAAAUGAUCAAACGUAGUCACUUGAAAUAUGAAAAUAGUGACUUGAAAAUGAUCAAGUGUAGUCACUUGAAAUAUGUAUUAGUGACUUAAAAAUGGUUAAAUGUAUUGACUUGAAAUAUGAAUUAGUUACUUGAAAAUGGUUAAGUGUAGUUACUUGAAAUGUGAAUCAGCAAGCUUAUCUUGCACAAUGUUUUAAAAACUAUAUUAUCCUCAAAUUUUUUAUGUAAUGUCCAAUAACUAACAUCUCAAAAUCACUCCUUCUGAUAUAUAAAAACUAAAAGAUAAAAAUAUUUUUUAAUAUUUAAUAAUAGGUUGAUUUGAAUAUAAUGCUUGAAAAAGCUACAUUAUGGGAAUUCAAAUCUAUCGAAUCACUCAUACUAUACUAUGAUCUUCUAAUUUCUUUUGUCUUUUCAUAAUUCUAUAUAUCAUCAAUUUAAAUUAUUUAUUUAUAAUAUUAUUUUCUUAGAAAGGAUGAAUGAUAAAAUAAAAUAGGAAAGACAAAAUAAAAUAUGUCACAAUCACAUCAAGUUAAUUGUUACAUAAUAUGAAACUCUUCAUCAUUACAUUACAUGUCAUCGAGGAAUUCAAUUAUAGGAUACACUCUUCUUGUAUAUGAUGGUAUAUUAUAGGGAAAAAGGUGACAAAAAUAUUUAUAUUUUGGCAAAAUUUACAGUCAUAUAUCUUGAACUUUGUGAGGGUUCUAUGACUUUUCUAGACUAUUUUUUACCGUAUUUAACUGACAUAUAUUUGGCACUUGGGUCACUACGUGUAUUUCAUGCACAUUGAGCGCGUAGGAAAAAAAUGUUUAAUGAGGGGCGAAUAUAUACCAGUUAAAUACGAUAAAAAAUAGUUUAGAUGGGUCAUAAGACCCUCGCAAAGUUCAAGGUGCGUAACUAAAAAUUUUGCCUAAAUACAGGUGUUUUUCACACAUUUAUAAUGAUGAAUUAUAGGCAAUGAUGAUAUGUUAUAUGUUUUUUCAAAGAACUUUUUUUAUUUCUCUCCCUAUCUUUUUUCAAUUAAUUCAAUCUUCAUUUUCCUGUCCCCUAUUUUCCAAUGUAAUUAAAUGGCAGAUUAAAUGACUCAAUUAUUAGUGGACUAAUCUUUCACUCUGCUAUUAGUGUACUCCAAUCUUUCAAUCUUUCACUCUAGUGUUACCAUCUUUCACACAAUCACUAGUGUACGAUCUUUCAUGUAAGGAUAGUCUACUGUGCUAAACAUGGACGCAACCACACAAGUCAAUUGUGCUAACCACUAUUCAAUAUUUUCUCUGGAUGGUUUAUGUUUGGUAACGUAACUAUUUUGUGUUGUAUAUUAUUGACUUUACUACUAUAUAUGAAAGAGAAUGUGAGAUUUUAAUAGUUCUCACAUAAAGUUUUUUUUUGUCAAUUUUAAUAUUUUAUCUCUAAUUUAUGUUUUAGUUACUCCACAAAUUUUUAUCCAUUUUAAUAAAUUUAAGCAAUUAUAUGGACUUAUUAAAUUCUAUAAAAAUGUGAUCAUGGAAAAAUAAUAGUAACAUCAUAAAAAACUAUUUAUACAAUCAAAUUCAAAAUUAAUCUAAAAGUUUGUUGUCUUUCUAUUUUGUGAAAAUAUUUAAUAAUCUUAUUUCAAAUUAUCAUUUUUUCUAAUAAAUUUAUCACGAUCAAGUAAAUAAGUAUUUUGACAUUUCCUUUCUAACUUAGUACAUGCUUAAUUAUUAAAGCAAAAAUUAUAUUUUAUAUAGCUGAAAAUAUUUGGAAAGUUAAUUUUUUUAAAAUACAAUUUAACUCUCCAAAUAUUAAUGACAUAAAAUAAUGAAAAAUGUGAGUAAUUCUUUUUCACAUUUUUCGAUAAUGAUUUUAUAAAAUAACGGGAUGAUCAAUAUUUUAUAUAAUUUGGGAGAAAAUAAUUAAUUUAACAUAAAAUAUUAAAGCUUCAUACACGUUUAAUAAAUAUCAAUCUAAAUUUCUUAACAUGUAUUUUAGAAGAAAGAAACUAUUAAAGUUAAAUGUUUUUUGUAUAGUUCAAUAUGAAGGAACAUCUGCAAAAGUAUUUUGUUAAAUCAAGUCUUUUAAUUAUUUAAAUUAAAUUUUCUCUUCAAUUAUAAGUUAGCUUUAUCAUACAACAAUUUGCAGUAUUAAAUAUUUCUUACAUUUCUUUGAAUGUCAGAAUUUAUUUAGUUUUUGUAAUAAAUGAGUUAAUUAAUUAAUAUUAGCUUAAUUGAGAAAAAAAUAGGUUAAUCAAUAUAAAUUGAAUUGAUAGAAAAAAUCCGAUUUGAAUCAUUAAAAACUUUAAUCUCUAAAACUAUCAUAAAAAGAAAAAUAGUGUUGGUGCAUGCAUGUGUUUGAAACUAAAAAGAAAAUCUAAAAUAAACUCUAAGAAAAAAUUAUUCUUUUAAUUUACAAAAAAAAAAAAUUAUUUGAUUUAUAAAAGAAAAAACUAGUAAAGUUGUUGCCAUGUGACCAGGAGGUCACGGGUUCAAGUCUUGGAAACAGCCUCUGGUAGAAAUGCAAGGUAAGGUUGCGUACGAUACACUCUUGUGGUGGGGCCCUUCCCCGAACACCGCGCAUAGCGGUAGCUUUAGUGCACCGGGCUGCCCUUUUUUAUUUGAUUUAUACUAGAACUAUUAAGAUAUUGUCGAACUACCUUUACAACUAAUAUAAUGUAACAAAAAUAAAAUAAAAAUAAAAAACAAGAUAAAGAAUUACAAAUAUAAAAUUUAACAUUAAUUUUUAAUCAUAUAUAUAUAUAUAUAUAUAUAAAUUUAUCAUAUUGUUAAAAAAGAAAAGUGUACAAGCUAGAAUUAUUUAAAAAAUAAUAAGAUAAAGGAUUAAAAUAAAAUUGAUCUUUCAAAUAAUUCUAAAAAAGGCAAAACAAAUAAAAAAUAAUGUGCCUGAAAUUGACGGUUAAGAAAUUGAGCUUUUCAUUGUUAUUAUAUCGACUAUCAAAACAUAUUUUCUUUGAUCAUAUUAUUUUAUAUACUUUUAAAAUAUUUUAAAUUAUUAAUUUUUGUGAUUUAUAGUAUUUUUAAUUUAGAUUUUAAAGAUUUUAAUUUUAUUUUUUAAAAAUAAAUUUUUCAUAUUUCAAUUCACAUCAAAUACUAAUUGGUUUGAUAGUUAUACUCCAAAUUAUGAUUAAAAAAAUUGAAACGAGAUAGUUAUACUGUAUUUAGAUAUGGAGUUGGAUUGCGUUGUUUCGUGAAAUGUUGCGGCAAUUGCGUAAAGCAUUUUGUUCAUUUGAGUCUUUGAGAGCAAUGCUUCACCUAAGAGUGGACGAAAUGACUAAUCUAUUGUUUGUUAUAGUAUGUUUCGUAACGUAACCACAUUUUGCUUUGCAUUGUCCUGAUGCAUCAAUACAUCUAAGCAAAAUAUGUCAAAACCAUUUAGAGCAGACUUCUCAUUUCUAAUCUUAUCUAAUUUUGUAUGACUGUAUAUUCAAUGGUGGAGCAAAAAGUUUUUCACUCAGGAGAAUCAAAACAUAAAGAUGUAGAUCCUGAAAGAAGCCAAGAAUAUACAUUAAAAGUAUAUAUAUUUUUAUCUUGUUAUGAAAUAUAAAGUAAACAAGAAGAAGAAUAGAGAGAAGAGAGGAGAUUUCUUUAUUUAUCAUAGAGAAUUUUUGAGGGGUGAAUUACAAUGAAAAAAACUCCUUUAUUUACAUGGAAAAAAUAACCUUAGGGUUUCUAACUUUUUUAUAGAUACUAUAUAUGAUAAAGUAGACAUUCAUUAUAUAUGGUAAAGUAGACAUUCACUAUAUAUGGUAAUAUAUUUAUAACACUUCCCCUUGAAUGUCUAAUUGAUAGAUAAUGUGCCUCGUUAAAACCUUACUAAAAAAAAACUCUGUGGAAAAAAAUCUAGUGAAGGAAUAAGAGUAUACAUCUCUAACAAUACGCAUAUAGGCUGCCUCAUUAAAAACUUUACAAGGAAAAUCAGUGGGACAAAACCUCAUAAGGAAAAAAGUGUACAGCGCGUAUUAACUCCCCCUAAUAAGAACAUUCUUGAGUCUUUGCAUUCCGAUCUUGUGCACUAUCUUAUUGAAAGUUGCAAUUGAAGGAGAGUUGGUGAAUAAAUCAGUCACAUUGUACGUAUGUAGAAAAGCUUUGAUGAAGUGUGCUUCGUUCUAUCUCCUUUUAUUAAUCCUCCAUUAAGAUGUGCUAUAAAUGUUGCAUUAUCUUUGUAUAAAACUAUGAGUACAUUGUCACAUUUCAAACCACAUUUUUCUCGAAUGAGAUGUAUCAUGGGCCUCAUUAAAACACAUUCUCGGCUAGCUUCAUGAAUAGCUAUUAUCUUAUCAUGGUUCAAUGAAGUGGUUAGAUAUAUUGCUUUGUAUAUCUCUAAGCUAUGGCAGUGUCCCCACAUGUGAACACAUUGCAUGUUUGAGACUAAGAUUUAUGCGGAUUAAAUAAGUACCCAGCAUCAGCAUAAUCAACAAGAUCGGGACCGCAAGCUUUAGAAUAAAAUAAGUGCAUGUCUUUUAUUUCAUUUCGAUGUCUCCUAAUAGGAGCAAAAAUAUAUCUUGCUAACAAAUUGACUGAAAAAACUAUAUUAGGCCUUGUAGUAUUUACAAGAUACAUUAAUGUUGUGCACCAAAUACACUAAGAUAUCAUACUUCAUAUUUCUCAUUUCAGCAAAUAAUCUAUUACUUUUGAAAACUCUCCAAAAGUUCCUAUAAUUUUCAAGCUAUAAUCUUAUACAAUAUGAGGAUUCUAAAUAAGUUUCCCAGAAACUUUUAUAUGCUUCAAACAUUUUGAAUCUUUUGAAAGUUUCAUAUAAAUUUUGUCAAGUGACAAUAUUCAACAUUUCAUAUGUGAUAUCUUCAAGUGUCUGAACUGCAAAUCAAAUAAGUUUUACACUUACCAAGAUGUAUCCUUUCAUGUUACUUGAUAAAUUUUCUACGCGGCAUGCUUAAAUAAACGUAGAAUUCAGAUCCUCAUAAUCUUUCACAAUAUUGCGCCAAUAUUGUAUUAAAGAUAUCAUCGAUGGUUUCUUAUUUUGUAUCGUUUCGCAAUGUGAUAUAAUAUUUUGAGAUAUCAUCACUUCAAUAUUUUCAAGUACUUGAACCUCUCAUAAGGUUUCAUGAAGUGUUAUGUCAUAAGCUCUUCAAAAGCACAUUGCCUUCUUAUUAUGAUUAUUUGCUCCUUAUCCUUUUCAAGGAUUAUUUCAUUUGGAACCGAUUGGACUGCCAUGCUUCAUACAUGCGUAGACUUUGUCCUUUAGAGACAUAAAAUAAGAGCACUUGCAACUUAAAUAUGAGAUACUUUCGGCAUUUGACUUGAAUUAUCUUUCGAAUGAUGAUCUGAUUAUAAUUCCUAACAUACUUCAUAGCUGCUUAUAAUCUCCUCCUUAUGUUAGAAAAACUAACAUGUAUCCUCCAUCUUCUUUGAGGAAUUCAUCUUUGUGCAUCAUAGUGUAUUCAUUAAUCGUAUACCGCACAUCAAAACUGUUAGAUGGACAACAUGUGUUUUGUGACCUAGAACCAACUUUGAGGAGAAUUAAUCAUAAUUUAUUGAUCUAAUGCAUACAAGUGCUAUUGUAUGCAACAUGUCAUAUUUCAGACCAACACAUGAGGCUUUGUUUUCCUUAGCAAUGGUUUAGCUAUUUAUCGAAGGCAUUCAAUGUCAAACCAUCAUCAUCAAGAUUUUUAUGAUUACACAAUCUGAAAAUUAUGUUCUGAACUCAAUUUUAUUGAGCAAGCAACUUUAUGAAUGUCAAACUGCAGGUUGACAAUAAAUGUACAUGUGAUAAUCUUAUUGAUGCGUCUUUUCAACAUAUCACAUGAUAGGUGAACUGACCCAUAUUCACCUUUUAUAAUUUUCAGAGUUUAAGGGAUCCAAUUCCAACAUUAGUUAAUCCAACCAACUUAUCAUGAGAACAAGCAACAUUAAAAGCAAAGAAAUAAUUUUUUGAAUUCUUCAAUAUGUAUUUAAUACUUAAUAUGCACAUCUCUUGGAUGUCGCAAUAGUUCAUGUCAACUUAUGAACUUUUGUAUUAGUAAACUCCAAGGUUACCAUGACAUGUACUUUUUUUUCUUUAGUAAAUUGCAGAUUUACUAUGAUAUGAAUAGAUUUCAGAUUCACUACUUGGAAAGUAAAUUUCAGAAUAACUCCUCACAAUUAUUCUACCUCUUUCGGAGGUGAAUUGUGAUACCAUCACAAUCAAGUGCAUGCUUAUAUUGAUGAGCUUUACUAAAUAUCAUCACAUUCACUCGGGAAUGGAUCUAUGCUUAUAACUAUUAAAAUUCUCAUCUCAUGAAUGAAAUAUAAUCGUGCCUUAAGCCUUUUAAAGUGAUAUCUUAUAACCUCUUUCAAGAUAUUGCUAUUGCAAGAGCAAAUCGAGGCAUACGUAUGUAGAGAAUUUUUCUCUAACAUAUCUUAUGCGUGUGAAAAUAUCAUCACUUUUGAUGAUCAUUAUCAUAUUGUUCUUUUACUCUUAUAUUCAUAUGUUCAAUCAGUUUGUCUUCUUUCAGACAUAUUAUGUACUGCUACUAGGGGUGGGCGUUCGGUCGGUUCGGUCUGAUUGUUUAAUAUCGGUUCGGUUUAUUGGUUUUCGGAUUGACAAAAAUGGCAUCCAUAACCAAACCGAAAUAAAUUCGGUUUGGUUCAAUUUUUACAAAUUCGGUUCGGUUAUUUCAGAUUUUUAUUUUGGUUUGAAAUAUAAAGUAGUUAGCCUCUCUUUUACAUAGCUGAGCAUUUAAAAUUGAUGGAUUUUUUUAGAAAAAUUAUUUUUUUCAAACCUGUUUUUCAUUCCUAAAUAUAAAUAAUUAUAAAUAACUCAACAUGAAUGAAACGAAAUGAAAUAAUCAUAAGCUUAACAUAAUACAUAACGUCAUUAAUUAUUACAUAUAAUAUAACCUUGCAUAAAUAGUCUACAAAAUAAUACAAAAUUCGUAAAAAUAGUCCAUGAAACAACAUACUUUCUGCAUAAAUAGUCCAUAAAACAGUUCAAAGUCACCAAAAUAGUCCAUAAAAUAUUUGAGUCACUAAAACAAUCCAUAAACAGCUUGCGGCGUAUGCAAUUUGCUGUUAAAUGCUAAUUGUGAAUGUGAAUUAGUAAAUAUUAUAUAUAUAGAUAGAUAGAUAGAUAGAAAGAUAGAUAACAUAAUAUUAUUUAUAUAUAUAUAUAACAUAAUACUAUGUUAUAUAUAUAAUAUAAUAUUAUAUAUAUAUAUAAUAAAAUAUAUAUAUUAUUUAUUUAUUUAUAAAAUUUUAAAUUUUUUGAUUUAAACCGAAUUUUUUUUUUAAAAUCGAAAAUCGAAUCGAAAAAUUGAAAUUCUAAAAUUACAAAUCGAAUUUGAUCCGAAAAAUCGAAACCAAAAUUAAAUUUUGAUUUGGUUUUUCAUUUUUUUUGGUUUAAACCAAACUAUGUCCACCCCUAACUGCUACCAUAUUCACUUCAAUAUGGGACAAAUUUCAUAUCUUUUCACCAAAGAUAUUAUUUUACCUUAGCCAUCAUUAUAUCAUAAAUAUGAUGCAUUGAGAUUCAAACUCAAUAUCUUAUUUAUAUAGAGGCAUCUUAGAUAAUAAAUCGAUGGAACUUAAACCCAACAUAUUGUCAUCCCUGUUGAUAAUAUUGUUCUUGAGGAAUAAAUCUAAAACAUAAAUGGUUCCAAACCAAUUAGGUUUUCUCAAAUUCAACAAUAAUUAUAUCAUUAGUAGCAAAAGACAAAUAACCAUGAAAUUACCUUUAAAUUUAGAAUCUCACCUUGUUUGGUAGAAUCUCAUGUUGAUAACGUGUUAUGAAAUAUAAAGCAAAGAAGAAGAAGAAUGGAAAGAAGAGAGGAGACUUCUUUAUUUCUCAUGGAGAAUUUUUGAGGAGUGAAUUACAAUGAAGAAAACCCCUUUAUUUAUAUGAAAAAACUAACCUUAGGGUUUCUAACUUUUCCAUAAAUAGACAUUCACUAUAUAUGAUAAAGUAGACAUUCAUUAUAUUUGAUAAAGUAGACAUUCACUAUAUAUGGUAAUAUAUUUAUAAUAGAUCUAGAUAUAUAGUGUUAUUUUUCGAUGAAGGGAUGUCGAGAGACACUCCCUUAAGUACAUGUUAUUCCUCCAAUGCGAGUAUCCAUCUUAGUAUCGGCAUCUCUACAACACUAAUCAUAUAUAUAUAUAUAUGUGUGUGUGUAUCUAUGUAUAUAUAUUUAGACCUAGAUAUAUUGUGUAAUUUUUCGAUGAAGGGUUGACACCCUUUAAGUAUGUGUGGCUACACCACUGCGCACAUGUACAUCCAUUUAGCAUCCAUAUCUCUACAACACUCAUCAUAUGGAUAUGUUGCACUUUAGCCGCCCAACCUUCACUACCAUGUAACAUAGUCGAUCUCAUAGUUUAAUAAAACUUACUCCAAUCACAACACCUUUGUAGCACUUCUGCAUUUCAACCAUCCGACUUUAAUUCUAACAUCUUCAUCUAUGAUUUCAUUCUCUUAAAAUAACGAGCCUGGAUAUCAAAUUAUUUACAGUUUGGCACUGCAAUUUCAUUUAGCCUCAUCACCAUAAUGUCUCUCCUCUCAUGCUGAAUUGCUGACUAAUAAACAUGCAUGUAGUGCAUAUUAGGUCUUACUUUUUACUGAUACGAAAAUGCAUACUUUGUACGUACUUCUCAAAUGCUUAAAAUGCUCCUCUUAAAAAAAUGUUUACCACUGUUAUGGAUAACUCCUCUUAUCAUCUACAAUUAUUUUGAUGCUAGUGACUCUUCAUACACCUCGUGUGGUACUCUAGAGGUGUUUAUUGAUCUAAAUAAAUCAUAUAAUAGAGUGUAGGAAUUAAGUGUUUUCUAAAUCUUCUUUGUUUAAAACUAACAUUUUAAUGCAAAUGUUGUUUCGGGUACACAAUGUGUAUUGUUUUCACAAAUACUUCAACAUAAGUUCAAGACUGUAUCAAGAACGCCUAUGAAGUUUUAACACUUUCAACACAAGUUCUACAAGAACUAUCAAAGAAGUAUGUUACUUAAAGAAAUAAGACGAAGUAGAAGUAGAGCCAAGUCCUCCAAUUUCAUGGAGUGUCCUUAAGGAAUUAAUUCCCCUCAAGUACCCGAGGUUGUGGAACUCUUCCUCCAAGGAUAAAAUGACUCACAAUCAGAAUGUAACGGUACCUCAAACCUUCUUAUUCUUUUAACACGCUCAAUAACAGAUGAUCACAAAGAGUUUUUAGAAGUAGAAGAGUGUUUUUCAAUCCUUAAAUUUGAAUGUAUACCUGUGGAAAAAAUGCAAGUAUUUAUAACCAUCAAGUACCCCUUUGGAAAGGAAGUAAUGGUUCAUUGGAAAGGCGUAUCACUUUAGAACAAUCAUCUCUAUCCAUUCCGAAAUAGUGUGUCUUUUCUAAACAGUCACAUCUGACCAAAUAGUUAGCCCUUUUUCGAAACAGUGUGUCAUUUUCUCAAAGUGUUGCGUCCCUUUCGAGUAACGUUUCUGCAGGCAUCUGCAUGGCAUUUAUGGAGAAAAAAUAUUUUUUGUUUUUCUUUGGAUUUUUUGGAUUAAUAAAUUUCAUUUGUUUUUUGAAGUUUUAAAUAAACUUUGUCUAAAAAAUUAAUCUCAUCGAUCGAUAAAUUCGAAGCCAAAAUUGACCGAGCGAUGACAACGACGGCGUGGGGCACCUCUUGGUUCUUGCCUUGCUAUCCACCUGAAGGUGUGUCUCUUAAUAAGAACACGUGAAAGUUGCUUUCUCCCACCAAUGUGGGAGAAGUAUACUUUCCUUAAGUGAGUACACUUUCCCUUUAAGACUUUUCCUCCAUUUUCCAUUCACACCAAUUAUUGCCAACAAUCUUCUCCAUGAAUGGGGAAUAACUACUGUUUAUAAAACUUUAUGAACAAGUAUUUAAUCGAGAAGCAAAGACUGAUUGCAUCUGGAUAAGUGGGUUUUCCCUUGAACUUUCUGUAGCGAACAUGCAUCGAAUACACUCAAUCAAUCGGUAGAUUUGAUAUCCUUGAACCAUUGAGUUUUAAUGUACACCUAGACAAUAUAUGUCACACAACCAGCCUUUUACUGUUUAUGGUUCUCAUGAUUUUAUUCGUUUCAACCAUGAACACGUCCUGGUUAAUGAGAGCUUAGAAAAUAGGUCUUUAUUAACAUUCUCCUUGAAGCGACUACUAUUUCACCCUCACAUAGGUGAUUUCAAAAUGUUCAAUCCUAUAGAUUAAACUAUUUGGUCAAAUAUUCCAAAUUUAGAUAAUCAUUAAAAGACUUCACACCAUAAGUCUUAUCCUUGUUUACUAAAUAUUGUUUACAUCAUGAGAAUGGGUUAGGUAUAUUAACAAUACUGAACCCGUCAGUCACAACUUUAUUUGAUCUUCUUGAACCUAGCUCUUGGGAUCUCCAGUCUGCUAAGUAGAGUUACUGCUAUGCUGACUUGUCCUAGGCUGUAAACUCAUUCCCUUCUAUGUUCCCUCAACUCCCUCUCGAGAUAGGCCUUUUGUAAGUGAAUCCAACAUAGUAUCCUUUGACUUCACAUUGUCACAGCGAUAAUUCCAUUAGAGAGUAGUUCUCUACUGGUAUUAUGUCUCCAUCAUAUAUGACGAGAUCUACCGUUAUACAUCAUGCUCCCUGCCCUGCCUAUCUCACUUGUCUAUAACAGUGUAUGCAUACUGGUGUUAAUGGUUUGGGCCAAUAAGAAAUAUCUUCCAAGAAAUUUCGGAGCCAUUCAGCUUUUUUACAAGAUUUAUCUAAUGCGAUAAAUUAAGGUUACAUUGUGGAGUGAGCAAUAUAUGUUUGUUUUGACAAUUUCCAAAAGACUGCUCCUCCAUCUAUAGUAAAUACAUAUCCACUCGGUAAUUUUUCUUCAUUCGAUUCGGUGAUCUAAUUUACAUCACUAUAUCCUCCAAUUACCUUUGGAUAUUUAUUAUCAUGAAAAACAUAGUCUUGAGUGUAUUUAAGACACCUCAUAACUUUUUUCAUUGUCAUCCAAUGAGUUUUAUUAGGAUUACUCGUGUACCAACUCAACUUACUAAUAAUACAUGCUAUGUUUGGCCGUGUACAAUUCAUGAUAUACAUUAAACAUCCCAACACUCCUGUGUAGUCCAACUGUGUCACUUUGAACUUCAUUCUUUUAAAGUGCAAAGCUCACGUCCAAUAGAGUCUUGGCAAUACCGAAUUCCAAAUACUUGAAUUUGUCAAGUACCUUUUUAAUAUAAUGAGACUAUGAUAAUGCCAACCCUUAUGGGGUUUAACGAAUUCUUAUUCCUAAGAUCAUAUACGCCACUCCAAGGUCUUUCAUAUCAAAUUUGCUCUCAAGCAUUUGUUUCGUAGUAUUUAUGUCAGAAAUAUCUCUACUUAUGAUCAACAUAUCAUCCACAUACAAACAAUCAAUGACCUUGUGAUUUGGAGUGUCUUUAGUGUAAACACAUUUAUCAUAUUCGUUUAUCUUAAACCCAUUUUCCAACAUAAUUUGGUUAAAAUUUGCAUGCCACUAUUCGGGUGUUUGUUUUAGUCCAUAAAGUGACUUAACAAGUUUGCACAUGUUCUUUUCUUUACCAGGAACCACAAAGGUUGUUCCAUGUAAAUUUCUUCCUCCAAUUCUCCAUUUAACAAUAUUGUUUUCACAUCCAUUUGAUGGAUUUUAAGACCAUAUACCGCCGCCAAGGUAAUUAGCAUUUGAAUUGACGUUAUCCUUGUUACAAGCGAGUACGUAUCAAAAUAAUUAAGGCCUUUCUUCUGUUUGAAGUCUUUUACUACAAGUCUUGCCUUGUAUUUGUCAAUAGUACCAUCUUCUUUCAUUUUCCUUUUAAAGAUCCAUUUAGAACCUAAAGGUUUAUUACCUGGAGAAAGAUUAACCAACUUCCAAGUAUGGUUGCUCAAGAUUGAUUCAAUCUCACUAUUGACUGUCUCUUUACAAAAGGAUGAGUCUGAAGACGACUUCGCUUCUUUAAAUUUUUAAGGUUCAUUUUCUUAGAGAAAUAUUACAAAAUACAAUCCAAACGAAGUUGAUGUUAUUUAACAUGUACUACUGUAACGCCCCGAGUCUACACCCCGAACGCUACACAGUGCUAGUGAACCCAAAGGACCACCAGCUAACCCUUGACUAGUACCUGCUGUGAGCACUGAAUAAUAAUAGCACUAUAAUGAUAAUAUAUCUAAAAUAAAUGUGGAAGAUAAGCUAAAAAUCAUCAUAAGGUUCAUAACUGAAAUAAUUACUGAAUACUGAGAUAUCUGUCAGAAAUACUCUAGUCUAAAAUCCUCUAACUGUCUGAAUAUGUAGUUGAUGGGACAAGCUCCCAACUAACUCCAUCUACUGAAUAUGCUAAGCUACUAAAAUACCGAAAGAUAAAAUCAUCCUCAAACUAUGAGGACUCACCACUAAAUCUGUUGCUGAUACUCCAGGCUGCUAAGUACGGUCAGGAGCCCUUGCGUCAGAACCUAUGAUAUAAAACAUCAUAGCACAAAAUAAAAGUAUGUGUCAGCACUUUGAAUGUACUGGUACUCUAAGUGAGGUAGACUGAUAUGCAUGAACAAUAACUUACUGAGUAACAUAAACAUAACUGAAAGAGAGUGCAUACAUGAAUACAUACUGUAAAUGAGGUCAUGUUAACACUGGAUACUGAGUUUUGGAUACUGAUUCACUGAUAUCUAAGUUUAAUAAUACUAUAUUACUAAUAACUAAAUGACUAUUUCUGAUAGUCCUAAUUCUGAAGAACUGAUCUGAGCUCUACACUGACCUGAACGACUGUAUCUGAUAGUCUUGAAUCUGUAGAACUGAACUGAGUUUUGUACUGAUACUGAAACUGAAACCAAAACUAUGGGAGGUAGUCAUCUAAUCGACAUGCCACAAUCUGAGCUAAUCGGGAUCCAACCUAUAACCGCAGUUGUAAGGGUGUUAGUACCGUGCUACGGGUACUAACACUGGUUGUGUGGAUCUACUAUACUGAUGUAUUGUAUUGUCCGACAGGAUUAAGGGUGUCAAGCCUGAACUGAAGGGAGACUUCUUAUAUCCUACAUUGUCUACGUAGUUCUAGAGUACCGGGACUACUACUAACGACUUUGCGUACUAACGACUUCCCUGCACUCGCUCGAUGCUGAAUCCUACUCCCAAUUGAAUAGACGCUGAACUGAUUUCUAGACUGUAGUAGGCUUGACUUAACUAUUAAUGAUCAUGUUGUCUAACUGAACUGAGUUCACUGGGUUCCGUUAACUGACGGAAUACUACUGAGUUCUAUUAACUGACUGGGUUUACUUGAGAUCUGAACUGAUUACUGAACUGAAACUGGACUGAUUACUGAGUACUAAUGAGAUUGUUCUGUAACUACUAUAGCUCUAGGUAAACAGCUAGAUUUAUCGGGUAUAAAAUACCUCCUAGACUCGAUAGCAUGAAAAGUAAAACACUGCAUGACUUUAAUAGCAUAAUAGCACUUGCUUACCGAUAAUGUUGUCAUUUGGACUUUUUUUGUCAACCACUUAAUAUACAUAGCUUGUACAUGAAUGAAAUCACAUAAUGCUUGAACUAGUCAAUUCACAUAAGCAUUUUGACAAACGCUUUAGGGAGCAUGGGCAUUCCACAUAUCAACAAACAUGUAAUACUAUCAUGGAUACUACCUUUAACUUGCAAUUCAAGAGCUCAACAAGAAGUUCACAUAAUUCAAUCCACAACUAAUACAUUUUCAUGAAACUCAAGAUAAAUCAUGGAAUUGAAAACCCAUUUGACAUCAUAAUCAAGAUUACAUCCAAAUCCAUCAUGAAAUCUAUGAAAUCAAUUGUAGUUUAAAAGAGUUUCUUGGACUCCAAGGGUGGACCCUUGGACGAACACUUCACAUACCUUGGUGCUUGAAUUAAUGAAGGUUGAUGGUAAGUUCUUGAAUCUUGAAUUUGAAAUUAGAUCUCCUAGGGUUUUUGCUCGAGUAAUUUGAGAGAGAAUGAGUUUAAUUUUCUUAUUGAGGGCUGAAUUUUGUGUUUUGGGGGCUAAGUAGACAUGGGAAAAUAAACCAAAUACCCUUAAGGAUGCGGAUUUUUAAUGACUGAAAAUUGGUCCAGUGGCGUGCAGCCCGACGUGCCGUAUCGAUGGGGUCGAUGCUAUGGCUGAUGCGCCGCAUCAAGUCCAUGUCGGUUAACUGGGAAUUGGCAUUGGGAGCUAGAAAAAAUAUUUAUUAACGCGAUAGGUGACGCGGCGCGUCAAAAUUGCGUUGGUCCACUGGUUUGGACUUCCAAAUGUGUUGCAAACGAUAAUCAAAAAAUUUAAAACUUGCCUGACAACACCUACUGACAUGCCUGAUCAUGAUUGAACCUAAAAAUCGACACCUUAAGGUCAUAAGGGUCGUGAAAUAAGAUUGGCAACUUAUGAGGCUAAAAUAAUUCUAAGUGUAAAUACUUAGCUGAAAUUUUCUAAGUAUGGGAUCCCUUAUCAAGCUCUAAGGGCUGAGUUAAGCUUAGGAUUUUGCGGGGUCUUAAAACUACGUCUUGGAUUCUCAUCAUUAUGUACAUCCUCGCUUGGUUCAUCUCGAGGUCGUUUAGACCCUCCGCUAGACUGUUCAUGCCUAAUUUUAUAAAGAUAAAUGUAUUCAAAGAACUCAGCAUUAUCUUAUUCAAUUACCGUAUUUUCAUUGAUAUCCGUAUAUUCAGAUUUAUGAACCAAAAAUUGACAUGCUUUACUACUUUUAGCAUAUCCUAUGAACACGCAGUCCACUGUCUUAGGUCCUGUCUUUACCCUUUUGGUCAUAGUAACUUGGACUUUUAUUAGACACACUUACACUUUGAAAUAUUUUAAGUUGGAUUUUUUUCCUUUCCAUUUUUCAUAUGGAAUUCAUUGUGUCGUACUAUGGGGCACUCUAUUGAGCAUUCGAUUAGCUGUAAAGAUAACUUCCGCCCACAAGUUUUGCAGUAAACCUGAACUUAUAAGUAAGACAUCAUCAUUUCUUUUAAAGUUUGAUUUUUUCUUUCUACAAUUAUAUUAGAUUGAAGUGAAUACGGGGCUGUAGUUUGAUGGAAAAUUCCAUUCUCUACAUAUAUUUUUGCAAAUGGAUAUUAUUCUCCACUCCUAUCACUUCUUAUCAUUUUGAUCUUCUUCUCUAAUUAAUUCUCAACUUUUGUUUUAUAUUUCCUAAACGCAUUUAUUGCUUCAUCCUUACUGUUUAGCAAAUAGACAUAACAGUACCUCAUGCAAUCGUCAAUAAAAGUUAUAAAAUACUUUUUUCCGCCACGAGAUAGUGUUGACUUCAUAUCACAAAGUUCAGUGUGGAUUAAGUCUAAGGGAUUGGAAUUCCUUUCAACGGACUUAUACAGAUGUUUAGCAUACUUUGAUUCCACGGAUGUUUGAUAUUUUGAUUUAUUGCACUCAAAGUUUUGCAAAACUUCUGAGUUAAUCAGUUUUCACAAAGUUUUGUAAUUGACAUAUCCCAAUCAUUCAUGCUAUAAUUCAUUAGACUCAAACAAGUAAGAAGAAAUAGCACUUUUAUUGAUUUCAACUAUCAUUACAUUCAUCUUAAAUAGGCCCUCAGUGAGGUAGCCUUUUCCUAUGUACACUUCCCCUUUACUAAGUACAAUCUUGCCUAAAACAAAUACACAUUUGAAUUUAUUUUUGUCAAGAAAUAAUAUGAAAAUCAAGUUCUUUCUUAACUACAGUAUAUAAGGUACAUUGUUAAGAGUCAACACUUUGCUUGACAUCAUUUUCAAACAGACUUUUCUCGUCCCUUCAACUUUUGCAGUUGCGGAGUUUGCCAUAUAGAUCCUUUCUUCGCCUUGAGCCGGAGCAAAUACAGCAAAAAACUCUUUAUUGGAACAAACAUGGUGGGUGGCACCGGAAUCCAUCCACCAUUCUCUUAGAUUUCCCACCAAGUUACAUUUAGAAAGCAUGGCACAUAGAUCGUCCAUUUUAUUCUUACAUUUAGCCAUAUUCGUUUGGUCCUUCUUUUUGCCUUUUUUGGAGGUACGACAAUUUUUUGACUUAUGGUCAAUCUUACCACAAUUAAAGCACUACCCCCUGAAAUUCUUCUGAGGUGGUUGCUUUGUUGUCCAGCCUUCUUCCGCUUCUUUGAGUUGUUGAGGUCGUCUUCUACAAUGUUAGCUCCACUCAUUGCAAAAUUUUCUUUCAACCUCCUCUCUGCGACUUUAUUGUCUUCCUCAAUGCGCAACCUCACAAUGAGGUCUUCGACUGUCAUCUCCUUUCAUUUGUGUUUCAAGUAAUUUUUGAAGUCCUUCCACAAAGGUGACAACUUCUCUAUUAUUGCAGCAACUUGAAAGGUCACGUUCACAACUAAACCUACAAUAAAGUUCAUGUGAACAUUAAGAACAUUUUUAAUAUGUUCAAAUAAGGUAUUCAUUAUAUUCAUACCUUCAUAAAUAAUAUCGUGGAUGAUAACUUUCAAUUUCUAUACUUGAGAUACGACAGUCUUAUUGUUAAUUAUUUUGUACUCAAGAAAUCUUGCAACAAAGAACUUCUUACUUCCAGCAUCCUCAGUCAUAUAUUUUCUUUACAGCGCAUUCCACAACUCUUUUGAUGUUUUCAUUUCACUAUAAACAUUGUAUAAAUCAUCUUGGAGGCCACUUAGAAUAUAAUUCCUACAUAGGAAAUCAGAAUGUUUCCAUGCCUCUAUUACAAUGAACCACUCCUUGUCUGAAAUUUUUUCGGGUGAUUCUAGAGCAUCUUCAGAUAUAAAUCUUUGAAAACACAAGGUUGUAAGAUAGAAGAACAUCUUCUGUUGCCACCAUUUAAAAUCUAUUUCAGAAAAAAAUUUGGGCUUUUCAACUAGUGCCAUAGUAGGUUGUGCAGUUGUACGACUAGUUAUAGCAAUAUUCGUUCGUGCUACACUUGUCCCACCAUCAGUAGUCAUCUUUUCUGUCACAAAAAGACAGUCAACUUUAGUAUAUCAAAAUAAUAAUUACAAGUCCGUAGAAACUUUAAACACUACUUGUUUCUAGUUUAACGAUGAAGUUUUUAUGUCUUCCAAUUGUUAACCGAAUGAUCAUUAACUUGUGAUAAAAAAAUUAUUUCUUUAAAUCACUUGUUAAGUUCAAAUAGAAUAGAAAGCAUAAAGCUUUAAUUUCCCAAAAUCAAACAAUACAAAUUACGGGUUUAAUUCCUUAAGAUUGUUGUUUCGGGUACACAAUCUGUAUGGUUUGCGCAAACACUUCAACACAAGUUCAAGACUGUAUCAAGAACACCUAUGAAGUUUUAACUCCUUCAACAUAAGUUCUACAGGAACUAUCAAAGAAAUAUAUUGCUUAAAGAAAUAAGAUGAAGUAGAAGUAGAGCCAAUUCCUCUGAUUUCAUGGAGUACCCUUAAGGAAUUAAUUCCCCUCAAGUACUAGAGGUUGCGAAAUUUUUUCUCUCAAGAUAAAAUGGAUCACAAUCAGAAUGUUGCAGUACCUCAAACUUUAUGAUUCUUAAAACACAUUCAACAACAGAUGAUCACAAAGAUUUUUUAGAAGUAGAUGAGUGUUUUUCAAUUCUAAAAUUUUCAUGUAUACCUGUGGAAAAAAUGCAGGUUUUAUAGCCAUCAAGUGCCCCUUCAGAAAGGAAGCAUGUAACUCCCCGAGUCUAUACCCCAGACGCUACACGAUGCUCAUAAUUCCGAAGGACCAUAAGCUAACCCUUGACUGGUAUCUGCUGCAAUAACGGAACAAUAAUAAUAAUAAUAAUAAUAAUAAUAAUAAUAAUAAUACUAUAAUAUACGGAAUUUAGGGGGAAACUUUCCAUAAGGUUCAAACCUGUAGAUAAAACUGAAUACGGUAUAACAAUACCAAAACUAAAAUAUCUGUCUAAAAAUACUUCUAGUCUGAAAAGGCUCAAAACUGUCUGAACUAUGGAGUUGAUAGGACAAGCCCCCAACUAACUCCAACUACUGAAAGUGAACUAAUAACUGAAAUACUGAAUGAAAAUAAUCAUGUCAUCGAACUAUGAGGGCUCACCACUAACUCUAACUGCUGAAAGUCCAAACUACUAAGGGUGCUCGGGAGCCACGCGUCUGAACCUAUGAUAUAGGACAUGAUAGUGCAAGAGAAAAGUAUGUGUCAGUACUUUGAAUGUACUAGUAUGCAAAGUGAGGUAGGCUAAAAUGCAUGGGUUUGUAUGUAUAAACAAUACUGACUGAAUGACAUAAGUAUAACUGACUGAGAAUACAUGCAUGAAUACGUAAAUUAUAGCUGAGAUUGUGGUGACACUGAAUACUGAAUCUGAAUACUGACUAACUGAUAUCUAAUUAUACUGACAAUGUAUUACUGAUAACUGGGUAACUUUAUCUGAUAGUCUUGAUUCUGUGAAACUAUACUGAGUUUUGUACUGAGCUGAGUGACUGUGUCUGACAGUCCUGAGUCUGUAGAACUGAACAGAGUUCUAUACUGAGACAAAAUCUGAAACUGGGACUGUGGGAAGUAAUCAUCUAACCGACAUGCCCCUUCUCUAACUGAUUUGGGGUCCAACCUGUAACCUCAAUUGGAAGGGUAUCAAUACCGUGCCACGAAUAAGUAUAAGCUAAGUCACCCUAAUCUGGCAGGUGCUCUGAAAGAGAAUGGUGGGACCCUCAAAUGGCAAGUUAAAUCACCUCAUCAACCCUAAACUGGCAGGUUGAUGUCUCAACAUACGCUGGCUACGUAGUUCUGGAACUCAAGGAUUGCUUCUAAGGAUCAUACCCUCUACUGGAAGGUGAGUCCCCAUCCUUGGAUUCACUCGGUGUUGAAUCCUACUCCCAACUGAAUAGACACUGAACUGAUUCCUAGACUGUACUAAGCUUGACUGAACUGUUACUGAUUGUACUAUUUUAUUGAAUUGAACUGAGUUCACUGAGUUCCGUGGACUGAAGAAAUACUACUGAAUUCUGUUAACUGACUGAGUACCGCUGAAUUCUGAACUGAAUACUGUGACUGACUUAUGAAUACUACUAGAUUUUCCUAAGUUCUGUAACUAACUGAAGCUCUAGGUAAACAGCUAAGUUUUCGGGUAUUGAAUACCCCAAGGACUUGAUAGCAUGAAAGGUAAAUCAUAGCAUCUAUAAUAUAUUAAAAGUGUGAAGACCCUUAGAAAAGCUAUUUGACCUUUUUGCCCUUCAUUAAAACACUCUUCUUUAGAUAAAACUGUCUUUUCACUAUUUUUUAAUUUAUUAUUUCAUUUAUUAUUUAUUAUAUUAAAUAGACUUCCUAAAAUAUAUGGUAGGAGAAUUAAUUAAUAUUUUUCUUUCUACUAGACUUCCUAAAAUAUAUGGGACUCCUAAAAUAUAUGGUAUAUAUAUAGUAGACAAUUCAUAAAUUAAAAAGACAUUAAUUAUAUUUUUGGGAAAAAUCACAUAUCCAAAAUAAAAAAGAAGACAAACUAAUAAUUUUGGAGGAAAUUUCUUUAUCAGCCGUACUCUUUUUUUGUUGUGCUAAAGUGAAUUUUUUAAAAUAUACUUUUGAAAAGGAAAAAGGGUGAAAACACUAUAAGAAAAAAACAACAUGUAAAAUAAGGAACAAUGCUUAAAGUAAACUCUUAUUCAAUUUUUUUUUUUAAUAAAGGCUAUAUGUAUAGUUACCAAUUAAUUAAUUUUGUCUCCGUUUCUUCACGUGAAAUUGAAACUUUUUUCCUAUUAAAAAGUCUCUUAAAUAUAGAAAGAGUGGUUCAAUAAUUAUGGGGACAAAAACCUACCAACAUUAAAUAAAAUCUAUACGUUAAAUUAGAGAACUCAUCCAAUUUAAUUCGAUUGCAUGUCUAGAUUGGUUGAUGCUUGAUUUUCUGACCCUCAACUUCUUCGCUCAGACAAGAAUUAGUUGGAUCAAAAUCAAAGCUUUGUGAUCACUAUUAUAUUUUUUUUUAUAGUUUACAGGUCGUAGAUGAAUGCCGGUUGGCUUUGAAGAAUUUGUUGUGUAAAGGUUAGGUUUAAGUAUAUUCGUUUUGAUAUCUUUAUUAUUAUUGUUUUAGUUUAAUUUACAGAUGCUAGAUAAAUGUUCAUCGGCUUUGAAAUUUUUUUUUAGAUAAAAGUUAGGUUUAAUUGUAUUAUCGUAAUAUCUCUAUUAUUUUGUUAUUUUGUGGUAUUUUAGAGUUCGUAGAUGAAUCUUGAUCGAUUUUGAGAACUUUUUGUGUGUAAAAUUUAAGUUUAAUUGUAUUCUUUUGAUAUCACUUUUAUCGUAUUAUUUUGUUGCGGUUUACAGGUGAUAGAUAAAUGUUGAUCGACUUUGAGUUUUUUUUAUGUAAAGGUUAGAUUUACUUGUAUUAUUUUGAUAUCUCUAUUAUCGUCUUAUUUUGUUAUUAUUUACAGGUGGCAAAUAAGUGUCAGACGAUCAGCUUUGAAAUUUUUUUAGGUAUAAGUUAGGUUUAAUUGUAUUAUCGUAAUAUCUCUAUUAUUUUGUUAUUUUAUGGUAUUUAAGAGUUCUUAGAUGAAUCUCGAUCGGUUUUAAGAAUUUUUUAUUUGUAAAAUUUAAGUUUAAUUGUAUUAUUUUGAUAUCAUUUUUAUCGUAUUAUUUUGUUACAAUUUAUAGGUGAUUGAUAAAUUUUGGUCAGCUUUGAGUUUUUUUUUAUGUGUUUCUUAAUAAGCACACAUGAAAGUUGCUUUCUCCCAACAAUGCGGGAGACGUAUACUUUCCUUAAAUGAGUACACUUUUCCUUCAUUUUCCAUUCACACUAAUUGAACCCAACAACAAAUGCCAAGAGACCUUCAGGGGUCGUUUGGUAGAAAAAUAAAUUAUUCAGGGAUUAGUAAUACAAGGAUAGUAAUGCGGAAAAUAUUAAUACAAGGAUUGUAACGCAGAAAUUAUUUUUUAUCAAGUGUUUGGUUCAUUGCAUUAAAAUCUAGAUAUACCAUGUAUUGUGUUUGAUUUAUAAUUCUACAAGUAUGGUCAUUACAAUUAUGCCCUUGAUCUUUUUAUGGAUUCCUAUUUCAUUUAGCUAGACUUCUUAAAAGGGAAAAAGUUAUCGUUUCCACCUCAAACUAUACAUUAAAAGUCACUUACACACCUAAUCUAAUAUGGUGACCCAUUACACACUUAUUCUUAAUAAAUAUGAAUUUAAUUUCACCCAAAAUCUGACGUAAAAAUAAAAUAAAAUUAAAAAGAACAAGAUGCCCGUCCAAAACCAAAAAAUAUUCUUUAAAAUUCCCCACCCCCACUCAGAUUCUCUCUCCUUCAACUCCAUUUUUAAUUUUUUUUUGUUUCUCUCUCAAUCUUGUUUCUUCUUCUUCUUUUUUUCAAUUCAUAACCACUCCUCCCUUUUUGUGGUUGAUGAAAAUUAUUUUUCCAUGACAGCUUCUGGAGUGAAAAAGAAAAAAGAUUAAGUAGUUGAAUCGACAUUGGUCAGAAAUUUUUUCGAUGAGACUUGUGAAAUUGAUCAAAUCUUAUUUCUCCCAUCAUCAAACUCAUCAAGUUAAGCAUCAAUUUUUUUUAUUUUAUUUUUAUAUUUAUGUUCUUUCCCUGUAAAAGUUUGUGGGUUUUUCUCAAAAUUCAAUCUAAUACAUUUUGUGUAGAUAUAUCUUCUCUCUAUAAAAAUUCUCUUUCGACUUGCUCAAAAUCAAUAACAGUAUAUUGAUGUAGAAUUUAGUUGUGGUGCAGGUGCGAAUUUGUGGUGAUUUUUGUAACUUUGGAUGUUAACAGUGGUGAUAUUGUGAUUCCGAUGGCAAUUUUAGUAGUGGAUGUUGAAUUUUAUGGUGGUUGUUUAUGAUUUUUGUGAUACUAAUGGUUGUAUUGUGAUUUCAAUAAUGAAAUCCAUGGUGGAUUCUUAAAAUUAUUGUGGUGAAGAUUUGAGUUUGAUGAUGAUGAUGUCAAUGGUGGUGUUUUAAUGGUGAUUUUGAUGAAGAAGAAGCAAUGGUGGACAUGGACUUUUAAAAAAAAUUGACAUAAUAUCUGAUGUGGAUAACAUGGCGAUGAUGUGGCGUGAGUGUAAAUCACUCUCCAUCAUGUGAGUGGUUCUUUACUUUUCAGGAUGGAAAUAAAUUUACUUUUGCAUAGUAUAGGUGCGUAUUAGGUCGCGAUAUUAGUUUAAGUGUAAAAGUGACUUUUCGUGUAGAGCUUGAGGUGAAACGAUGAUUUUUUCCUUCUUAUAAAAAAUAAAAGGCCAACCCCAUCGAUAGCCCCUCGAACUUGUCCCUAAAAUUCACUUAGACCCUAAACUAAGGCUUGUACCUAUUAAAUCCCUAAACCCCCCAAUUUGGUUACAAUUGGGUAUUUUUUUCCCUAUCAGCAAAAAGGUCAAAAUAUGUGUUGCACACAUGCGAUGACAUGGCAAAAUGAGCUAACUGGAAGCUGACACGUGGCAUUGUAGGUCCAAUAAUUAAUAAAAAUUAAUAAUAAUUUUUUAUAAAAAAGUAUAAAAAAAUGGCAUGGAGGAAAUUAUUAAAAAAUAAUUCUAAAAUUAUAUCAAAAAAUAAAAAUAAAAAUUGAUUAUUUUUAACAAAUUAUAAAAAAAUAUAAAAAUGAAACAAAUUAUUAAAAAAAUAUUUUUUAAAAAAACAUUAAAAAAAUUAUAAAAUUUCUUAAAAAAUGAAGAUAAAAAAUGGCAUUGACGAUAUAAAUUAUGAAAAAAAAUUAUAAAAUUAUUUAAAAAUAAAAAUAGAGAACUGAUUAUUUAAAAAAAAUUAUACAAUUUUUUAAAAAAUAAAAUAAAAUAUUAAAAAAUUAUUUAAAAAUAAAAAAUUAAUUAUUAAAAAAAUUAUAAAACUUUUUAAAAUGAAAAUGAAAAAUGGUUGAGGAUCCAAAUUAUGAACAAAUAAUUAUAAAAUUAUUAGAAAAAUAAAAAUAUGAUUAUUUAAAAAAAUUAUAAAAAAAUUUUAAAAAUGAAAUAAAUUAUUAACAAAUUAUUUGAUAAAUUAAUUAUUAAAAAUAAAUAUAAAAAUAUUUAAAAUGAAAAUAAAAAAUGGCAUUGAAGAUCCAAAUUAAGAAAAAAUAAUUAUAAAAUUAUUAAAAAAAUAAAAUAAGAAACUAAUUAUUAAAAUAGAAAUUAUAAAAGUUUAAAAAAUUAAAUAAAUUAUUAAAAAAAAUUAAAAAUAAAAAAUUAAUUAUUAAAAAAAUUAUAAUUUUUUUAAAAAUGAAAAUAAUAAAUGGCAUUGAGGAUCCAAAUUGUGAAAAAAUAAUUAUAAACUAUUUGAAAAAUAAAAAAACUGAUUAUUUUGAAGAAAAUUAUAAAAAAUUUUAAAAAAUGAAAUAAAUCAUUAAAAAAAUAAAUAUUAAUAAAAUUAUAAAAUUUUUCAAAAAUGAAAAUAAAAAAUGGCAUUGAGGAUGUAAUUAAGGAAAAAAUAAUUAUAUAAUUAUUUAAAAAAUAUAAAUAAAAAACUGAUUAUUUAAAAAAUUAUAAAAAAUUUUAAAAAAUGAAAUAAAUUAUUAAAAUAAUUUAUAAAUAAAAAUUUAAUUAUUAAAAAAAUUAUAAAACAUUUUAAAAUAAAAAUAAAAAAUGGCGUAGAAAAUCCAAAUUAUGAAAAAAUUAUUUAAAAAUUAAAAAUAAAAAACUAAUUAUUAAAAAGCAAUUAUAAAAUUUUUUAAAAGAUGAAAAUAAAAAACAAUUAUUUUUUUAAAUUCAGUUUUAUUAUAAAAAAAAAAAAAAAAUUGGGGCCCUCUAAUGCUUUUGGGGGCCUUUAGUGUUUAAAAAAAAAUUGCUAUUAAUAAAAUUUUGGGGCCCUCAAUGCCACUUGGCAACUUUUUAUUCUUAAAUUGGUAAGAUAUGAAUGCUUCAGAAAUUGCAUAAAACAAAUGAUUUACUUGGUCAAUAUAGCCAGGGACUCCCUUGCUUCAAGAAUGUUUUCUCGUUUAAGCAAUAUUGCACUUACAUAGGUGUUAGACUAUUCACUGUAUUCAGUGACUAAGUUUAAGAAAAUAUAUGACUUAUAACAAAUUAUAGCUAGGAUAUGUGGCUUACCAGAUGCCCAAAUUCAAGUGCAAAAAAAAGAAGAACUUCAACUCCACGUCAAUCAUCAAGAAUGCUAGUAUUAGCCAAUUCUACAGAGAAAUUAUAUUAAUCAGUCACAAAACAAUUAACGAUUGUUUACAAUAAUAAUACAAAACUAAUACAAUUAGAAUAUUUUACAUUGUUCAAGCUUUUCGAGGACAUCUAUAUCUUCCUCAAUCUUAGUGAGUACAGCCAUCAAUCUUAGUCUCUCAGUAGAUUAGGGGGUUCGGAGGUCUGAUUCUCAAGAUCUGCAGCUGAGGAAAUUGACAUCUACCAGUUGUCAGGGGGUCCGAGCACUAAAUAAUCUCUCCCCCUUCGUCAACUACCAAUGGAGGAUCAAGUUAAAUGCAAGAUUAGGAGGUGGAUUCAACAAAUUCAAAGAGGGUUUCUUACCAGGUGGAUGUAUCUUUUCUCAAUAGACUGAAUCUAUAUUUUGUAGCAUCAAAACGAUAGAUUUCCCCUACAUACUGGAGAUUUCAGCUGGAAUAAAGAAAUGGCUAACAGGUACACAGAGACAGGAAGGAGAAAGGAAAAACAAUAAGGAAGCUUACUCUUGCAAGCUAGAAGACGGGGUUAUCAACAACACCAGUAGGAUAGUAUUGAUGAUCCGAAGAAGCAGCAGCUCAAGUUGUUCAUUGACAAAGAAAGCCAUGGAGAUGCGGCGGAAAGGGAAGAAGAUGAAAGGGAUUUUCUUAGUUUCUCAUUUUAGAAACCCUACUAGAUAUUUAGUUGAUAUAUUUGGAUAUGAUGGGUCAAGUUGGGUCGGGUCAGUUGACCCUUGGUUAAUAAAAUUACGUAUUAAACCAAUAUAUAUAUAUUAAUAUAUAUAGUGAUAAUAUAAAUAUUUAUAUAAAAAAAUAUAAAUAGGGGUAAAAUUGUAAUUUUUCUGUAUUCUUAUUGGAUUCUCGGUUAAACCGAUAACCCAAUAGGCCUAAAUCGAUACCAAACCGAUAACCCAAUAAAAAAUUUUCUAAAACCAAUAACCCAAUAACAGUAACCCAAUAACAUUUUUAUCAGUUCGGUUUAUCGAUCGGUUCGGUUUUUGCACAGCCCUAAGUUUGAGUGCCUAUCGAUGGGUUUGGCCAAAAUUAAAAUAUGAAUAGUUCAUAUGCCUGAAGUACAUAGAUCCUUCUUCAAAUGAUCUACGAACCUCUGCCAUAUCUUGAAAUGCAUACUAACGUGAGACAUCAUUGUUAAAACAAUUGUUGGAACCUCAUAUACCUUUUUCUUUUAAUCUGUCGGUGUCCAUCUUCGAGGUCAUUUGUGUGUAUAUGUUGUUUUUAUCAAAUGUGUUUUUAUUACAUGGCUUAAGUCAUCGACAAACACUUAAAGUUGUCCCAAAAAUUCACUUAAAUCCCUCAACUAAGGCCUAUCAGGCCUCUAACCACCCGAAUUUUGAUCCAAUCAAGCCUUUUUUGAACAAUCAGCAAAAAGUGUAGAGUGUGUAUAACACACUCGCCUGAUGUAGCAAAAAUGAAGAAUAAAAAAAACUAAAAAUUACACAAAUACACAACUUAUGUUUUCAAUAUUACAAAAAAUCCCAAGUCCCUAAACAUAUUACAAAAAUCUCAACAUAUACACAGAAUAUUAUGUUUAUGUCGGCUAUGUUAUGUAUAUUAAUAGGGAGAGAGAGUAAAGUAAUAAAGUAAUUAAAAAAUGAGAGAGAGUGUAAUUACUUCCAAAAAGGUUGGUAUUUAUGUUAUUUGCUCAUAAAAAACCACGUGGCAAACGAAUUUUUUAAAACAAACUAUAAGUUAGAAAUCCAAUUAAAUAAUGACACAUGUAAUGUGGGUCCAAAAAUUAUUGUAAAUAUAUUACUCCACAAUAAAUUAUUUUAAAAUUAAGAAAAAGAAAAAAAAACUAACCUACCCCUCCCCACCCCUACGCCCCAGUAAAGAACCGGUUCCCCUCACCCCCCCCACACACACACUGUUACAACCAUAGGAGAACCACACCCCAAAAGCUAGCUAUUAAGGUGGGGGAGCCCAAGGUUAUAAAUAACCCACACCAAUACUUUGUAGUAGGAGAACCACACCCCAAAAACUAGUUAUUAAAGUGGGAGAGCCCAAAGCUAUAAAUAACCGACACCAACACUUUGUAGUACCAAUGGGGGACUUUACAAUGGAUCAUAACAAAUCACCACGCUCGGCAUCCGUCGUCCUUGACGUCUCCACUCUGGGGACGGCUCCACUCUGGGUAGCUUUCACUCUACUUGUGUAGGUAGCUCUUUCCCAGGUAGCCCUUUUCGAGUCAGGAAAACCACACCCCAAAAACUAGCUAUUAAGGUGGAAGAGCCCAAGGUUAUAAAUAACUCACACCAAUACUUUAUAGUACCAAUGUGGGACUUCACAAUGGAUCAUAACAUACCCUCGCCCUUAUCAUAUUCUUGUCCAAUUCUGUUAAAAUAAAUUCAAAAUUUUUUUAGCAAUCUUAUUCUUUAGCAAUCCAAUUCAUAUUUGUUGCUAUUUUUUUGUUCUUCUUGUGUUGUGGGUUUCUUAGAAUUUGAAUUCUUUAACAAUAUCAAUAAAGUAAUCUCAAAGUCAUAUCAAGUUAGCCGGAAAAAUGGAGUUUCGCCGCAAAAAAUGGAGUUUCCCAAUUCAAGAAUAAAAUUUGCUCCCAUUGCUUUUUUUUUUCUUUUUCUGGUACAUAAAUUCGUGAUUACAUAUAUGGCUAAGAGAUUGUUUGAUCUAUAAUCGGUCUUUUAUUGACGAAUAAAGAAUAUAUUGCAUAUAUGUUCAGCAAUGCCUGAUUAACGAAAAGAAUUGAUGAAUUUAAAAAACUUACAAGAUUGUUAAGAAUCGCUAAGGAGGUUUAUUGAUAAGAUUCUUUUUCUUUUUGAGGUAGCUUCAACAUUCUUGUAAAUUGGCUAAUAGUUGCGGGACUUUAAAAAGGAAAAAAAAUACAUAGAUGAAGGAUGAUGAAAAUGAUGGGUUGCUACGUUCCCUUUUAUUUUUUAAUUAAAAUUUGAUAUUAUUAGAAAUUAUUAAUGAAAUAGAUUGAAGUGUGAUUUUCUAUAGCAGAUCUAUCUAUCUAUCUAUCUAUCUAUCCAUCUAUCUAUGUGUAUAUAUAUAUCAUUUGGUACUCUAUUUACGCUCCUAAGGAGAGUAAAUAAUACUUUUCUUGCCACAUCAGUACUUUGUGCUUGAUAGGUAUGAAAUUGAAUGGGUCUGGGGCCUGAUAGGUACAACCUUAAUUGAGAGGCCUAAGUAAAUUUUUAAAACAACUUAAAGUGUCUGUCGAUUCUUAUUACGUUUAACUAAUUCUUCAAAGAAAUGAACAUACUGCAAGAUCUUGGAUACCUAGCACCCAAGAUAUUGCAUUGGAAUAAGACUUGAUGCGAGAAGGAUGGAGUAUUUCUGAAGUCAAGUUUUGACGAAGAAGAAGCCAUAAAAGGUCGUAAGGGGCAGAGCUAAUGUUUUGCUUGUUGCUGUUGACAAUUUCACUGGUGGACUGAAAGUUUGAAAUAGUUUCUUGGACUCCAAGGGUGGAAGGGACCCUUGGAUAAACACUUCACAUACCUUGAUUACUACUUUCGAGAAGAUUGAGGUGAGUUCUUCAGACUUGAAUUUUUGAACUUGAUGAGGCUAGGGCUUGCUCUUGAGAGGGUUUUAUGAGUAAGGAAUGAGAUUUUGCGCUAUAGGCUAAUUAAUUUCGUGUUAACGCUGAAUAAGGGUGGGGAAAAUGACCUAUUUUCCCCCACAACCCUUAUUAAAAUAAUAAUGAAUAGGGUUGUCCUCACUUCGUGACCCCUGCUUGGGUCAAGUAUCCAUAGCGACGCAACCCCUGCUCGGUUCAAGCAGCCAUCGAAGCGCAACCCUUACUAAGGUUGACUGGCCCGCGCGACGCGGGGCUAUAGUGACCCUCCACUGUUUUGUGCAUCUAAACUCGCACUUACGCUAGUCUAAAAAAUCCAAAACUCGCCUGAGAUGGCCUACAAGUGACCCUAAUCAUGAAUCAAUUUUAAAAUCGAUAAAGUAAGGACGAAAAGGUCGGAAAUAAAAUCCUCCAAAUUUGGAAGGCUAAAAUGAUUCUAAGUCUUGAUACUUAGCUAAAAUUUUCUAAGUCUGGGACUCGUUAACGAGCUUAAAGGACUAAGUUAAGCUAAGAAUUUUGCGGGGUCUUACAAAGCAAUGGUUCAUCGGAAAGGUGUAUCACUUCGGAUCUGAGUUUCUGGAUGCAUCUGCAUGGCGUUUAUAGAGAAAAUAUAUUUUUUGUUUUUCUUUGGAUUUUUCGGAUUAAUAAAUUCCAUUUGUUUUUUCAAAUUUCAAAUAAACUUUUUCAAAAGAAUUAAUCUCAAUGAUUAAUUUCCAAAUCCAAAUCCCGAACCCAAACCUGGGCGACGAUGGCGUGAAAUAUCUCCUGGUUCUUGCCUCACUAUCCACUUAAAGGUGUGUUUCUUAAUAAGCACACAUGAAAGUUGCUUUCUCCCACCAAUGCGAGAGACGUAUACUUUCCUUAAAUGAGUACACUUUUCCUUCAUUUUCCAUUCAUACUAAUUAAACCAAACAACAAAUGCCAAGAGACCUUCAGGGGUCGUUUGGUAGGAAAAUAAAUUAUGCAGGGAUUAGUAAUAUAAGUAUUAGUAAUGCAGGAAAUAUUAAUACAAGGAAUGUAACGCAGAAAUUAUUUUUUUAUCAAGUAUUUGGUUCAUUGUAUUAAAAUCUAGAUACACCGUGUAUUAUGUUUGAUUUAUAAUUCUACAAGUAUGGUCAUUACAAAUAUGCCCUUGAUCUUUUUGUGAAUUCCUAUUUCAUUUAGCUAGACUUCUUAAAAAGGAAAAAGUCAUCGUUUCCACCUCAAAGUAUACAUUAAAAGUCACUUACACACCUAAACUAAUAUGGUGACCCAUUAGACACUUAUUCUUAAUAAAUAUGAAUUUAAUUUCACCCUAAAUCUGACAUGAAAAUAAAAUUAAUUUAAAAAGAAAAAGAGGAGCAUCUAAAGCCAAAAAUAUUCUUUAAAAUUCUCCACCCCCACUCAGAUUCUCUCUCCUUCAACUUUAUUUUUAAUUUUUUUCUGUUUCUCUCUCAAUCUUGUUUCUUCUUAUUUUUUUUUUCAAUUCACAACCACUCCUCCCUUUUUGUGGUUGAUGGAAAUUAUUUUUCCAUGAUAGUUUUUGGAGUGAAAAAAUAAAAAAUAUUAAGAAAUUGAAUCGACGUUGGUCAGAAAUUUUUUCGAUGAAACUUGUGAAAUUGAUCAAAUCUUAUUUCUCCCAUCAUCAAACUCAUCAAGUUAAGCAUCAAUUUUUUUUAUUUUAUUUUUAUAUUUAUGUUCUUUCUCUGUAAAAGUUUGUGGGUUUUGCUCAAAAUUCAAUCUAUACAUUUUUUGUAGAUAUAUCUUCUCUCUAUAAAAAUUCUCUUUCGAUUUGCUCAAAAUCAAUAACAGUAUAUUGAUGUAGAAUUUAGUUGUGGUGCAGGUGCGAAUUUGUGGUGAUUUUUGUAACUUUGGAUGUUAACAGUGGUGAUAUUGUGAUUCUGAUGGCAAUUUUAGUAGUGGAUGUUGAAUUUUAUGGUGGUUGUUUGUGAUUUUGUGAUACUAAUGGUUGUAUUGUGAUUUUGAUAAUGAAAUUCAUGGUGGAUUCUUAAAAUUAUUGUGGUGAAAAUUUGAGUUUGAUGAUGAUGAUGUCAAUGGUGGUGUUUUAAUGGUGAUUUUGAUGAAGAAGAAGCAAUGGUGACAUGGACUUUUAAAAAAAAUUGACAUAAUAGCUGAUGUGGUAAUGACAUGGCGAUGAUGUGGCACGAGUGUAAAUCACUCUCCAUCAUGUGAGUGGUUCUUUACGUUUCGGGAUGAAAAUAAAUUUACUUUUACAUAGUAUGGGUGCGUAUUAGGUCGCGAUAUUAGUUUAAGUUUAUAAGUGAAUUUUGGUGUAUAGUUUGAGGUGAAAACGAUGAUUUUUUCCUUCUUAUAAAAAAUUAAAAUAUGAAUAGUUCAGAUGCCUGAAGUGCAUAGAUCCUUCUUCAAAUGAUCUACGAACCUCUACCACAUCUUGAAAUGCAUAGUAACGUGAGACAUCAUUGUUAAAACAAUUGUUGGAACCUCAUAUACCCUUUUCUUUUAAUCUGUCGUUGUCCAUCUUCGAGGUCAUUUGUGUGUAUAUGUUGUUUUUAUCAAAUGUGUUUUUAUUACAUGGCUUAAGUCAUAGAUAAACACUUAAAGUUGUCCCAAAAAUUCACUUAAAUCCCUCAACUAAGGCCUAUCAGGCCUCUAACCACCCGAAUUUUGAUCCAAUCAAGCAUUUUUUGAAUAAUCAGCAAAAAGUGUAGAGAUACACACUCGCCUGAUAUAGCAAAAAUGACCAAUAAAAAAAACUAAAAAUUACACAAAUACACAACUUAUGUUUUCAAUAGUACAAAAAAUCCCAACUCCCUAAACAUAUUACAAAAAUCCCAACAUAUUCACAGAAUGUUAUGUAUAUGUCGGCUAUGUCAUGUAUAUUAAUAGAGAAAGAGAAUAAAGUAAUUAAAAAAAUAGGAUAGAGUGUAAUUACUUCCAAAAGGGUUGGUAUUUGUGUUAUUUGUUCAUAAAAAAAACACGUGGCAUACGAAUUUUUUUAAAAAAAACUAUAAGUUAGAAUCCAAUUAAAUAAUCACACAUGACAUGUGGGUCCAAAAAUUAUUGUCCCCCACACACAUUGUUACAACCUUAGGAGAACCACACCCCAAAAGCUAGUUAUUAAGGUGAGAGAGCCCAAGGUUAUAAAUAACCCACACUAAUACUUUGUAGUAGGAGAACCAUACCGCAAAAACUAAAUGUUAAUGUGGGAGGACCCAAGAUUAUAAAUAACUCACACCAAUACUUUGUAUUACCAAUGUGGGACUUUACAAUGGAUCAUAACAAACCACCACGCUCCGCAUCUGUCGUCCUUGACGACUCCACUCUGGGUAGCUUUCACUCUACUAAUGUAGGUAGCUCUUUCCCACUAGCUAUUAAGAUGAGAGAGCCCAAGGUUAUAAAUAACCCACACCAAUGUUUUGUAGUAUCAAUGCGGGACUUUACAAUGGAUCAUAACACACCCUCCCCUUAUCAUCUUCUUGUCCAAUUCUGUUAAAAUAAAUUCAAAAAAUUUUUAGCAAUCUUAUUCUUUAGCAAUCCAAUUCAUAUUUAUUGCUAUUUUUUCUUCUUCUUGUGUUGUGGAUUUUUUAGAGUUUGAAUUCUUUAACAAUAUCAAUAAAGUAAUCUCUAAGUCAUAUCAAGUUAGCCGGAAAAUGGAGUUUCGCCGCAAAAAAUGAAGUUUCCCAAUUCAAGAAUCAAAUUUGCCCCCAUGGCUUUUUUUUUCCUUUUUCUGGUACAUAAAUUCGUGAUUACAUAUAUGGCUAAGAGAUUGUUUGAUCUAUAAUCGGUCUUUUAUUGACGAAUAAAGAAUAUAUUGCAUAUAUGUUCAGCAAUGCCCGAUUAAAGAAAUGAAUUGAUGAAUUUAAAAAACUUACAAGAUUGUUAAGAAUAGGAGGUUUAUUGAUAAGAUUCUUUUUCUUUUUGAGGUAGCUUCAACAUUCUUGUAAAUUGGCUAAUAGUUGCAGGACUUUAAAAAGGAAAAAAAAUACAUAGAUGAAGGAUGAUGAAAAAGAUGGGUGGCUACUUUCCCUUUUAUUUUUUAAUUAAAAUUUGAUAUUAUUAAUGAAAUAGAUUGAAGUGUGAUUUUCUACAGCAAAUAUUUAUAUAUAUAUCAUUUGGUACUCUAUUUAUACUCCUAAGGAGAGUAAAUAAUACUUUUCUUGCCACAUCAGUACUUUGUGCUUGAUAGAUAUGAAAUUGAAUGGGUUAGAGGUCUGAUAGGUACAGCCUUAGUUGAGAGGCUAAGUAAAUUUUUAAAACAACUUAAAGUGUCUGUCGAUAACUUAAGUCUUAUUACGUUUAACUAAUUCUUCAAAGAAAUGAACAUACUGCAAGAUCUUGGCUACCUAGCACCCAAGAUAUUGCAUUGGAAUCAGACUUGAUGCGAGAAGGAUGGAGUAUUUCUGAAGUCAAGUUUUGACGAAGAAGAAGCCAUAAAAGGUCGUAAGGGGCAGAGCUAAUGUUUCGCUAGUUACUGUUGACAAUUUCACUGGUGGACUGGUCGGAGAAAACAGACCCUUCCUGGACUAAAGCUUGGUAGGCUAAAGAGUGGCUAGCAAGGAAUAUGGCGGGACGAGACCCAAUAUUGAGAGCACGGAGCAGGGUUCCAACUAGACGAAGGUCCUUCCAUUGCUGUCUUUCAUUUCCGCUACUUCUAUCAACACAAAAUAUAAGCUUUCAUUUUUCAUGUGUGUGCGUGUAGGGGUGGGCAUGGUAUGGUAUGAUACGGUAUUUAAAAUUUCGGUAUUCGAUUUUUAAAAAUAUUAUACUAUUACCAUACCAUAUUAAUUCAGUAUGGUUCAGUAUUUUGAUAUUUGAUUUCGGUAUUUUGCGGUAUGGUAGGUACCAUAGUUUGUACAACUUCGAUAAUAUAUACUCAUAUACUAGAGUAUUAUUACUUAAACUUUUCAAAAGCACGUCUAAAUUGAUUCAUAAAUACACAUUACAAAUGUAGAAAUAUUGAAAAAAAAAGUACAAACAAUUUCUCUUGUUAGUCAACUACACAAAAAAGAUAUUUCAAUCAAGAUAAAGUAGCAAAAGUUUCAAUGUCUAAAUAUUUUUAUAUUAAUACUAAGUAUUAUAUUUGUGUGUGUAUAUAUAUAUAUAACAAUUAUGUAACUAUAUAUACUUCGGUAUGGUAUUCGAUAUUUCGGUAUGUCAUUUGUAAAUACCGAAUAUCAUAUCAUAUACCAAAUAUCAUAAUAAUAAAAUCACGGUAUCAAAAAUUUUAAUUCGGUAUAUAGCAUACCAUACUCACCAGUCACCCCUAUGUGUGUGUAUAUAGAGCAGCAAAGGAGAACUAUUUUUGAUUCGGUAUAGUAAUUCGGUAUAUAGCAUACCAUGCUCACCAGUCACCCCUAUGUGUGUGUAUAUAGAGCAGCAAAGGAGAACUAUCUAUAGAUUCUGCGGCCGAUAAUAUGCAUGGCAUCGUGUAAUUUCACUUUUUUUUUCAUAUCUGUUAAUUAAUCCAUUAUAUUUUCUCCCUAUUAAUUUCAGUACAAAGCUUCAUGGCAAAAGUUUAAUCUGAAUUGCCAGAGCUCAGUCUACUAUGAUAUAGAUCCUGGCGUCUUUUACAUUAUCACCAACGUACUAGCCCCAUUUUCAAUUACACCAAACACAAGAAAUGAAGUUACUUCAUGUUGAACAAACGUUUUAGGCCAAGAAAGUUCAAUAAUACUUUGUGAUGUUGCAAUUCUUAAUAAUACUUCACAAAAGAUUUUAAGGAAUUCACUUUCCGGGGCAUGUUAAAUUGAAGACCCAGCAACGUCAUAUACUUCUUUCUGUGCCAUCUUUUUCAAGCUUUGUGCAACAGCAAAAGUCACAGCUUGAUGGCUUCUUAAAAUUUGGUUGAAUCAUUUUCUUAAUUUCACCUUUAUGAAUCUAACAAUAUUUGAUCCAGUCGUUUACUUUCAUUUCAAAAAGCAGAUCAUGUUUCCACACACAGAACAGACCAAAAAAGGCAUAUAUUAUAAAAUACAAUACAUUACAGUAAAGUACAAUAACAAGUAACAACCAUAGCAACCAUACAAACAAUCCGAGCACUUGAUUUUCCCACUAACUCAUACUAGGAGGGAAAUCCACAAGAGAUAAUAUGCAAAUAGAAAGAACCAAUUACCAAAUUCAAAGAGUGUUAACUCGGGGACAAAUACGAGCUCGUAGUGGAUUCUUCAUUACAACAGUGAAUUCUUGCUUCUCCGAGAGAUCAACACCAUAUCCUUCCACAGGAUUCCAUUGAAAAUGCCAAAUCAGAUUAGCCACAAAAUAUUCUAAAUGAAGCAUAGCCAACGCAUAGCCAGGACAUAUUCUCCUCCCUGCACCGAACGGCAUCAUCUUGAUCUCUCUACUUCCUGUUAUAUCAAAGGAUUCCUUAUCUGAUCCUUCCACUAAGAACCUCUCUGGCUUAAACUCCAAGGGAUCCUCCCACACAUUUGGGUCUAAGGCCAUGUCCGCAAGCAUGAAAUUGAUGGUCACAUUCUUUGGGAUUACAUAGCCGUUCAGUUCAACUUCCUCUGUCACCUUGUGUGGAAACAGAAUGUGACCAGGUGGGUGCCGCCUAAGGCCUUCCAAUAUCACUGCUUUCAAGUAGGGCAUUUUUUGCAAAUCUUCCUCCUUCACCACCUCUUCUGUCGACUCGCUCUUUUUUUCACCCACUACACUGGCAAUUUCUUGAUAUAGCUUGUCCUGAAUGGUAGGAUUUUUAACCAAGUUGGCCAUAAUCCAUUGCAAGGCAGUGGAGGUCGUAUCAGUUGCGGCGGUUAGGAAUUCAAUGCAGAGGCCAACGAUUUCUCGAUGAUUGAGUUUUCUUUUUUCAUCUGGCCACUCCAAAUUCAAUAGAGUAUCCACAUAACACGUCACAAAUUCAUCCUCCAACUCACCAUGCUCGGUUUUUUGUUCUUUGGCCUUGAUUCGUGCUUCAAUCAAAGGAAGGUAGGUUUUCUCUUGCUCUUGUCCUAGUUCAUAGAAUUCCUUCCAGAGCUUCCCAAAAAUUAGCUUUCCAAGUCUAGGAAAGAUAGCGAGUACUUUGAAACGUCGGAGUCCCAAGAGGAACUUCACUAGCAUAUUUUCAAUUUUUUUGAUUUGAGGUUCGUCAAGUUUGUCCCCAAAACACAUCAAGACAAGAAGACAGAACAUAGCAUACUGAAAAUGAUCAACUAACUUCACGGAAUCGUCUUGUUUGCCACGGAGCUGUUUAAGGAGGAUAUCCAACACCCAGGCUCGGGCUUUGGAAUAGGACUUGAUGCGAGAAGGAUGGAGCAUUUCUGAAGUCAAGUUUCGACGGAGCAGACGCCAUGUUGAGCCAUAAGGUGCACUGUUGAUGACGCGGGUUUCA